UUUUUUUUUUUUAACUAUUAAAUUUUCUGAAUUAUCCAAAGUUUCAUGCUUACCUACUAUACAUAAUUAUUCAAUUUCUUUCUAUGCGUAAUUACUUAAUUAAGGACACGCAAACGCCAGCUGCAACGCGUGCCACAACCCUUAUCGAAUAUCAAGGAAUAGAGGGCCAAUAAAAGUGGCGCCUUCUUUCUUCAUUUUGAUGUCGCCACGCAUAAUAAUUUGUCUUCUCAGAUAAAUGGUUAAUGGGUCUCCGAAUUUUGGCGAGCAGAUAGAAGUAAUUUCUCCUCAUGCAAUAGCCGCCUGGCUAGACCUUCUUCGACGACAAAGCACUGAAAGCAGGGGACCACUUGUGUGUCCUCUAGCUCGAGACAAAGACAUCUCCAGCUAGCCACAAACGAAAUUGCAAACUGCACUUAACACGACACGGAAAGAAUCGUCGAGGAGCAAGCAAGUGGCUGUGGAGAUCCGAGAAUGCGCCUCUCAUGAAAGAUAUUAUGAUACGAUUCCUUGCAUGAUCAUGCGGAUACGAAAGCGCAUUACUAGAUUUCGACGAAACGAACUGCCGUAAUAAGGAGGGAAGACCCAGUUGUUGUUCCAAGUGAUGUGGCGAUUUCCAAACUGGACCGAAUGACCAUGAAUUUCGACAGCACGCUUGACCAAAUGACUCUCAUGGAAAGGGACGCCCGAAGAAAAAGACGACUUUGAAGGUUCAACUUCCCGACUAAUCUUCCUUUCGAUGAGGUUGACAUCGAUGAUGCCUUUCGAGGAGCUGUGCACGGCAAUAUAACUCAAGAACCCUGAUCAUUCAUUAUAACAUCAGGACCUUAAGCAUAUGUUCCUCAGACAGAGUCGAUAUCGUCUUGCACUUGUCUUCUCUCCUGUACAAGUUCUGUUGACUACAAGCCAAAGCAGUGGCCAAGCAGCAAGCACAUCGCUCCAUAUGCAGAAAGAGAGUUCCGCAUCUUCAUCAGGCAAACAAGAAAGAUCGUCAAUGGAGCUUUAGAAGUAAACAAUCCAACGAUACUGGAAUUUGGUCCAAGAGUAAGAGAACUUGCAGGAGAGUUGGCAAUAUAAUCUGCUUAACCUUCCUUUUCCUCUGCUAGAUUAAUUUUCUUCUUUUUCUCCCAACCCCCCCCCCCCCCCCCCUCCUUCCCCCCACAGAGGCAUAGCUGCUCUGUCUCAUCCCAAUCCAGGAAAUUCAUUUACAGAACAUUUGGAAAUUGAAUCCAGGUUCCAUUGAACCACUAGAUGGAAGUUUUCGUCAGCUGAUUUGACAUAUAAAGAAGAGUGUUCUUGAGCCACUGCAGACUACAAAAUGACGGUCAAGAGCUCCACUGAAGGUCAAAGCAGCAUUCAUUUGGAUAUUCCUCAGCUUCAGAAGAAAAAUGACACCGUCAUUUCACCUGCCACAAUGUUUGAGCCACAAAAUAGUGCUGGUACGAGAGACAGAAGUAGCGGAAACUCUGUUUCCCCCACGCUGCCAGCUGUUUCCGCCCCGGAGAAAAAGCUGACACUGUUUGCUCUCCGCCUUGCAGUUCUUGAAAAAACGGCCACUGGCCUGGGAACCCUUGGUUUCAUCUGGGCGACGGUUGUACUUCUGGGGGGCUUUGCCAGUACCCUAGACAAAACCGACUUCUGGUUCAUCACCAUCAUUUUAUUAAUUGAAGGAGCUCGAAUAUUCAGCAGAAGUCAUGAGCUGGAAUGGCAACACCAGUCCACAAGGUCAAUAGCUGAAGCUGGAGUUAGCAGCUUCCGAAUGCUCAGAUCAAGCCCUAGAGCUCUAGCUGAAUCCAUGAAGGUUAUGUUAAGCCCUGUAAGCUCUGCUACAAGGAAGCAAAGUCAACAGAGCAGGGAAAUUUCCGAAACUACAGAUGCAACAAACGUUAGAGAGCAGGAAUUGAGAUGGAAGCUGACCCGGAUAUGGACUUCUUCCGAAGUUCCUAUUGUACCUUAUGCAGGGAGAGUUUUCCUUUCGAGAAACGUGAGCAAGAUUCUCUAUUGGCUUCAGCUCUUAUCUGCAAUAGCCUGCGCUGUGCUUUCAUUGAUGAAGCUCAUCAAGCGCAAUUUUGGUGACAUUGCUGAAAAGGACACUGACGAGAGGAACGCGAAAGCUGCUCUGUAUAUCUUUUAUGGCUUGGCUUUGGCAGAAGCUUUGGUCGUCCUGACAGAGAAACUUUACUGGGAGUGGAAGGUUGUCAUCUGUAAGCUUCUCGAACGAGUGAACGAGGAAUGCGAUCUGGGGGCUUCAGGUAUGAACUCGACUCAGAGAUUUUUCUACGACUCCUAUUGGAGAUGUAUUAAUGGUAGCAUUUUUGAUGGCCUGGGAAUGGAUAUGGUGACUUUUGCUAUGGAUCUCUUAUGUUCAAACUCGCUGGAUGAGCAGCUGAUAGGAGCCAGGAUUCUUCACCAGUUUUCUACGAAAGAACGGUUUUCAGAUGACACGCUUCAGAAGAUAGGAACAACUCUGCCAGUUAUAGAGAGACUGGUGGAGAUCUUAAACUGGGAAGACCCACAAGAGGAAGAAAUCAGGGUAUCAGCUGCAGAAAUAGUUUCCAAAUUAGCCGGGAAAAAGCAGAACUCCCUUCGGGUCGCUGGGAUACCUGGGGCAAUGGAAUCAAUAUCAUCUCUUCUACAGACAAACAGAAGCCCCAGUUCCACAGCAGAUGGAAUUAGAGAAAAGAAAAUCGUCUUUGACCAUGAGGACUAUGGACACUGGACUUUCAUUAAUGUGGGGCUACUCAUUCUGAAGAAACUAGCCCGUGAUCAUGAUAAUUGUGGAAAAAUUGGAAACACAAGGGGCCUUCUUUCCAAAAUCAUAGAUUUCACUCAUGCUGACGAAAGAAUAUUGAAGGACUCAACCGUUACCACAUCGCAAGUUUUGACCGUCAAAAGAUCCCUUCAGGUUAUAAAGAUGCUGGCAAGCACAACAGGUACCACAGGGAAAAAUCUGCGGAGAGAGAUCUCAGAGAUAGUCUUCACCAUAAGCAACAUAAGAGAUAUUCUACGACACGGAGAGAAACAACCAGAACUGCAGAAACUAGGAAUUGAGAUCCUUACCAGUUUAGCACAGGAUAAUGAUGCGACAGAGCGUAUAGGAGGGACUGGUGGAGUUCUGAAAGAACUAUUAAAGAUUUUCUUCCAAGAAGGAGUGCUGGAAAAUCAAAGGGAUGUGAGGAUUGUGGCCGGAGAAGCCCUGGCAAUGCUGGCUUUUGAAAGCAAGAGCAACUGUCAACGCAUCUUGAAGUUAAAUGUAGUGGAGAGGCUCCUAAACGUGUUGGAGAUUCCGGUUCUUGAUGUUAGUGCUGGAAGAAUUUUGAGGAAUAUGUGCACUUACAGUGGCCCAGAGUCCUUCAACCAGCUAAAGGAAGUAACAGCAGCGGCACCAACAGUAAGUGCAUUAUUUUGCAAAAAUUGAACCUGAGCCGGCAUCUCAAUAACUGCAAAGGGCAGUUAUGUACAAGUUUUAAGUUGUCCUGGAGAGAGUGACAUUAAUUGUUCCUACCUAACCACAUUUCUUCAACUCAGGUUCUCAAGGCAAUCUUGUCAGGAGAAGGCAAACUCCAAGAGGUGAUGGUUGGGUUAGCAGUGCAUGCUUUCAAGUUCAUGACGGCAGAAGAAUCGACCGCCUUCUUUGAGCAGGCAGGGUUUAGAGAAGCCAAAUUAGCUUGUGCUUUGGUCGAGAUCCUGAGGAGCCACCGGAACCCACAUAUAAAGGUGCCGAGAAUGAGAAGGUUUGCUAUCGAGCUGGCAAUCUGGAUGAUGAGAGAGAAAUCGACAAAUGUGCAGAUCUUCAGGGAUCUGGGCAUGGAGGAGGAGCUUGAAGGAGUCAUGGAUACAACAUCAGAGCUAGAGAGCUACAACAUUUUCUCUGGCACCUUUGGACUAAGCAGGCACAGCACGACCAUUCACUCACUUGUUGAGACCGCACUGAUGCUGCUGAAUAACAGGUUUGAUCAACCGAUAGGUUACUGAGCAAGUGACCAUGUCAAAUUAUCCAACAAAUGAGAAACAUGAAGCGAUGCUAGAAUACACAUUUCAUUCGCUAAUUCCAGAAGCAAAGAAAUAAAGGUAAUUGCUUCUUUAGCAACUCCCUUAAGUCCGAUGAAAUGCUUCUGAAAGUUAUAACAAUGUUUAUUUGUUUCACACGGAGUUUGUGUGUCAUGUGACGCACCACAUGUACUACUACCAAAACAUAUGAAUAUGAAUACAUACACCCAAGCAAUUUUUGCUUUACGAUUCAACUCUUGAACAUUCAAGCAUCCGAGUGUUGCAUAUCCCCUAAUUCUGAGCUCCCUACUUCUGCUAUUAAAAGACAGGAUUUCCCCUUCCAAAUCUUUUUCAACUUAGCAGCUACUCAAAUACUUAAGACGGCAUAAUCCAGUGCAGUCAUUCCAUAAUUUCAAACGCCUACACCAAGAUCAAGAAUCCCAGAAGGCAAUUCAUCAGGCAACAGAAGUAGACAAAAAGAAAAAGAAAGAACCCAUUGCUUACUUUGUGACGGCUUUAGAAGGACAUCUCGCAAUGAACCCAUAAAUUAUCUGCACUACACUCUGAAACCCCUUAAUUAGGAUGAGAACCGAAGAACCAAAGAAAAAUGGGAACUUGCAGUUGAACAGCUGACUCCACAAAGCAAAAGCGAAUGAAACUAAGAUCGUAAUCUACGCGAUUCGACAUUCGUGUGAUGGACAUCAGGGAGUUUUGGAGCUGAGACGAGCGAGGGUUCAGCGUCUGGAUGGUGAGCGAGAUCAGUCACUGUGAAUUGCGAAGAUGGAAAAACUAGAAAUGGUGGAGGGGAAGGAAGGAAACGGAACGAAAGUGAAUUGAAACUGUUGACCCUGCACAAGAAAUUACAAAAGAAAUUAUAUGUAUAUAUAUAGAGAUUACCCCCUUCCAUUCUUUCACUCUUUCAGUUGUCCACUCCCUUCUUUUAUGCUCACUAUUAAAUUUUCAGAAUUGUCCCUACUUGCUCUCUCUCUUGAGCUCACCUACUAUGCAUACAUAUUCAUUUUCUUUCGAUGCAUAAUUACUUUAUUAUGUGUGCGCAAGCAACGGUAGCUGCCAGGGGUGAGCAGCGGUCUAGGGUUGACCCUGGAUCAACCAUGGACCGGCCCAACCCUGUCGAUCCUGGUCCGGUUCCCAAGGGGACUGUAUCGGUUCUUGGUCCUGAAAUUCCAGGACUAAUACUGUGUGGGUUAGUCCUCGGUCCUAAGAGUUUUGGUGAGGUGGCUGAAGGAGACACUGUCGAGAGGCAAUGAAAAGCUGCUCUGUGUACCUUUUAUGCCUUGGCUUUGUCAGACACUCUGGUCGUCUUGACAGAGAAAAUUUACUGGCAGUGGAAGGUUGUCAUCUGUAAGCUUCUCGAACGGGUGAACGAGGAAUGCGAUUUGGGGGCUUUGGGUAUUUUGACAUGGAGAUUUUUCUAUGACUCCUAUUCAAAAUGUAUUAAUGGGAGCAUUUUUUAUGGCCUGGGAAUGGAUUUGGUCACUUUUGCUAUGGAUCUCUUAUGUUCAAACUCGCUGGAUGAGCAGCUGAUAGGAGCCAGGAUUCUUCACUGGUUCUCUACGAAAGAACAGUUUUCAGAUGACACGCUUCAGAAGAUCGGAACAACUCUGCCAGUCAUACAGAGACUGGUGGAGUUCUUGAACUGGAAAGACCCACAAGAGGAAGAAAUCAGGCUAUCAGCUGCAGAAAUAGUUUCCAAAUUAGCCGGGGAGAAGCAAAACUCCCUUCGCAUUGCUGGAAUUCCCAGGGCAAUGGAAUCGAUAUCAUCUCUUCUCUCAACAAAUGGAAGCCCCAGUUCUGCAGCAGACAAAAUUGGCGAACAGAAAAUCAUCUUUGACCAUGAAGACUAUGGAUACUGGAUUUCCAAUAAUUUGGGACUUCUCAUUCUGAAGAAACUAGCUCAUGAUCAUGGUAACUGUGGAAAAAUUGGAAACACAAGGGGCCUUCUUUCCAAAAUCAUAGAUUUCACUCGUGGUGACAAAAGAAUAUUGAAGGACUCAACCAUUACCACAUCGCAGGUUUUGACUGUUAAAAGAUCCCUUCUGGUUAUAAAGAAGCUGGCAAGCACAACAGGUACCAUAGGAAAAAAAUCUCUGGAGAGAGAUCUCAGAGAUAGUCUACACCAUAAGCAAUAUAAGAGAUAUACUACGACAUGGAGAGAAACAACCAGAACUUCAGAAACUAGGGAUUGGGAUCCUUACCAAUUUAGCACAAGACAACAAUGCGACAGAAAAGAACUGUUAAAGAUUUUCUUCCAAGGAGGGCCAGAAAAUCAAAGGGAUGUGAGGAUUGUGGCCGGAGAAGCACUGGCAAUGCUGGCUUUCGAGAGCAAGAGUAACUGUCACUGCAUCUUGAAGUUAAAUGUAGUGGAGAAGCUCCUAAAAGCAUUGGAGAUUCCGCUUCUUCAUGUUAAUGCUGGAAGAAUUUUGAGGAAUCUGUGCACUUACAGUGGGCCAGAGUCCUUCAACCAGCUAAAGGGAGUAACAGCAGCGGCACCAACAGUAGGUGCAUUAUUUUGCAAAAAUUGAACCUGAGCCGGCAUCUCAAUAACCGGAAAGGGCAGUUAUGUACAAGUUUAAGUUGUUCCUGAGAGAAUGAUAUUAAUUGUUCCUACCUAACCAUAUUUGUUCAACUCAGGUUCUCAAGGCAAUCUUGUCAGGAGAAGGCAAACUACAAGAGGUGAUGGUUGGGUUAGCGGUACAUGCUUUCAAGUUCAUGACAGCAGAAGAAUUGACUGCCGUCGAGAGGGCAGGGUUUAGAGAAGCCAAAUUAGCUUGCGCUUUGGUCAAGAUCCUGAGGAGCCACUGGAACCCACAUAUAAAUGUUCCAAGAAUGAGAAGGUUUGCAAUCAAGUUGGCAAUCUGGAUGAUGAGAGAGAAAUCAACAAAUGUGCAGAUCUUCAGGGAUCUGGGUAUGGAGGAGGAGCUUGAAGGAGUAAUGGAUACGACAUCAGAGCUAGAGAGCUUCAAUAUUUUCUCUGGCACCAUUGGACUAAGCAGGCACAGCACAACCAUUCACUCACUUGUUGAGACCGCACUUAUGCUGCUGAAGAACAACAUGAUUGAUCAAACAAAAGAUUACUGACACAGUGAUGAUGCCAAAAUAUCCAACAAAUGGAAAACAUGAAGGCAUGCCGGUUCAUUCUCCAAUCCCAGAUGUAAAGAAAUAAAUGUAAUUGCUUCUUUGGCAACUCUGUCCCACAUAAGUAUGAUGAAAUGCUUCCGAAAGUUAGCACCUUCCUUAUUUGUUUGCACAGGUUUUGUGCGAUUAACAGCACACCACAAGUACUGCUACCAAAACAUAUGCAAAAUGUGUACAUAGACCACAUUCUUAUAAUUUACAUUUCAACUCCUGUACAUUCAAGCAUCCAAGUGUCGCAUAUACCAUGAUUCUGAGCUCACAACUUCUGCUAUUAUAAGAUGAGAUCUUUCCUUCCAAAUCUUGUUCUACUUAGCAGUGAAUCUAAGACUUGAGGAUGAUAUAAUUCAGGGCCAUCAACACAUAUUUUCACAUGACUACGCAAGAACAAGCACUCUGAAAGGCAAAUUCAUCAGGCAACUGAAGUUAAUUGAAAGAAAAUAGAUAACUCAUUGCUUAGUCUGCGAUUGUGGAAGGAAAUCUAUGAACCCAUAAAUCAUCAAAACCACUCGUAUAUUUCGAAAUCAUAAGCACGGUAUAAUCACAAAGCCUGUUUGCUUAUCUAUUCAUCAACGAAUCAGAUGCGAGAUAUAGCUUCAAAGUUGAUCGCCGCUUGGUCCAGUGAGUCUCUCCUGACCCUUCUCCUCCCCCUCCUCGCCCACAUCUUCCCUGUCGUGAUAAGGGUUUGCCACCAACCCUUCUUGCCUCAUUAGAUUGAGCAGGAACCGCCGCUCCAGAAUAGGAAACCGCCGCCCUCUCUCCUCCUCUUCGAGCAUCCGAGAAUGCAGGUAGCACAAUUCGAGUCUCCGCAGUUGGGCUCGCAUCUCGCGGAACUCGUGCUCCGAGAUCGCGACCUUGUGAAUCAUGCUCACCGCCACCUCCGUCCUCUUGCGCCCCUCGUUGCAAGGGUUGCUAACGGCGCUGGACGCGACCCUUGCGAUCUCAGACGCUACCUCAUCACGGGUCAGGCACUUCUUCGUUGCCUUCGUCUCCGCACUUAAGUCGAGCCACCAUAGCCGGUCCAGCAAGAAGGGCAGCCGCAUGUCGUCCAACACGGAGGACACGAUCGCCCAGGACGGCGAUGAUGGCAGGUGGUCGCGGGAGGCGAAUGGCGCGCUCGGGUGCUCGGCUCGGUACGAAAAGGUACGGUGGUCGAGGAUGCGAGGCGGGAAUUCAGUGCCUCCUCGUACCUGGGACUGAAGAUAGCAGAGUUGGACAUGGAAUGACACGAUCACACGAGGUCCGGGCAAGGACUGAUCGUCUGGAACAGGCGUUGGCAUUGCAGAGACUAAAGUUUGAUAAUUCGACAUCUUUUCGAGAAAUCGUUGAGAUGGUAAAGUGGAUUGUUCUUGAAUUGGGCAUUGUAUAUAUAUACAUAGCGAAGAUCUCUAAAACUUUCCUUUUCUGAACGCAUGAUAUAUUUAUUUUUUUAUUUUUUUAUACUUUGAAUUACUUGUAUUACUUUUUUUUUUUUUGGAAUUUACCUUUUUAUUUCCUUGUCUAGUAUUUUUAUAUUUUAGGCAACUUCCUCUAGUUUUAACCCAGGCGAGCCGACUUUUUCUCACAUAAUAGUAAAAAUACACGAAUGUUGCAUGAAUUUAAAAAAAAAAUUCAAGAAAUUGUUUUAUAACAAAAUACUUAAAUUUUUUUUAUUAAAUAAUGGAGUUGCUCAUUGGAAAGAAAUAAAAAUUCAAGAUUUAAAUCUUUUUUUGAUAAGCUCGUUCAUAGGAUGGAAAAAUUCAAAUUUGAAAUUGAAGAUGCCAGAGAAAAUAUGAACAUAUAAAUUUAUAUAUUUAGCUGCCGAUAGAAUAUGGAAAAAAGAAAAAAAGGAUUGUGAUCGUCUUUACUUCAUCUAACAAUAAACUUAUUACAAAACUUAGAGUGCCAACAUUAAAUGGUAAACUUGAUGAUUGGGAAGCAAAAUUUCAAAUUGAUUUUUAAUUACAAAAAACCAUUUUCUUCUAACAUCCUGUGAAGGGGAAAACAAAUCGCAUGGAAGAAUUAACAAAAAAAAUCCUAAACUUAUUAUAAUUGCGUCAAUUCAAUCAUAACAUUUUUUUUGUCAAUUAAAUCUUAAAUCUUUUAUAUUUUUGCAAUCCGACCAAUUUUAACCGGUUAGGCUAAUAUGACACGGCUAGCAUUAACGUAGACAUUUUAAAUAAUAUUUUAUUUUUUUUAAUUAUUUAUUCAUUUAUUUAUUCUCUUUCCUUUUUCACUAAGAGUAAGUGCACCUCUUUUGCAAAAAGUGAACCUCAGCCGGUAUCUCGAUUACCAAAAAGGGUGGUGAGGGACAAAUCGACAAAUGUGCAGAUCUUCACCAAUCUGGGCAUGGAGGACGAGUUUGAAGGAGAGCAUACGGCAUUAGAGCUAGAAAGCUUCAAUUUCUUCUCUGGCAUCGUUGGACUAAGCAGGCACAACACGUCCAUUCACUCACUUGUUGAGAUUGCGCUUAUGCUGCUGAAGAGCAAUCUUUGAUUAAUUAAUAGGUUACUGACCAAGUGAUGAUGCCAAAUUGUCCAUGUAGGGUGCGCUACAUGUUUUAUUCUCUAAGGCUGCGUUUGACAGUCAAGAUAAAAUUCAUGAUAAUAUAUAAUUUAUCAUAUCCUACAUUUAGUGCUUGUUUAGGAUAGGAUAUAGUCGGAUAUAAGAAUGAUAUAGGUUGAAUAAAAUUAUCCCAUGGGAGAGGUGUGAUAAAGGUGAAUAAAAUUUAUAAUGUUUAUAAUAAAAAAGUUAUUUUUCUCAAAUAACAAACUUAUUAAAUUAAAAAAAAUUAAAACUAUAUAUCAAUAUAAAUAUAUUUGAAUUCUAAUUUAAGAAAUUAAAAUAAAAAAUAAAAACAUAUUUUUUAAUUUAAUCUUAUUUUAAUUUAUAUAUUCAACUUUAGAACAUUCCAUCAAUAAAUUAUAUUAAUAUUUAUUAUAUAGAUUUUAGGUAUUUUUAUAUUUUAGGUAUUUUAGUACAGUUUACUAUUUGAUAAAAUUUUAUUAAAGAAAGAUGAAAGGGGAAAAAAUAAUAGAUUAAAAAGGAGGAAAUAUAUAUUAAAAAUAAAAUAAAAAUAAGUUAAGGAAUAGUGUCACGAGAGAUUUUCAUCAUCUCCGUUUAUGAACUUUUAGAUUCAUUUAUAAUGAUAUGCCGUUUAUAUUAAAAAAAUGUACGUGAUAUGAUGUGAAUAUAUCCGAUUUUAAUAUUGCGAUUCACUAAACAACAGAUAGGAUAUGAAAUCAUAUAGAAAAAUUCCAGGAUUUCAUAUCCUAUCCUAUCCAGUCCUAUCAUGGUUAGAAAUCCGAACGACCAAACAUAGCCUAAUUUUAUAUGUAAAGAAAUAAAGGGGAAUUGCUUCUUUAGCAACUCUGCCGGCUUAAAUCUAAUUCAAUUAUUCUAAAAGUUAUCACAUUCUCUAUCUGUUCGUGUAGAAUUUGAGAGAUUGAUUAUAUAUUACAUGCACUAAAACAUAUGCAAAACAUAUACAUACAACUAAACAUGUUUUUCAUUUUUUAAUUGAAAUCCCAAAACAUUCAAGCAUAUGAGAGAUGCAUAUACGGUGAUUCUGAGUCACUACUUCAAAUAUCAAAAGAUCAAAUUUUUGCCAUCCGAAAUCUUGUUCUACUUAGCAAUGGAUUGAAAAGCUAAUGGACAAUAUAAUCUAAGGCAAUCAUGACAUAUUUUCAAAUGACUACACAAGAACAUGCGUGACGUACCGAUUUUCCAAUUCUAUUUUCAAUAAAUUGAGAUGGGCAUUUCGUUGGCACACAUAUAGUUCUUUUCCUUGAGUCGGCCACUCAUGUGAAAACUAGUCUAUCAGGUGAAGCCGUUAAGAAAUUCUAAUGUAUCAGACUCGAGAAUUUGACUAGGAAGCGAUCUUUUGACCGAGCUAAUUUGCAAGGGUCAUUGCGGCACAAUUAAAAAUUGUUUAGAGAUCGGAGAUAGGUCGACUCGACAGAGGCAUGUGAUCAGGUGUGGGUGAUUCCUAAAGAUUGCACAAUUCUAGUUGAUCGGCACUGGACCGACUUUUCUAUCGAUUGGGUACCCUGUGUCCAUAUUUAAAACCUUGAGAUUACCGACAACCGAAAGUCGCCAAUGUUUCAAAGAUGUACAUUGUGGCUUGAGAUGAUCAACCACAAGUCAAAUGCAUGAAAAUUUAUAAAGGCUACCCGGUAGGUUGGGCCACGCUAGUAUCGUGCCAAAGUGAAAUUAACCGUGGAAUUGAGAUCGAAUUCAGAAAUUGGAAGUAUGGGUGUGUCACAAAUCAUUUUAGGAAUAUUAACUCAUCUUCGGAAGAUUUUUCAUGUAAUCAGAAUUUUUCAGAAAUUAAAUCAGAGAAUGGCUAAUUUGGCUCGAGAAAUUAGUAGGUCCGCUUUUGGUCGCGCUUUUGGGACUUAAGUUGGUUCUAUGGACAAGUGAAGAUGCGAAUUGAAGUGUGGUAACAUUGGAUUAAUUUUAUGGACUUUAAUUGGACUCAAUUGGAAGAGAAUUGAGUGGAAUUGAAGAAAUCGUUGCACAAAGUUUUAUGCCCCGGCGGAAAAUGAAAUUGGACCCAUUGAAAUAGGUUGUAGAGGAAAAUGAGUUAGUGGAAGAUGACAUGGGAUGAUGUCAUGGUGGUUGGGCCAAAGAGAAAGUGGAGGGUGGAUAUUGGCUCUUGGAAAAGCACCCAUCAACAUCAUCUUCAAGCUUGGGACUUUGGAGGGGAGAGAAGGGGGAGCUUCGACCAGAAGCUAGCCGAGCCCGACGCCGCCCUCUUCGCCCACUUGCACGCCUGUUCGCUGGAGCUCGCCGUCGCGGUCGCCAUUCGCCCGCACGCCUGUCGCCGUGCCCGCUUGUCGUCGCACCGCCUUCUCCGCUCCGCUUCGCUCGCGUCAGCCCAUCACCACCGUUGUCCAGAGCUGCAUCCAGCGUCGCCGGCUGCCGUUCACCGUCGCCAAGGUCGCCGGAGUCUCGCCUGCAGCCGCCGAGACCAGCUGCUGCCACCACCGGUUCUCCUUCGCUCAAUCGAUGCCGGAUCCGCUCCCUCUCGACCCCAAGACAGCAACCAAGAAAAUGGGUACGGCAUUCCAUGUUUGGCCCGUUUCGGCCGCCUUCCCGAGCCCGGAUGCUCGGCCCGCCUUGAGAAAAGUCGAUCCUCGCAUCGUCCUUGUCAUUUUGGUUCGCUCGGCUCGCUAAUCUGGCGAGUUUAACUCACUAAACAUUGAUUAGACGGUUAAUGAUGCCCUAAGUGUGAUUAGCCUAAGUUAAGUAAGCUUAGGUGAUUAGUUUAGUUUAUUUAAUUGUGAAUUAGAUUAAGAUGUUUGUUUAAUUUAAAGCAUGUUUAAUUAAAGGCUAAGAGAGUUUAUUUGAUAAUAAACCUUGACGGGACAUAAUAGGAUUUUAAUUUUGAAUUAUUUAAUUGUUUCGAAAUUCUGGAAAUUAUAAUAUUAUAUUAUAAUCCGAAAUUAUUAAAAUAUUAUUAUAAAAAAAAGUAAAAGUUAUUGUUGACCCGGUUGCUCAGAAUUUCGUGCUGAUCGCUGCUGUGUAGUCAAAUUUUGAAAUUGAUGAUUGGAUAUUAUAAAUUGAGCGUGGAUCGUGAAAGAUAUGGAUAUUAUUAUUUAAUUAAUUUUCGAAAUAAAUUUAAUUAGUUAAUAAAUUCCGAAAAAUGAUUUUGAGACCCUAAAUUCUCAGAAUUUCGUGUUGAUCGCUGCUAUGCAUUUAGAAUUUGAAAUUGAUGAUUGGUUGUGGCAAAUUGAGUGUGAUUGCGAUAAAUAGAGAUUCUUUAUAAAAUCCUAAGUGUGGAAAUUGAUGGGCGAUUGGCCGUGAUAUGCCACCUAUUAGAGGUCGCGCCUAGUGAGGCCAUGAUAUGCCACCUAUUAGAGGUCGCGCCCAGUGGAGCCGUGAUAUGCCACUUGAUAAAGGUCGCGCUCAAUGGGGCCGUGAUAUGCCACCUGAUAAAGGUUGCGCCCAGUGGGGCCGUGAUAUGCCACCUAUUAGAAGUCGCGCCCAGUGGGGCCAUGAUAUGCCACCUAUUAAAGGUCGUGCCCAGGGGGGUCAUGAUAUGCCACUUAUUAGAGGUCGCGCCCAGCUGGGCCGUAAUCUACCACCUUUUUAAAGAUCGUGCCGAGUGGGGUCGUGAUGCCACUGAUUCUAAUUGUGCCGAGUGGGACCGUGAUUGCCACUGAUUGUUAAACUUUCCUAUAGGGCUGUGAUUGAGAGCAAUGAUUGAUUUGCUAGAAUGACAUGUAAUCGGCCGAGUUGAUUGAUCGCUGAGACGAUCCAAGUGGUUGAAUUGUUUUGAUAAUGUGAUUGUGCCAUGAUUGUUUGGUUAUCAUAAUUGUACGUGGUUGAAUUAUAUAAAUUGUGCUAACCUGCAGAUGAAGGCUAAUGCGAGGUAAGUCUUUUGUGUGAUGUGGCUAGGCCACCCGGGGCGUAUUUUCUUUCUAAUAGGGGUUUAUGGGUUGAACUUGCUGAGACAUUGUCUCAUCCCGGUUUGGGGAUUACAAUUUCAGGUCCCUAGUGGACGGAGCGGCUAGAUAGCUUUGGUUGGCCUUGAGGAGUUGCAGAGGUGAAGUCAUAAGGAUUGGAGAACGUGUCUGACUUGUAGGUCGUAGGACAGUUCCUUUUUAAGAGCCGGUCUUUUGUAGACUUUUGGCCGUAGACCUCUGUUUGUAAUUCUGUUGAAUUGUGAAAGUGUCAUGUUGUGGUUUUGUUUCCUGCUUGUCUAUCCCGUAUUUCAUUGUCAGGGGUUUUAUAAUACGUUCCGCUUGCGCAAUAAUUAAUGAAUGGGGUCGGCGACAUUACUUGGGAAUGUCGCAUUUGCAUGACCAUGGUGGGAUAUUGGCGUGCUCGAGGUUCGGGGCGUGACAACAUGACCCCCAAAAGGCAAUUCAUCAUGCAACUAAAGUUUAAUAAAAUGAAAAGAAAAACCACAUUACUUAGUCUUUGACUAUGGAAGGAUAUCUCACAAUGGAUCCAUAAAUCAUCUGAGUUAUUUGCUAAUUUGAAACCCUUACAUAGAAUAGAAUAACUUAUAGUUAAACAACUCACUUUAUAAAACAAAAGGCAAUGAACUAUGAGAAUCUAGACAUUUUUGUGAUUUAAUUCGCAGUAACCUCAUUACCGGUCAAUAUCAAGGGGUGUCUGUUGAGUUAUUUCCCUAACCCCUCCCCUUGUUGAUUCCAUAUUGUCUUGCUCCUUAUAGUACCCACUAGGCCACUGUGAUAUUUUACGACAUGUGGUCUUCUUUUGUCAGAACCUUUUAUGAACUUGCUUCGGUCCUAAGUGAAGAAGAAAUGGUGGAGGGAAGGAAGGACGUGAAAGAACAAAAUUGAAUUAAAACUGUCAAAUAACUAUAUAUGUCCCGGCCAAAACAUCAUUUAUCUCGUUUUUCUUUCUAUUUUUGUAAAUUACCCUUCACUUCUUUCUCUGUUUUACUUAUCAAUUUCUGAAAUAAUCACUCUGUUUCUUUCUAUUUUCUUGGAACAUUGGAGGCAAUAAAGUUUGCCACCAUUUUUAGCUAUUCGAAAUGAAAAGUUCUGAUCGAUAAAAACAGAAACACAUAACCUAAACGUUGAUAUCUUUAGAGGCUUUAUAAAAAAAAAAUUUUAAAAAAAAAUUGAGGUGAUAGAGAUUAAAUAAAAUGUCCAAUUUCAAACACACGCUAAUAGUAGAGCUUAUGAUUGUACAAUGACGCCUCAAACAUUUGAUCUUAUUUAGAGUCAGAAAAUAUAUUUUACUCUAUUUUAACAGUAAACAAAAUAUAUAUGUAAUACAUGAGUGUGUGCUCAAGCACUCCAAUUCCAAUGGUCGAAAACAUACUCUUAUACAAAAGAAACACAUAAUAUUCAUAUAAUGUUAAUUUUUGAAAUUAGCUGCUCUAAAUUCUAAUCACCGUUAACGAACCUAACUUUCUGCAUUAGGUGGGGCUUGUAAUUUAAGCCCUAUUUUAUCCUUUCGGUUGGGCUAGCAAGUUCAUGGUUCAAGCUUUUCUAAAAGAUUUCUUUGUCCAGGUAGAGAAAAAGCAAAUUCGAUAAAAUUUUAGUUUUUGAGUUAACCAUGCACCGUAAACAAAAAACAUAAUUAUGAUACAUAUGCUUACAAGGUGAAUUUAUUGUUUAAGUAUUUGAUAAUUAUAUUUUAAAGUCUUGGAAUUUGAUCAUAUAAAUACAUUUUUAAAAGAAUUUAAAAAGUGAAAUAAUUUUGGGUUAAAUGGCCAAACCGUCCUGGAUCAAACCGAGUAAUUUUCGGUCUAGGCUUUCGAGUUUUCCAUACUAAAUAAUAAAAGGAUUUGGUUACAAAAAUCAAAUAUUUUUCGUAAUCAAUCAUGAUCACUUGGAAAAUUAGAAAAAACUUGGAUCUCAAUACUCUUAGUCGACAAGUUGUACCGACACAGAGAACAUGUUUGGUGUUCCCAAGCUUCGAUGCAAUUUUUUGUGAAAUUUAUGAUGAGCUUGAUGUUUGGGGAAAAAGUUUUUAAACUUGAUUAUUGACAUGCGAUAACUUCUCAAAUACAUUUUUCUUUUCAAAUAUUCGGACUCGUAAAAUUUGAUAGUUGACUUUUGAUUUUGAAGGGAGGCUCAAGAUAUUAAAAUACGGAUAUGUAAAUUCAUAUAUAAAUUUCGUAAUAUUUUGGAGCUUUCAGUGAAUUCUUUGUUAAGAUUUGGAAAAGAAAAAAGAGAGGCAGGUUGUGCGAUUUCUUUAAAUUAAUCCAAACAAACUCUCAAUCUAUAACUUCAAAUUGAUGAUAUAGAUAGGUUUGGUUCAAGUUACAGAAUUUUAAUUUACUAGGAGAAGAUCGGAACAUGGUAAUGGAGCUCAUGCAGUCAGAGGAAGGUAAGGGUGCAAAAGAAGUCUAAAAGUCCAGAAAAAAAAUCCACGGUAGAUAAUAAAAAGACUUUUUUUCAGGUCUCAAGAUAAUAAAAGAACUUGAUUACACGUUAUAUAAUCGCAAAAAAAGACAAAUUUUAAUAUAGCCAUAACAAGUAUUCAUAAUAUUUGAUGUGCGGUAAUAAAAAAAAUAAUCAUCGUAACCUAUAAUUCCGAACAAUGACUUGUUUGAAACUCUAUAUGCAUCCAUGUAAUUAAUCUUGAAUCUCCAGUCUCCUAAGGAAAUCGGAAAAGUUAAAAAUCUCUUGACUUCUAGGGGGACAAGGGGCGCCGACAUAGGGGGCAUGUGGGGUGUACCUUCAACCAAGUUUUGAUGCAAUCUGUGUGAAAUUUAUGAGAGCAAUCCAUGCGAAUAAGUUGGCCUCCGAUCGCAACUUCUUCCAUGCAAAUCACACAAUGCGAACUAUUUGAGCCUUGAUCACCCUCAAACGUCACUUUGUUCAAGCUUUCAAUCAUUGACUUAUGUGCGGCUCCGAAGUUGAUCCUGUCUUGGUCCACCGACUCCCUCAUGACCCUUAUCCGCAACACACCCUCCGUGUUGCGAUCAGGGGUUGUGACUGCUCCUUCUUGCCUCGUUAGAUUAAGCGCGGAUCGCUGCCCCGAAAGUAGCCGCCGCCAUCUCUCCUCCUCUUCGAGGAUCCGCGAAUGCAAGAUCCGCCACUGGAGCCUCCGCCAUCGGGCUCGCAUCUGGUGCUCCGAGAUGGUGACCUUGUGCACAAUGCUCACCACCAUCUUCGUCCUCUUGCGCCCCUCUCUGCAAGUGUCGUUCACUGCGUGGGACGUGGCCCUCGCGAUCUCGGACACAAGCUCGUCGCGAGUGAGGUACUUCUCGGUCACGUGCAUCCCCACACUCACGUCGAGCCAUCGCAGCCGGUCCAAUGGGAAGGGCAGCCGCAUGUCGUCCAACAUGGAGGACACAAUCGCUCGCGACUGCGAUGAUGGCGAUCUGUCGUGGGACACAAACGGUCCGCUCGGGUACUCAGCUCUGUACCAAAAGCCACCAUCGGAGGCACGAGGCGGUAAUGCAGUUCCUCCUCCUACUUCAGACUGAAUAUAGCGACGUCGGACGAUGCAUGACAUGAUCACCCGAGGUUGGGGCAAAGACUGAUUGUCGGGAAUAUACGCUGGCAUCGCAAAAACCAAAGUAUGAUCACUCGCCAUCUUAAAAGGGAUGUCGAGAUGGCAAGCCAAACAAUCUUGGAUUGGUUGGAUUGGGUAUAUAUAGGUAACAUUACUAAUCCGAAUAGGAAACUGCACUGUUUCCUAGACUGCCUUUGACAAGAUUCCUGUGAAAAAUUAAUUUUUUUAUUUUAUUUUUGGCUUUGUUUUAUCAAGAUUGAAGAGUGUGUCUUAUCUUAUAGGUCGUGAAAUCACCGAAAUUUAUGAAACACAACGCUGGCACUGCAGAAACAGAACUUUGAUAGUUAUUUAAUCAUUUAAGUAAAAUGUUUCGAGUACUUUCCUCUUGUUGAGAUAUCUUAUAACCUGUGCAAUUACCAAUAUUUACGAAAAAUUGUAUCUGUGAGAUUUUCUCUGCUUAUUAUUAAAUAGACUUCCAAGAUUUCUUUGAGUUGUUGAUCCGGAAAACUUGCUAUUGAAAGCGGCGACUAAAGUUCAAUAUCUUAAUACGUGGUGAUCUGCAAGAGAGAUCCCAUCGAUGUAUCCAAUUGGACCUACCUAAGCUUAAGUUAAAGAGCUAUGCACAAGUUAUUUGAUUAAUCAACUAACCUAAAUCACUAAUUCGUAUAUGAUGAAAAUGUAUAAAAACAUUACUAGGUUUACUGCACGGGUUUGGCUUCACGUAUUACCAAAAUAAAAAUCAAUAAACGAAAACAAAAACUAUUUGGUAUUGUAAAUGAAGGGGAAAUGAAAAUAGCUUCUAUACUAAUUUCAUGCAUUCAACAUUAGUUACCAUAAAUUUGUUCAACUGAAAGAAAACCAUAAUCAUCAACUGAUAGAACAGUUAGCUUAGCAGAAAAAAAAGAAAAAAAAAGAAAAGGAAUUUCUGAAAUUUCAUCAAUUCAUCUCCUUAAUAACUAGCUUCAACAUUGGAUCAUGGACUCAUGGGCUGCUCUGGGGUUGACCCUUGCUAAUUGGGAUAAUUACCAAAAGAGUCUUAAUCUUAUUGCGGUCGUACAAAUUCAGUUCUAAACUUUUUUUGGCUAGAUGAGUCAUAGACCUUUUAUAUUUGUGUCAAUCCAGUCCAUCUAGCCAAUGUUGACAUAGCACGACCUGUGCUCACAUAACCCAGCCAACACUACCGUAGAUAAUUUUUAAUAAUAUUUUAAUAUUUCUCAAUUUUUUUAAUUCUUUUUUUUCCUCUUUCUUCUUUCUCUGAUUAGUGGGGGAGACCCUUACCCACCUUGUGCCGGAUCCAACGAGGCUCAACCUCGCUAGUUAAGCUCCCUUCACUGAGCAACGAUGAGGGCUCGUUUCGCUUAUGGCUAGGUGAGGUCGCCCUUGCCUAGCGAUAGCAAGACGAGCCUCGCUAGUGGCCAGCAACUAGUCCGGUGAUUGGGUAGAGGAAGAAGAAAGAGGACAAAAAAAGAGAGAAAAAAAAAAGAAAAAAAAGAGGAAAAAUAGUUAAUUUUUUUGAAAAAUAUUAAAAUAUUAUUAAAAAUUAUCAACGUCAACACCGGUCGUGCCACGUUAGCGCAAGCUAGCCAAAUUUGGAUGAAUUGAUUGAAUUUGCACAAAUAUAAAAGGUUUAGAACUUAUUUGAUAAAAAAAAAGUUUAUGAUUGAAUUGAUAUUAUCAUAAUAAGUUUAAAACUUCUUUUGUAAUUCUCCCCUUGCUAAUUGAUUUAUUGACUCCCUCUUCACUCUCUUCCUUAGCUCAUCUAAUUUCAACUUGUGAUUAGGGCUUUACUUAUUAUGCGGGAAAUAAAUUAUUUUAAAAAUAAUUACUAAAAUCAUCAUCUGUAUCCCUUGAAAAAAUUGGUCAAUGGAAAAUCUUUAUUAUCAUUUUUUUUUUCCAUUUUUCAUUGGGCGCACCAUUUAUCCUUCUGGUUACAUUACAUCAAACCAAAACUCCCGGUCCAAGGCUCGUAUUUUUCUCCCGCUUUCCUCCAUGGAGGAAACGGUUGCCCAUGACGGCAACGAUGGCGAGCGGUCGUUAGAUGCGAAGGGCCCGCUCGGCUGCUCGAAUUGGAAGGAAAAGCUACGGUCGUCAUCCACGAUACACGCCGGAGAGUUUGGUCCUUGUACAUCGGACUCAAUAUGGUAGCAAUUGACAUCGCACGAUAUGAUUCGAAGAGCAUGAGACAAAGAUCGAUCAUCUCGUCUAAAAGCGGGUUUUGCAGAAACUAAACUUUGAUAAUUCAACAUAUUUGAUGAAAAUUUUUUCAAGACUGAUGAAGUGGAUAUUUUUUAGUGAAACGUGACUUGAUUCUGCUAGAAAUCGGCUCGUGUUAGACAAGAAACAUUGCCAAUCCAAAAUAGGAAACACAACGUUAAUAUGUUUCCUGAAGUCUCUUUAAUCAUUGAAGUGAAAUUUUAAGUCCCAAACUUUUUUUUUCUUCUGGCUUUGGUUGUCAAGAUUGGAGAGAAUAUCUGAUCAAAUCAUCAGCAUUUACGGAAGAUUAUGUGUUAGAAAUUAAUCUGAUUAUUAGAUAUAGAUUCUCAAGAUAUUUUGAAUAGUCAGUCCCCAAAAACUUUUCUUUUCCAAACACAUGAUAUCUGAAUUAAAGAUGCUUUAAAUCACUUGUAUUUCCCUAAAGUUGCCCACUUUUAUUUCUUCAUCCAUAUCUUCCUUUUGGGCAACAUCCACCUCUAGUAUCAAACCCAAGUAAUUGUUUUUUUUUUUUUUUUCAAUAUACUAGCAAAAAGGCAUAUUGGCCCCCCGGGGGGGGGGGGGGAUUAAUGAAAUUUAAAAGAUUUAACAAAAAUUGCCUUAUAACGUGAUAUUUGAUUUAUUAAAUAGUGAAACUAGACAAAGAAAAGGAAAAAAAAAAAUCUUACGAUUCAAAACUUUUUUUCAUUAAGGGUGUUGAUUUAAAUUUUAAAUUAAGGCAUGUGAGAGAUAAAAUAGAAUUACUAAUUUACUCAUUUCUCCAAUGAUGAAAUAUCUAUGGAAUAACUUAUUGAUGAUAUUUUGGAAAAGAAAAUAUUUCUAUAAUUGGAAAAAUAAAAAUAAAAAUUUAAAGGAUUGUUAUUUAUUGUUUCUAUACCUCAACUAAGUUAUAAAGAAUAAUAAAGUAGCUAUCCGACUUUAAAAAGGCCAUUGAAAAAAGUCAUGUAAUGCUAAAACUGAGGGACCAAAUUUCGUUUCUUUUGAUCAAAUUUGAGAACUUUAAGCGAGUUUAUGUUAGUUAUUUGAUGAUCGUAUUUAGAGUCUUGAAAAUUGACGAUACACAAAUUUUUUUAAGAAACUUCUAAAAAUAUAUAAAAAAAUUAGACUAAAAGCCUUGAAUUGGCACAAGACUGCAUAAUUCCAAUCUUGGCUUUCUUUCACCGAAUCGAAAGCAAGAUGUAGCCUUACAAGAGACGUUUCGAAGAAGAAAGAGAAAGGAAAUUGGAUAAUAUAUGAUAAAGUGUAAUUACAAAGUGGCUUGGGAAUCGACUGCUGAUCGGAGAAGAAUUAAACCCACAAGCAGAAACUUCAUUUACAUCAAGUGGUGUCCUAGAAAAACCAGAAAAGACUGAGGCUUCAAGACAUCUUGGCGGGCAACUCGCAGCGACACAGAGGGCAUGUUUGGUGUAUCUUCAGCCAAGCUUCGAUGCAAUCUUGAUGAAAUUCAUGAGAGCAAUGCAUCCGAACCAGUUGGUCUCCCAUCACAAUUUCUUCCGCGCAAAUCACGCAGUUCAGUUCACGACUCUCGUGGAUCUCGCUCUCCGAGACGGUGACCACGUGCGUCAUACUAACCAUCACCUUCGUCCUCUUGCGCCCCUUGUCGUUCACCUCGCGGGACAACACCCUCGCGAUCUCAGACACUAACUCGUCGCGGGUCAUGCAUGUCCUGCCCGCGUACUUCCCCGCGUUCAUGUCGAGCCACUGUAUCCGGUCCAAAGGGAAGGGCAGCAGCAUGCCCUCCAUCAUGGAGGGCACGAUUGUCCACUAUGGCGAGGAUGGCGAGUGGUCGUGGGACGCGAACGGCGUGCUCGGAUGCUCCGCUCGGUACGAAAAGCCACGUUCACAGAUUCGGCCUCCUGUUCCUCCUUGUACUUUGGACAGACUACAGUAGCUUUGGACAUGGCAUGACAAGAUCACACUGGGUUGGGGCAAAGAUUCAUCGUCAUCGUCUGGAACACGCGUUGGUAUUGCGAAGACUCGAGUGUAAUAAUUCGACAUCUUUACGAGAAUUGUGGAGAUGGCAAGUGAAAGCGUUCUUGGGUUGGGUAUGUAUAUAUAUGUACUGAGUCAUAGGACACCGCCAUUGACAGAAAUUUCAGGAAACAAGUUGUAUAGUUUCCUCUUUUAAGCUUUGGUUCGUCCAGAUUAGAGAAAGUCUAUGUCAAAGAUUUUGAGUCGUUUAUCCUAAAAACUUUCCUUUUCUCAAGAUAAGAUUUGAGUUACCCGUAUUUCUCAACAAUUAGCCGAUUUUAUUUCCUCAUUUGAUCUUUCGGCCAACUUCCUCUAGUAUCGGACCCAAGUGAAAAAACACCUUAUAACAUAAUAUUUCACUUAUGAACCAAAAAACAUAAUAUUUCACUAAUUAAAUAAUGACAUUGCACACAAGUAAGGAAUAAGUUUCAAAAUUUGAAAUCUUUUCAAUAAGGUUGUCCGUGAGAUAGAAGCUUCUUAUACAACCCCAUGAAAAAAAUUUCUUAUUCAUAUUUCACAUUAUUUUAAAAAUAUUGUGAAAUUACUGAUGGCUUAUACACAAAGAAGAUAGCGUGACCGCAACACAAUGUGACCUACCCCAAACUUAAUAGUAUUCUUGUCGCACUAAAUAAAGAGAAUCACCAUUUAGCAUUUAGCGUACCGAGUAACAUGGCUGUAUUGGGCGCUGCAAACACAAUCUUAAGCUAAGAUAUGACAUCUUUUGAAAUGCCAGAAAACUCAGCAGAAAAUGAUACAGAACAUUGUUUGCCAUUCUUUUCUGUGGUGCAUUGAUCGGGUUAAUAAGAAGGGCACAGCUCUCCCUUUGCCUUGACCACCGCCCCAAUGAACAUCUAAUAUAAUUUCCACUCCUUGGUGACACCAGCCACGAAAGAGUUCUUUCUUGCAUUCCUUACUUUGUCUUCUUCAGGGAAAAAUCCAUUUGACGAAUUUGGAAAGAGCUUAAAAGAGAAGGAUUAAAGAACAUAACGGCACCCACUGAACGACCUCACAAGCCAAUCGAAGAGACUUUUUCAUCAGUCCGAAGAUAAUCGACCACAGCCUUCAGGUCAUCCUUCUAGAGGGGCCAAAAAGAAAGUGAACUGGAAAUUAUAAAGAAUAAUGAUUUUAAAACAACCUGCAUAGGGAUAAUAAGUUCCGAAGCAUUGCAACUGAAGCUAACAAGUUUUAAUAAGACAAAUACAGAAACUAGCAAGCCCAAUGGCAAUAAAGGUUUCAACUUUGAGGAAAGUUGCCAAAACAGUCCUAAACCUAUUACAUACAUGUGCAAAAUAUUAGCAAGCCUAGUGGCUGCUUCAUUCUACAGCCUCUUCUAUGCUAAAAACUUUCCCCAAGACAUAAGUAUGCCUAGUGCAUGGGGAAAGUUUCAAAUCAUCUGUUCUUUUAUUUUUUUGCUCCCUAAAAAAAAAAAAACAAAAAAAAAAGAAUAUGUUUGGUAACAUCAAUUAAUUUUUCUAUUUUUUGAAAUAGAAAAGUAGGACGAAUAGAUUUGAAAUAUAAAUAAAAAAUAGAAAAAAAUAGUUUCUUAUUCCCAGGAAUAAUUUUUAGAAAUAAGUCCAUUUUUUUUCUUCUUCCUACUUGCCACUCACCACAUGUUGCAGCGGGUGGCAGCGAUGAUAAGCAAGAAGAAGUGAUGAGCAGCAAGCAUGAAGAAGAAAAGAAAAAAAAAAGAAAAUAAAUCUUAAAAAAUUUAAAAAAUUCUACAUUACAAAAAAAUUUAUGAAUUGCACAAAAUGCAUUCCUAUUAUAUUUCAAUUCUAAGAAUAGGAAUUUUAUAUAAUUACCAAAUGCGUUGUUUUACUUAGAAAUUAUUUUGGGAAGUAAAAAUAGAAGAAAAUUAUUUUUUAAAAAUUAUUUUUCGAAACAAAAUUGUUAGCAUUUGCACCCCCAGCGAAUUCAGCCACAAGCCAUGUCACGGUUUUCCUCACAUGAAACUUACAUAUGUGUCAAGUCAAGAGUUAAACAGGAGAAAGGCCCGACAAAAGAGUCCAAGGAAUACUUUUUGGCCAAGUCUUUAAUAAACAAAUGCCUGGAAGAAAACACAGAACAGUAGUUACUCCGAUUUACUAGUAGAAACUCACUUCGUUCCACCCCCAAAGUCACAUGUUCCUUCCCCAUAAAGUCCUGAUCCAGUGAAAUCGAGGGUAAAAACAGUAACAUUUGAAGGAAGCAAAAGUAUGGUCGCUUCACCCGCGUCAAUUCGACCCUCGUGCCCAAAACUGUGAUUUACAAGAGACUGUUGAAACUUUGAAAUUAUGCUAAAUUCAUUUAGUAUGUAUCAAACAGACAAUAAACUUGCUCCCAUAGCAGAAAAUCAUGCAUGGAAAAGGCUUUCCUUGACCAUCAACUACGGGUACAUAAUUACUACAUUUGAGGAAUCACGAAUAUAUGCAACCUGAAAAAUAUGUAGACCAAUAGAGAAGAAUUAUGGCAAAUAUGAGCAAGUGUUAUGGUCUCGAGGUUCCCGUGAUAAAGGAUCGUGCUAGACCGAUGGAGACCAUCCAAGUUCAGCCAGGUUUUGCCCUAGGAUUUAUGGAACAUUCUCAGAGAUGGGUGAGACAGUAAUUGAGUCAGGUUCUAAAAUUCUCUCGGCUUAGUUGGUAGGACAAGUGAUAUGAUCUUGUCCGCUAGAUUGAAUAUAAAUCAAUGGUUGUAAUGAGAAGGCCUUUAAUAUAAGAAGAGAUGCUCUCCCAUCAUUUUAUUCAUCCAAACAUUCAAUAAUAAAGAUCCAUUCUCUCCGGAGAGCUCUCUCUCCACGAUCCGUAUCAGAAGACAAUCCAUUACACAAUCAUGGAAAUUACAUCUUGGUGCUUAAAAAAAAAAUACAAGGGAGAAAAUUUGUCCAUUGAAGACACUAUUCUACAACUAAAAAUAACAUUCUUCCAUAUAUGACUGGUUGUUCCUAAAGGUCAUAAGCCUCUUCAUUGAACCAAAACCUUUAUUCAUCUGAUUUUCUAUGAAUAAAAAAGAUAUCAAACUUCAAGAAUGACAUAAAUUCAAUUAUGUCUCAUGAAUAAAAUAUAUUGAAAUCGACAUCGAUGCAAAUCUUUAAACUUUCAUUGAUUAUAGAUUCUAUAAAGAAAAUAGGUAAGAAUAAAUGCGACAUUUACUACGACACAAUGCGCUUUAGUUUUUUCCACUUCUGCUGAGAAAGUAAACAUCCAAAGACAUCCAUAAUAUGGCUUGCUAGCCCUUAGCAACCAUCAUUGUGGCUGUCAUAUGGAUGGACAUAUCCGAACAGGCGUGUGAUGCAAUUGAGGUCUUUUCCGAAGCAUUGCCCCCAUCAAAAAUCUCUUGGCUCAAAUCCAUGGACAAAGUUUUAGAUGAUGAUAAUAUGCUUUUAUCCGGACGGAGAUGGAUGUUUACUUCAGAUGUUGAACUGCAUGCUCUAGUGAAUGAAGGAUAGGAUUAUUCUUUUUAUUGAUAGUGGGAUUUAUCAGCUUAUGAUAAAAGCAGAACUUGACAUUGUGACAUCUCUUGAGAUAAUUAGUGAAUUUAAACCUUGUUCUUGAUCGGUAGUUUGGGAGAGUAAAAGUCAAACUACUAUAAAAUCCACUUUUAAUAUCUUCUAUCUUAAUAUCUAUUCAAAAAGACCAUUUGCAUCAAUUUUGUUCCCGCAUCUAUCGAGUUUUAACUUAGAUUAUACCAACAAAAAAAUAAAAUAAAAUUCUCUAGCUUUUAAAUCAAUUUGUCCAUCCCUCUAACUAGCAUUAUUCGCCUCAACGGUUGUUUGGUUUGGAUGUGGGGAAAAAAAAGCAAAAACCAAAUAAAUUCGAUAAUAGAUGGAGAUUUUCGAAAAUCAAAAUGAGAUAGUCAUCAAAUGUUUUUUUCCUUAACAAACAAUUUUAGCUUCGGACCGAAUAAUGUUUUUCAUGGAAGGAUGCACGUUUUUGUCGGGCCAUAAAUAGGUGACGACUUCCCUGAACAAAUUCUAAGAUAGACUACCCAUCUUGUUCAUUUCUCAUCGGUUUCUUACUCCCAUUCUUUUCCUUAUUUCAUGUCAGCAUGAGAAAUGCUCUUUUAAAUCAAAAUCUUUCCACCAUGUUCUUGCUGUCUCUGUCGUCUCAUUGGCUCUGUUCUUACCUGGGAAGCACUUGUUGGAGUUUUGUUUGAUAAAACAAAAUGAGUGCCUUUUUCUUUGUCUCACAUAGAAAAGGUGAGAGCAGGAGGGUCAGUUUAAAAAUGUGGAAUUUUCCUUUUGUGGUUAAAGGAGUGAUUAGGUGGGGCUAAACCCCACCAUACCCGCAUGCGGGUGCGCGAUUUUGGCGCACUUAGCACUUAGCACUUAGCACUUUAAUUAGCAUUAAUCCCUUGCUUUUUAUUUAUUUAUUUUUUGGUUCAAAGGUUGCCUUUUAAUUUGAGAAUUUCGGAAAUGAAAUAUAAAUGAAAAUUCGAAAUUCUAUUUAAAUAUAUAUAUAUAUAUAUAUAUAUAUAUUAUUCUGAAUUUUAUUUGUGUCUUUUCAAGACAACCUUUGGAAAAUUACUUAUUCGGUUUUAAUUUUUCCGAAGGAUUGCAAUUGUUCGUUUUUCGACUUCUUCCGAAGAGUCGCAUUUGUUUAUCCGAGCAAUUUUCUAAAGACGUGUCUGUUCGCAAUUUUCAUGAACAGUUGCAAGACUGUUUCAUAUAUAUAUACUUGUCAUUUUUCGGAAAGAGGUGUGUGGUCAUUUUCGAGUCUUCUUUCUGAAAAAAAAAACAGCAGCCAAUUUUCAAUUGUUUCUUAGAGAGACCCUGGAGAAAUACUAGAAUUGAUAUUUAGUAUUCUCAUCCGAGACUUUGUUGUAUCCUGGAGGAUUUUUGCCGGUGACCAUUAGCAACGUUGUGGGGCAAAUAAAUCCUUAAAGAAAGUGAUAUCACGCCUCAAAGUCCGAGUUGUUUUACUCGAUCCGAUUUCAUUGUACUACCCAAUUUCGAAGCAUAUUUUAACAACAGCACUCAGCGAGCACGUAACAGAGGCAAAAUCACAGAGAAUGUCCCGGCCUCAGUGCUGCGAGAACCCUCCAACCCUGACCCGGCAAGCGACAAGGCCAUGUUGAGAAGCUGGGUGGAGUCAAGAGCUAUGUCUCUGGUUCAUGCGACUCUAAUCUCACCAUCGUCCUCGAGUCUGAUGUGUUUGUUACUUGCAUUGUCCUUCCUUUUCAUCGAUGAAGUUUGCAUUUUGGGUUCGUAGUCGGUGCUUCUGGUUCAAACUGCGAGGUGGGUCAGUGAUUUAAGUUGUGAUUUGUCAUAAUCUCUGGGUCAACCUUUAAGUCCCGUUUUUUUUGGGUUGUAAUCUGAUGAAACUAUCUGAUUCCUGCUUUGGCGCGAGUGGCUACGUUUAUGGAGUAGGCUGUUUCUUGGAAGUUUAUAUUGAGAGUUGGUUCAUGAUGGCAUGUGAUUUAGCAAUUGGAGGUUACUGAAAUAGGAGCAUAAAUAAGGAAAACCUAUUUAUAUGGUUGCAUUUCUACCAUUUCAUCUGUUUUUCCUCUUUUCAGAACUAACCAUAAUUUGGGUGGUUGUAUUCAUUGUGCAGGAUGUGAAGCUUCAAGGUUGAGGUAUAGACGAUUCCCAUAUAAUCCUUUCUUGCAACUUGCUUGUUUUUGUUCUUCCUAGACCAUCUCUGUGCGUGUCUCUGUUGGGGGCAGUGGAGGAGGUUAUGCAUGAAUGAGACUUCCCUUGUUGUCUUUCUAUUGUUUAUCUAAUUUUUCCUUUUUAUCACAUUUUGAAUUGCUUCAGAGUUCAUUAUGUUAUGACUUUUGUCACGCUCCGAUCCUUGAGCCCAUUCCAAUCCCUCUGUGGUCGAUAAAAUUUUGCGACUUUCCAAGACGAGUUACCGACUUUUUCAUUUUAUUGCACAUUCGGAAGCAAAUAACAAAUCCCCUAAUAGUAACCAUCUUGAGAUAAAAAAAAGAAAAGCAAGAUAACACAUUCAUAAAACAAACAUGCUUUCAUAACACAUCGAGUUAUAUACACAAGUGUAUAACCAAAAGACUAGUUCUCAAAAAGAGGUUAUCCUAUCUGACCUACUCUUCAGGUCACCUCAGCUUAGCUCCAGACCCUCCACUUCACGGUCCUAAAAAAUGUAAGCCUAUGACGGGGUGAGAUAUAAAUCUUAGCGAAUUCACGCUCUAAGCCCCGAUUACAAGGGAAAUACGCCUAUAAACGUCCUAACCAUUUGACCACACAAUUAGCACAGAGGACUUAUCUCACCCUAGUUUCAUUCCUGCACGUUAGUACAGUUUAUAUUGCAAUGCACAUAACAAUUGGAACACCUCAUUAACUCAAUUAGUCACAAGGGUAAUGAUUAUAAGGUUUAAUUGUUAUAACACGUCCCAUAUAAUGCCACACCGUUUUGUUUCAAAAUCAGGCACAUCAAACUCAGACAAUCAUGCGUUCCAAUUGUUAAUUAAGCCACUUAAGGCACAAUUGACUCCCAUGUUUGGCUGUUGUCAAGUCCCGAUCCUUUGGGCUCAUGCCCAUCCUUGUCGGGUCGAUAUAAUAACGAUGUCCUAGGAUGCAUCGCCGACCUCUUUAUUUUAAUAUACACACGCGGAAGCAGAUAUAAAAUCCACAAACAAUAAAAUAAUGAGAUAGAAAAGUAUGAUCAAUUUUUCAUAAAAAACAUUUUAUAAAUACACAGGUUUAUACACAAAAGCCUACAAAAAGGGAAUUGACUAUAAUCAAAAUAGAAUUGUCCUAUGACUAGCUAGUCAGACAAGGAUGCCGAUUCUUCGAGCUUCAACUUCUAACUUCAAUCCUUGGGUCCUCCACCGAUGUCAACUAGGGACCUGAAAAUGGUUAUACAAUAAUUAGUAAGACAAUGUCUCAACAAGUCCAACCCCCUAAGACCCGAUUAGAAAGCAAAUAUGUCACAAGGGCUGCCUAAGUGCAACCAUGAGUCAGAGGACUUACCUUGGCCUCAGUCUUCUUCCUGCAAGUCAAUAUCAUUUAAUAUUUCAAUGAAUCAUAUCAACCAUCAAAUCGUUCAAUCAGAUCGAAUCAUCGAUCAAUCGACCCAAUCGAUUAUAUGUCAUCACGACCAUCUCUUGGUCGGCCCAUUCAAUACUAUUUAUGAGUUUGAUCAAAAUCUCGGACUCCUCAAUCAAAGUGAAAUAUAGAUAGUACUAUCCUAUCUCCAUAUGACAUAUAGAGCCAUCGAGCGGGUAUGCAUAACAUUCUAUCUUCAAGACGACAUAUAGGGUCAUCGAGCCAUUAUAACAUAUCUAUGCAUAACAUUCUAUUUUCAAGAUGACAUAUAGAGUCAUUAAGCCGUAAUAAUACAUCGUUGGAUCAUAUCGUCCUUUCUCCAAGAUGACAUAUAAAAUCACUGACUCGGUAUACAAGCAAUUCCUUCUCAAGAUGACAUAGAGUUAUUGAGCUAUUAAGUCAUAUCGUUCUAUCUCCAAGAUGACAUAUAGAGUCACCGAGCUGGUAUACAUGCAAAUCAUUCUCAAGAUGAUAGGAGAGUCAUUGAGCUAAUAUAACAUUCAUUCUCCAAGAUGACAUACGAAUUAUCGAGCUGUCAUAGUAUUUUUGUUCUAAAGACAGAAUCAAUUUACCAUUUUUAUCAUACUCGAUAAAAAUACACGUGUGUGGGUACACGAUCGGCCUUAACCAAAAUACAAGGUUUUCACUUUCGAACCUCCAAUUAUUUCUAGUAGUCCCCAAAUAGAGUUUUGGCGAUGUGGACCAACGCUCGGUAAUUUUCCACUUAAUUACCAAAAUUAUUCAAUUUAGGAAUAAAGUCAUAAAAUCACAAUUAAAUCAAUUCAGCACAAAUUAAACUCAGAUAAAUAAACAGAUGGCACCACAAUAACUAUCAUAAAAUUUCAGUCGUCGGCUUGCCUAGCUUAAUUUUCAAAAAAAAAAUAAUUAAUUAAUUAAUUACAAAAUAUAUAAAAUAAAUGUCAAUAAAUCCAACUUAGACCUAUAAUGCCAAAUUAGACACCGAAACGGACCUGGAAAAUUUUCAAGGUUUGUUAAAUAAAUACUAGAACGUGUUUACUCGCUAAUUGCACUAACUAACCACUUAUCAUGCAUCUGCAAAUGAUUAAAUUCACUAAUAUAAUGUAAUCUAAUCUAAUCUAACCACCUAAUCCAUCUUAGCCUAAACUAAUCAACCAUUAAGCGUGCUUAACUGACUAAGUGAUGAUUAGUGAGUUCAACUCACUUGUUUAGCAAUCCAGCAAGUCCAUGGCAACGGCAACGCGGAGGCGAGUGACAAUCCUCCUAGUGGCGACACCAAGCGAGGCUAGGAAGGGCUCAAAAAUGAGUCACGAAGUUUGAAAACCCUUGCUGGUUUCUACUUCUGUUCUGGGCUGAACUUCAAAGAAGAAACUAGCAGCUUCAACGGCGAAAACGGGCUAAUUGGAGCUCUAGCGAGCGAGUGGUUGGCAACCGGAGGCUCCCAGGAGUCUAGGGAAACUUGUUGGUGGUUGGGAUGGGCAAAGGAAGGGUUAGAUUAGGAGAAAAAUGAAGAAAAAUGCAAAAUAGUGCAAAUGGGCUGUAGACCGGCGGACUGGCGAUUGGUGGCUUGCGGCGGCUGGAUGGGACGGCUGGCGACUCUGUUUGGGGUGAGGUUGGGCUCGUUCGGAUGGGCUCUCUAUCCUGGUCACGGUGGUGGGUGAAGUGUAAGCUAAUUUGUCUGGGAAGGAAACUUUUAACUCAGAUCUUUGACGAAAGGUUAACUGGAGCAGAAACUGGAACGAGGAGAAAAAGGAGGGAAAAAAAGAGGUCGACGAGCAAGGGGGAAGGGCUAGCUUGGUUUUUCUGGUUCUCCUGAGCUUUCCAAGGACCUUGGCAAUGGAGAAAUGAGGAGGAUAGAGGAAGAAGAUGGCUAAUGGAGAGGGGGACAAGUUUGGAUAGAAGGGGGCCACCGCGUAGUCUCACUUAUCCUCUUUGGUCCCCUUGACCGCUCCCCUCCACCAGCUGAGUUCCAUGGCUGAAAAUCAGCCACCUUGCCCUUCUAGAAGUUCAUUUGAAGUGGUCCAUAAGUCAUGGAUGGGGGGCAUAUCAAUUUAACAAGUUUUCUCUUCAAUUUGACCCUAAUUCCUCUUUGAAUCCAUCCAAUUUGGCUUCUCAAAAUUCAACCAUCACCUCAUUGAUCCAAUUGGUAUUUUUUUUCAUCAAUUGAUUCCACUUGCAUCCCAAUUGUGCGAUAAAAAACGGUCCAUUAUAUUUUCUGAACAAAAACGGCCCUACCUCAACUUUUUCCAAAAAGUCUUGGUUUGCAGAAAAAUCUUCAAAGAUUGAGUCGACGCUCCUAAAGUGAUUUGUGACACGACAGGACUUCGAAAUUUUUGGUGCAAUUGACCCGUGGUUGAUUCUUUGAGCCACAUGUACCUCUUCGACACAUUGGCGACUUCUGGUUGUCGUGAAAAUCUCGAUGAUUCAAAUACGAACAUAGGGUACCAAAACGAUUGAAAAAUCAAUUUAGUACUGGUUGAUGAGAAUUUUCUAAUUUAGUGGAGUCACCCAUGUUUAGCCACACAUUUCAGUCAAAUCGACCUAUCUCUAAUCUCUAAUCAAUUUUUAAUUAUGCCGUAAUGACCUCUAAAGAUGAGCACGGUUGAGUAGUCGAUUCUUAAUCGAAUUCUCAAGUGUAUAGUAUUAAAAUUCCUUAAUGGCUUCCCUAGAUAGUUUAGUUAUCUCGUGAGUGGCCAUCUUAGAGAAAAGUACUAUAGGCGCAUCGAUGAAAGGCCCAACUUAUUCAAUCGAAAUCGAAACCUAAAAUUCAGGAUGUCAUAUCUGUCUACUAGCGUAGCUAGGCAUCGUCUCUUUCCCACUAAGCAUGGCUUUGUCUCUCAUAGACAGCAUUUCCGAAGGAACAUAGGUCCAGAAUCUACUGCGACCCGAUACCCUAAUGCUGGGUAACCCAAAAAGGGAUUUAAUAACGUCCGGUGUAAUUGCUCGAGACAUGUUUUCUUAAUCAACGCACGACCAAUCAACUUUGGCCCAGGACACUAUGCAUUACACUCAAAUGCCUCAAUUAAAAUAGUGAUCCUAGCAUAUUUUCUUCGUAUUAAAAAUACACGGUAAAUUAGUCGUGUGUAAGUACACGGUCAGAUUGGACCUAGAAAAUUCAUUACCUCCAAUUUAAAAAUCCCACUAUUUUAUAUAAUAUAUAAAACCAUUUUUGGUGUCAAAAUACGACACCCGGGAUUUUUUUGAAUAAAUAUUGAAUUUCACAAAUUUUAGAAUUAAAUACUCAAAAUUUCCAAUUAGCACUCAAUUUACACAAAUUAACAUCCAAUUGCAUAAAUUGAACACACCAUUGCAAUUAGCAUGAAAUUCCGGUCACCGGCUAUCCCGGUCUAAUUUCCGAAAAAUAAUUAAUAAUCAAAUUAAUUUACCUUUAAAUAAAUAAAUUACAAAAUAAAUAAAUUUAAAGCAUUUAAUUAAAUUAACCUAAACUAACUAGGCUAAUUACUUUCACUAACAAUUAAAUCUAACCAUUCUAUUUAAUUUAAUCUAAGUACACUAAUUUAAAUAAACUAACUAAUUCCUAACUAAUCCACCUAACUAAACUAAUUAAACUAACUAAAUACUAACUGUAUACUUAAUCUAACUAAGUCAUCCUAAGCUUAAUCAACCUAGUUAAUCCACCAAUUAGCUAACUAACACACCUCUAAGUGCCAUUAGCUUAUUAAUUAGGGAUUAGAACACUAACUCACCGGUUAGCAUGAAAAUCAGUUCACGGUGAUGGCGGUGCAACGGCGGCCGGGACUUGCGCUCACGGGGAGGCCAAGGGAAGCCUGGGCUCAGAGGGGAUGUGGGCGUGUGUGAGGGGGGGAAGGGGUUUUGAUGGAGGGGAUGGCAGAAGGAAAAUGAAAGAAAAACUAGCAAUGAAGGAAACAAGGGCAUGCGGUGCGUGGAGAAGAUGGUGGGUGGAAGCAGGUGAGAUGAUGGGCAGUAGCAGGCGGUCUUCUCGGCAGCUACAGAAGUCCAAAGAAGGUUGGACUCUUCAAAGGAACAAUUGAAUAAAAAAUAGAGAUCGCAGGGGAAAAAUGAAAUGAUGAGGCAGCGAAGGAGGAGUGCUCGAUUGGGGCAGCUGGAGAAGAGGGGACCAAAAGUCAACAAGCUUAGCCAAAAACUUAAAUGCUUGGUCCCCUGUGGUCUUCAAGCUUAUCUUAAUUUCCCUUAAUACUUUCUUGAAUAGAAUUUCCACAAAUUGUCCAAUUUGAGGCCAAAAUACAACUCACCAACCAUAACUCCGAAUUUCUUAAGUUUUGGCUUCAAUUUCUUCAUGAAAUUUCUCAAAUCAAUGUCCAAUUUCGUCAAAGAAAAAUCCCAUACAUUUCCACAAAUUUCCAUCACCCAGUAGCUUGGCUUAGAAGUCGAAAUUCCCUUCAAAUGAGCUAAACCGAAUUUUCGUUCGUUUUCCGAAUCGUUUGAGUCGAUUUUCCGUAAAAAUCUUGGAAUCUCCGAAUUUUUUUUGGAAGAUGAGUCAACGUUUCUAAAAUGAAUCGUGACACAACAGAACUUCUAAUUUUUGAAAUCGAGUUCAAUUUUGUGGUUAAUUUCAAUCUGACGUGAUUUUAACGUGUUCUAAUCUACUGAGUAGCUUUUAGGAAUUUUGAAUACAAUUGACUUGUGAUUGAUUAUUUUUGAACCACUACGUACAUCUUCGACACAUUGGCGACUCUCGAUUGUCGUGAAAAUCUCAAGGUUUCAAAUAUGGACACAGGGUAUGAAAAUGAUAGAAAAAUCAGUCUAGUGUCGUUUGACAGAAAUUUUACAAUUAGGUGGAAUCACUCAUGCAUUAAUCACAUAUCUCGAUCGAAUCGACCUAUCCUCGGUCUCUGAUCGAUUUUGACAAUGCCGUAAUGACCCUUACAGAUUAGCACGAUCGAGCGGUCGAUUCCUGGUCAAAUUCUCAAGGUUAUUGCAUUUGGAUUUCUUAACGGCUUCACCUGAUAGGCUAGUUAACUCAUGAGUGGCCAACUCAGAGAAAAAUGUUGUAAGCACGUCGAUGAAAAGUCCAUUUCAUCUCAUCGAAAUUAGACUCGAAUAUCAGGAUGUCACAACUCUUCCCCUUUUAUAAAAAUUUCAUUCUCGAAAUUUAAACCAUUACAAAUAUUAUACAAAAAUGUGGGGGUACAAUCGUCUCAUCGAUUCUUCAGUUUCUCAGGUUGCUCCUUCAGUGCCGUGGUGUUGCUAGACCACUUUGACCAACGGAAUGAUCUUGGUGCACAGAACCUGCUCCUUGUGACCCACACUCUAAACCGAGCUUUCAACGUACGACACUCUAUUGUCCACGUCCAAUUCCUCAAAAUUAAGCACGUGGGUCGGGUUAGGAUCAUACUUCCUCAACAUCGACACGUGAAAGAUGUCAUGCACUUGCGCUAGCCUCGCCGAUAAUGCAAGACGAUACGCUAGGAUAUCGAUUCUUUCUAGAAUCUCAAUUGGACCUAUGUACCUCGGACUCAACUUUCCUUUCUUGCCAAAGCGCAAAGUAUUUGUGACACCUUAAGAAAGACAUGAUCACUAACUUGGAAUUCCAAUGGUCUUCGAUGCUUAUCAGCGUAGCUUUUUUGGCAGCUUCGAGCGGUCUUCAAUCUGUCUCUGAUGACAGCUACUACAAUCACUGAUUGCUGGACUAAUUUUAGGCCUAUGAUUUUUCGUUCUCCGACUUCAUCCCAACACACUGGCGUUUUGCACGCUCUGUGAUACAACACUUCAAAAGGAGCCAUUUGAAUGCUCUGUUGGUAGCUAUUGUUAUAGGCAAACUUGACAAGGUGAAGUUGUCCCUCCCAGCUUCCCUUGAAUCCAACUUGCAAGCUUGUAGCAUGUCUUCAAGGGUUUGAAUCAUCCUCUCAAAUUGGUCAUCCGUUUGAGGAUGAUAGGCCGUACUGUACUACAGCUUCAUUCCUAAAGCACUUUGCAAACUUUUCCAGAAGGCAGCUGUAAAUCUCGGGUCUUGGUUUGAUGUAAUCGUCAUUGGCACUUCAUGCAGACAAACUAUUUGACGUACGUAUAGCUCUGCGUGCUUGUCCAAGUCAAGGUCCUUUCAUAUUGCCAUGAAGUGAGCCGACUUUGUGAGUCUGUCGACCAUUACCCAAAUAGAAUCAUUUCCUCUUUGACUCCUCAGUAACCCUAUCACAAAGUCCAUUGUGAUGUGUUCCCAUUUCCACUCAGAAAUCUCGAGAGGUUGUAGAAAUCCUCACGGCUUAUAAUGCUGUGCCUUCACUUGCUGACACGUCAAAUAUUUGGUGACACCGGACCACCAAUAGUGUUGACGCAGAUUCUGAUACAUCUUCGUACUGCUACGAUGAAUGCUGUAACUGCUACGAUGAGCUUCUUAUAAGAUUUCUUCUCUAAGCUCCACAUCGUUAGGUACACACAAUCAUCCUCGGGACCUCAAUGUUUCAUCUUCAGAAAUCUAAGCUCCACAUGCAAACUAAAGUGGCUUGAUGUGCGGACUACAUGUUCUGAAAUUCACACUCCAACCCAUAAACCUGAGCUUUGAUCUCCAAAAGAAGCUCAAGCAGUCUCUUAAAGUUUGCUGUAAAAUCUGUUUGAGUACAAGCUUCAGCACAAGUGGUUUGAGGAGUGUUGAUUGAUGAUGGAACCUUAGCAGGAACAUCUAGACUUGGAGAUGAAGCCUCAUUACUAUAUUCAGGAAAUUGAGAGACAUACACAUCCUCUGGAUCGGCAGGAAAACGACUAACAUCAUCACUAGUAAAGGCAAGUGAAGAAGUACCUCUUUUAUUAGCAGCUCCCCCUGUUUCUGUGCCUUCGGGGUGGAGAAAAGUACUCUUCUUCUUGCUCUUGCUCUUCUUUAGCAUCACGGUGAUGUUGUCCUUCUUCUUUUGCAUGAGAAUCACCAUGACCCUUUUCUUCUUGUUGUUCUCCUCUUCUGUCUUCUUCCUCUAUCCUCAUCGCUUUUCUUUCUUCAUCUCUAUGCUCUAUCUCUUCUCUUUCUCUGUUCUCUCGAGCCUCUGUUCUUGGAAAGCUAACAAAACUCUGUAAAUUCUUUAAGGCAAAAGCAGAGAGAGUGAUGUCAUCCUCAUCUUCUUCAUUCUGCAAGAUGAAUGCUCUCCUCUUCUUAGUUGGUUCUGUCAUGGGCUCUUUGCCUUUCCUUUUUUCCUGUUUUAGAGUCUUAUCUUGCCUUGACAUGGGACUUCACCUUAAUGCUCUCCAAAACCUUGUUUAACUCCUUCAGACGCAUUUUGGAAACCAUCUUUAGUCCCACUACCAUUGAAUCAAUGGUUCAAACACACAAAAUUUGGGAGGCUGAAUGUUGAAGUAUCCAAAUAAUCGAGUAACAAGAGCAUAAUAAGGAAGUUGCCUUUUGUCCUUCACCACUGUCCUAUACAUGUGCAUAAGGAUAAUGUGAGGCAGAGAGAACUUGUAACCAAUGUUGAUGUCAUACAUCAACUUCACUUCAGAGUUUAAGACAUUAGUCUUUGAUGUGGAUUUGGGUCUGAGACAAUUAAUCACAAUCUUAUGGAGCAAGAUAUUAGAGGCAUUCAUUCUGAAGUAAGAAAUCCUGCCUUCAGCAAUUCUAUCUCGAACAAGCUCCAAAUUUGUAUGAGUAACAGACACACUGAUUGGUUGGAAACUCCCUUUUUCCACCCCAAUCACAUCAGCCAAAGUGUCCACAUCGACCACAAAAUUCUUGUCUCUAACACUAAAGGAAAAUCUAUUCACAUCUAAAAAUGAUAUAUUGGCAUAGAAAUAAGCUGUAAAUUCUGGAUGCGUAACAGUUGUCUCAGAGCAAAAACGUUCAAGUUGAAAGAGUGCAAACUUCUCCCUCGGUUUCACUUUCAACGAAUCAAGAAAAUCAAAAUCCACACUCCUAAGGUUCAUCACCCAUUGCUUCAACAGUUUAGAAUAAGUUCUCUUGUGAUCCUUAGAAUGAAAAAGAUCUUUCUUUUUACCAUGAAUGUUUGCAGCGACACCCAUCCUAGGUUUAAAAUUUGUGAACAUCCUCUCAUCGUCAUCUUUUCCUUCAGGUUGAUUAAAUGAUCCAAAUUGUGGAUCACUUGGGAAAUUCGCAAAAACCUUUUUUACCGAACCAGCAGGCAUAAUGCCCAUACUCUCCAUUGUCUUCAAAAAAUGAGUUUCAUUUCUGUAACAUUUCUCGCUCAAAAACUCAUGAAUGAAGGACAUUGCAGUACCACAUUCCUUCAAAGUGGAGUAUAGUUUGAAAAUAAAUUCGGGCUUAAGAAUCCUUACAGGUUCCACAUUUUCAAUGAUUUCUUCCUCUGCUUGUUGUUUUGAAGGAACUUGAGUUCUAGGCUAAGAAGAGUGAUGCAGUUGAGAAUGUUGUUGUUGACUUUGCUGCUGCUGCUAAGAGUCUUCUUCCUCGGUUAGAUCAAAGUACGUAGGACCCUCAUGCAUAUGAUGUGGUCCCCUGCUCACGAUUCUAGAGGACUUUCUUUACGAAGACAUUUCACUGUCUUUGAGAGAUUUCUCGAACUUGAUCGCGAAAAAAGAUGGGAACUUUAUGGAUUAAACUAGAGAGAAAAAGUAAGAAAGUGAAGUUUUGUAUUCUAGGGUUUGUGUGAAAACAAAAAUGAAGAAAAUCGACAGUAUAUAAAGUAGAAGAAACGAGGUAUACGAAUUGUCAUAAAGGAAAAAUAAAAACUACCUUUUUGAAAAUGAAAAACUGCCAUAAAUUCAAAAUUAAAAGGAUGAUUGCUAAAAUAAAAUUAGUAAGUAACAAUUCAAAAAGUGAACGUACCUUUUGAAAUUUUCACCCGGAAAUUAUAUUACUAACAUCGAAUUAACUUACAGUCGCAACUUUGGGAUAUUCUGAGUCUGAUCAUCUUCAAACUUUAAUUGAGAAGGAUAUAAUAUUCAGUAUGGUACGAAUAGACUCAAAUAGACUUUUCUCUAAUGACUUUGUGAAUAUGUUUGCCAGCUGAUUCUUUGAGUCAAUGAAUUGUAUCGUGACUUCUCUAUUCUGAACAUGAUCUCUAAUGAAAUGAUAUCGAAUCUCUAUAUGCUUUGUUCUUGAAUGAAAAAUUGGGUUCUUUGUGAGAUUGAUUAUGCUGGUGUUGUCGCAUUUGAUCUCGGUGCAUGAGUCUUCGAUUCCAAAGUCUUUCAAUUGUUGCUUUAUCCAUAAGAUUUGAAAACAGCAACUUCCAAGAGUCACAUACUCCGCUUUUGCUGUUGAAAGAGCUAUAGUACAAUGCUUCCUUGAGAACCAAGAUAUUGUCCUAUUUCCCAGCAAUUGACAAGUACCAGAAGUGCUGUUUCUAUCAACUCUGCAACCUGUUAAAUCUGCAUCUGAAUAUCCAAGGAGAGUAAAGUCUCAUUCUUUGGGAUACCACAGACCUAGGUUUGAAGUAGUUGCAAUGUAUUUGAUGAUGUGUUUUGCGGCACUUAGAUGAGAUUCUUUGGGAUCUGAUUGAAAUCUAGCACAAAUGCAAACACUAAACAAAAUGUCAGGUCUAGAAGUAGUAUGAUAAAGAAGUGAACCAAUAAUACUCUUGUAGAGUUUCUGGUCAACUUUCUUUCCUCCUCCGUCUUUGUCCAGCUUCGAAGAAGUUGACAUUAGUAUCUCAGUCUUUUUGCAAUUCUUCAAUCCGAACUUCUUGAUGAGGUUUUUUGCAUAUUUUUCUUGGUGAAUGAAAAUUCAUUCCUUCAAUUGCUUAAUUUGUAAUCAAACAAAGAAAGAUAAAUUACCCAUUAUGUUCAUCUCAAAUUCAUCAUGUAUAGACUUAGAAUACUUCUUGCACAAGUUUUCGUUAGAUGAUCCAAAUAUGAUAUCAUCAACAUAGAUUUGAACAAGUAGAAAAUUUUUACCCUUUCUUUUUAUAAAUAAAGUAGUAUCCACUUUUUCUUUAACAAAACCAUUUUGAAUUAGAAACUUACUUAACCUAUCAUACCAUACUUAAGGUGCUUGCUUUUAAUCUAUAGAGAGCUUUUUUCGGUCUAAAGACUAAGUGUGGUCUUUUUAGAUCUUCAAAUCCAGGUGGUUGUUCCACAUAAACUUCUUCUUGAAUAAAUCCAUUUGGGAAUACACUUUUGAUGUCUGUUUGGAAUAACCUGAAUUUUUUGUUGUUGGUAAAAGUAAGAAUAUAUAUUAAGCUUUGGACAAAUCAACAAGAAUUCGGCACCGUAACUCACACUUUAGCUGUGGGGGUAGGGAGAGUGUGAGGGUGCCGAAUCAAAAAAGUACAGAGAGAAGGAAAUAGAGCAGCAACCAAUCGGCUGAGCUACAAGUAAAAAAACAGACCAACGACCCUCAGGCACCCCUCCAAAGAGCGAAGAGACAGAGGAGAGCUAGGAAGAGGACGCCAAGCUGAAGAUGGACGGAUCAAACCCCCAACUUCUCUAGAGUCACUUGUUUCUUGGAGAAAGCGGGACAUUAGAGAACAAAAGAGCCUCAUCCUUCACAACCUUGAUCAAGUGAUUCUUCAUGGCCGGAAUUGCCCAAGAGUCACCACAAAAGAUGAUAGAAUUCCUUUUUUCCCAUAUGAAAUGGCAUAAAGCCCCAAAAGAGAAAUGAGCAAUACUGUGAAAAAAAUCUUUGCGGGAUAGGAAUUUGAGAGCCCAAGAGAGGUUGUCCUUCCAAACUCUAAUCUUCCAAGGUAAAUUACAUCUAGAAGCCCAAAAGAACGCAGGAGUCGCAGACGUUGUGCACUCAAAGAACAAGUGGUCCAUGGAGUCCGAAACGGAGAAGCAAAAAGCACAAACAGAGAACUCAAUCCUCCUAUAAGAGAGAAGGAGAGUCUGAGUUGGCAACCUAUUUUUUGCGAGCAACCACAAAUGAAAUUGAAAUCUGGGUGCAAGGUCAUUGUCCCAAAUAAGAGGAGCCCGAGACACUCGAUUCUUUUUAACCCUGAUGUAUUUCCAGGCAAAGGCAACAGAGAACGAACCUGAUGGAUCUUCUCGCUAGGUGAAGUGGUCAGGAUCAGUAGAAAGAAUGGGUAUAGUAAUUCCCAUAUUUGUGAGGAGAUCUCUCAAAGAAGCACCCACGGGAGAAUAAAGGUCCGCCACUACAGAAUAGCUUGGAAGGCGACAGCUCUCCACAAGGUCCGGCGGGAUAAGUAAGAGAAGCGGGCCACAUUCCAGUCAAUUGUCGUGCCAUAAGGAGACAGAGAAACCGUGGCCAAUCUUCCAAAAGAAAGAGAGCCUAAAGUGUCUUCGUAGUUGAAGGAUUUUUUUUCCACGCCCACGAACACGUAGUGGGUGUGGAGGAGUUCCAAAAGUUGUCAUUCUUUAAAAAAUAAGAAUGGAUCCAACGACACCAGAGAUAUUCUCUAUCGGUGAAGAGAAACCAGAUGUACUUAAGCAAGGAAACAAUAUUGCAGUCUCUCAAUUUCCGAAUACCCAAGCCACCUUCAUUUUUUGGGAGGCAAAUGUCAUCCCAAGAUACUUUGGCACCGCCUCGGUCAAGCAAGGUGCCCUUCCAUAGAAACUGUCUUAGCAAUUGUUCAAUUCUAUCAAGAACAUAUAUAGGUAGAGAAAAAACACUAGCCCAAAAGGCUUGGAUAGAAUGCAAUGCCAACCUUAUAAGUUGAAGCUUGCUAGCAAAGGAUAAAAAGCGGUGAGCCCACGAUUGAAUUCUUGCGGUAAUACGAUCAAUCAACGAAGCAUAAUUAGCUUUCCCAAGUCUUGAAGUGAUGAUGGGAACCCCUAAGUACCAGAUUGGGAGUCGACCUUCCUGAAAGCUAAAUGCAAGCCGAAUAUUCUCUCUGAUGGAAAUAGGGCCUCCUGAGAGAAACACCUCGCUCUUGUUUUUGUUCGAAAGCAAUCCACUCCAAUAUGAGAAUAUAUCAAGACUUCUCUUAAGGAUCGUGGCGGAAACCCAAUCAACUUGACAAAAGAGAAAGACGUCGUCGGCAAAGAAAAUAUGGGUCAGCUUUACCUUCUUGCAUCUCCAAAAGUAUUUGAAGCCUUUCACCGAAGUACGGGAAUUUAAAAUCCCUGAGAACACAUCCAUAACAAGGGUAAAGAGGUAUGGCGACAAAGGAUCCCCUUGGCGAAGGCCUCGACCUCCAGAGAAGAAGCCAUGAAAUUCGCCUUUAAUAGAAACCGAAAACUUGGGUGUUCUCACACACACCAUUAUCAAAUGGAUGAUCCAUUCCAGGAAUUUGAAAGCUUGCAGAGUGAGUUCCAAAAAAUCCCAGUCUACAGUAUCAUACGCCUUUUGAAAGUCCACCUUAACAGCACAUUUCGAAAGGUAAGGAUCUAAGUGAAAACUAGAGAACAAUUCCUGGGCAAGAAUAAUGUUAUCUCUAAUUCUCCUUCCUUUAACAAAUGCAUUUUGAGAUGAUCCAACCAAAACAUUCAAAACAACAACCACACGAUUAGCUAGAAUUUUUAAUAACCUUGUAAAUGGUAUUACAACAUGCGAUAGGUCUAAAAUCUGUGACUGCAGUAGCAUUCUGAACUUUGGGAAUCAACGUAAGGAUAGUACUGUUUACCUCUUUUAGGAGGAAACCCGAAGCAAAGAAAUCUUGAACAGCUUCAAUAACCAAUGGCCCCACAAGAUCCCAGUUGGUCUUGUAAAAUUCAACUGAAAAGCCAUCAGGACCUGGGGCUUUUCCUCUUGCUAGGGAGAAAAGAGUAUCCUUGAUCUCCGAAUCUGUGACCGGGCAAGAGAUGGAGCUGCAUUGAAUAUCCGAGAGAGGCUGAUGGAUGAGCUCCUUCAUCUCAUGAAGAGACGGUUUUAAGAGGCAUGCCUGAGGUGAGAGCAGCUUUGAGAAGUAUGACACAAACACUUGAGGCACAAGGGUUGGAUCAUCUAUGAGGGCACCAGAUGAAUCCAUAACCGAGAGGAUGUGGUUUCUAGUCUGUCUGUUCUUAACCGAAUUGUGGAAGAAUCUAGUAUUCCGAUCACCCUCUUUCAGCCAAGUCACACGAGACUUUUGACGGUAAAAAGACUCAUGGGCCCGUAGUUGGACAAAGGCACGUCGCUGGUUUUUUUCCAGGUCAGCAAGAGAUGAAUUAGAAGGAUCAUCAUGAAGCCCAACCUGAGUGAUGUGAAGGACUUCUCUAGCUUCAGCCGUCCUCAUCGAAAUGUCAGAGAAAGACUCUUUGUUGAGUAAUAUGAGGAGAGCUUUAACCAAUUUUAGCUUGGACACGAGGCGGAACAUCGGAACUCCCAAGACUGGCGUAUUCCAAGCUUGAUUGAUGCAAGACGAGUAAUUCGAGUGUUCGGACCAAAAAUGAAAAUAUUUAAACAGCUUCCUUCUCGACACUGGAUCAAGCACUCUAACAAUCAUAGGAGAGUGAUCAGAAAUACCCGGAUUGAGUAAGGAGGCUUAAGAGAAGGAGAACCGAUGGUUCCACAGAUUGUUAAUAAGGACCCAAUCAAUCUUGCGCAUUUUCCUUGCAGCACUAGAGGAAGUAGACCAGGUAAAACGGAGGUCAAUGUAUCGAAGGUCCACCAACUCGGUUUGAGCUAAACAUAAACGAAACUCGUCAAAAGAUGGAAUCCAAGCGUUCGAACCCCCCACCCUAUCCGAUGGGUCCUUAAUAGCGUUAAAGUCGCCAGCUACAAUCCAAGGCGAGUCCUGGAAGACUUCAUUGUAAUGGAUUAGAUCAUUCCAAAGGGGCCUACGACUGACAAAGUGUGAUCACCAUAGAUCGUAGAAAUACAGCAACUCAUGCUAGAAGAAGUAGAGGAAAUAAAACCAUGAACAACUUGCUUAUUCGAAGAAAUAAGAGCAAACUCAACUACACUUGCGUCCCAGCCAACCCAAAUUCUGCCACGAGGAGCGUAAUCAUAGUUCGCCAUCCAUUUCCAGCCUCUUAAUAAGGUCGAAGAUAUGGAAUCAAACAAAUCUUCGGGCACCUUAGUCUCAAAAAUACCGAUCAAGCAAAUCUUGUUGGAGAGAACAAGCUUCCUUACCUCAGCACGCCUAACAAGAUUGAGGAUACCUCUAACAUUCCAGAAUCCAAAAAACAUAUGUACACAAGGAAGGGAGGCGGUUACCUCUUCAUAGAGGCUUUGCGGCUAGUAGAGGUGGCCUUAGCAAGAACCGAAGCAGGAGGUUCAGGAAGUAGACGAUCCAACUGGUCUUGAAUAGAGUCUGGCUUUGCACAAGACAUCAUCCCUCGAGGUGAGGAACUGAUGGAUAGUAGAUCAUCAUCCUCCGAGAUAGCAUGAAUACUAGAACUAGCAAUCUCAUCCGAGCCAAUAGAAUGUCUCGAGCAGGAGGUGCGGUCCAAGAUCUUGGUAGUAUAAUCAUGUACCUUAACAGGUGAUUUCAAAAGUCCCUUAGAAAUCCGAAUAGGAGGGAGCACAGGUGGUUUAACCGGUUUAGUGGAAGCGGUCUUCAAAUUCAACUGCUGUCCACCUCUUGUAGCGCCUGCCACACUGACAGAUGCUGCCUUCUUAGAAGAAAGAAGCUUUUUCUUUUUAUUUUUACCUACUACUUCAUGCCAUUCCUCACCCACGGGAGGAAUAAGUGGAGGGGAAGAAGCAAGGGCAGGCGCGACUUCACGCACAGUGACUAAAUCAGAGGAACCAGCAUCGUUUCUUGUAGGUACAUGCAGAGCAAUUAAAGGUGACACCUGGGAAAAGGCAGUGGCUUCCGUAUGGGGGGCAACAAGUUCCCCACCGGCUUCCAAAGCAUCGAGAGGCUGCUAGACUCUUUCCAAAUCCUGUUGCUGAUGCGAGGCAUGAGCAUCCACCAAAACAGGGGAAGCGGGGGAACCAAGGGAAGCAAGCCUAUCCUGGGGAGUUGAACAGGAGCAGGAACGACUGAUACAAGAGCCUUAGCUACAGGCCUCCUCAAAUUAGAUGCUUGGCGAGGGGCUGAGGGAUUGCAAUUAUGGCCAAAGAUGCCGCACUUGGAACAAACUUGUGGAUGCCACUCAUAUUCCACAGUAACAAUACAGGAAUUUCCAUUAUGAACCAGCAGUAUAGAAUCACAAGAGGGUUGAUCUGCAGUAAUUUCAACACACACACGAGCAAAAGCUAACAUAUCCAUUUGCUCAGUAAGAUGAUCCACAUACAAAGGCUUGCCAAUUGCACUCGCAACUUUGCCAAUAGCCUGGGCCGACCAAAAGGAGAAAGGAAGGUUUCUCAACUUGACCCACACGGGGACAGUUAAAUGGGCAUCUUUCUUGAGUUCAAGACCAGGCUUCCAUUGUUGCAGAAUAAAUGGAACCUUCGCAACUGUGAUCGGGCCACCUUCAAGGAGCUUCCUUCUAAAAUCCAUAUCAGGAAUAUGCAACACGAAGAAACCUUGUCCGUCUGCCAUGACAUCGGUGAGGUACGGGCUCCACGCCCUUUUAAGAGCUUCCUCAGUAACUUUAAACGGAAUUCUCCUACCUAGAUAAUAGCCAAUCAAACAAUCAUGGAGUUUGGGGUUGGCAGCCUGAAGGUCAAGGUCUGACAGCUCAACCAUUGGUUUAUCAUCCAGAAAUGUAGGAGGGGUGAAUUCUAAAUCGUAGCCUUUCCUCAACACUUGAGCAACAGACGCCCAAGAACGACUAGUUGGAUUUGCCUCGCCCGUAGGCUGAGGUCGGUUCGGUCUGGAUCUACCUUUGCUUUUUCGUGCGAACACCAGCAGGGUUACGAACAGGGAUGGGAAUAUAUGUCUGUCUCGGAUCAGGGGAAAACGAGGGGUUUCACCCCUUAUCCUUACGCGAGGGCCCAUCAAGAGAAGGUUGACCUACAACUUGAGGGACAUGGGCGAGAGAACUCGGCCCUUCAUCAACACGAGAGGCUUGGCCAGAAGCCAAGGCCAUCACAGCAGCAAUUCGAAAUCCAGAACCCAGACAGGAGAAAAACCUUAAUCGAAUUCAUCCAUAAUCGGUCCGAAAAGAGUGGACAUACCAGGGCCAAGCUUCGGGGUUUUGUAGGGAGGUAGAAGACGCCCUAGCCCACCAAGAAACAGCCCCAACCAACGAUCAAACAAUCGAGAAUCAGCCAAUGAAGAAAUCGCAGCUACAGUAACUCGGGUGACUGGCUUGAGAGCUUCAAUGAACAGUAACUCGAGAAUCCUUUCAACAAGUGAAUAACAUGAAAUUUUUAUAGCAAGUAAAAGCAAGUAAUAAUUUAAUUGCUUCUAACUUUGCCACUGGUGCAUAUGUCUCAUCAUAGUUUAUCCAUUCUUCUUGCAUAUAUCCUUUGGCCAUGAGUCUGGCUUUGUUUCUGACCACUUUUCCUUUCUCGUCCAUCUUGUUUCUGAAAACCCAUUUAGUUCCAAUAAUAGAUUUACCUUUUGGUUUAGGAAUUAGUUCCCAAACAUCAAUGAUGCUGAACUGUCUGAGUUCUUUUUGCAUAGCUUCAAUCGAGCUUUCGUCAGCUAAGGCUUCUUCUAUACUUUUAGGUUCUAUUUCAGAAAUAAGUGCUAGUGCACUAGACUCUUCUCACCUUUUGGAUCUGGUGCGAAUCCCUUCAUCAAUAUUGACGAUGAUGAGUUAUUUGGGAUAACUAGACUUGUGCUUCCAGUUACUGGUCGGUCUAAUAGUCUGUUGAUUUUCUACUUCAAUUGAGUCUUCAAUUUCUGUUCAUUGUUGUUCUUCAGAAAUCUGAACCACUUCAAAGGAGGUAGAUUUUGUAAGGUCUGGAGAAGGUUCAGAUUCUUCUAGUUGAGUCUAAUUCAGUUAAUUUUGCAUAAAGUCUUAGAAUUUGACAUUCAUAGAUUCUUUUACAGACUAAUUUCUUGUUGAAUAUUUUGUAGGCUUUGCUUGUAGUUGAAUAUCCAAGGAAAAUUCCUCCGUCUAAUUUCUCCUCAAACUUACAAGUUCGAUCAUUUGCAUUUUUCAAAACAAAACAUUUACAACCAAACACAUGAAAAUAAGAGACAUUUGGCUUUUUCCCUUUAAAUACCUCAUAGGGAGUUUUCUCUAGAAUAUGCCUUAAAAAUACUCUGUUAAUAAUAUAACAAGUUGUAGAAACCGCUUUAGCCCAAAAUCAAGAAAAAAUAUUACUUUCAAUUAAAAGAGUCCUUGCCAUUUCUUGUAAAGAUCUAUUCCUCAUUUCCACAACUCCAUUAUGUUCUAGAGUAUAUGGAGAAGAAAAAACAUGCUGGAAAUCAGAUUCAUCAAAGAAUUUAACAAAGUCUUGAUUUUCAAACUCACCUCCAUGGUCUAUCUGUAUGCUUGAAAUAACAUAUCAUUUAUGGGUUUGUUUGUUUGUUUGUGUUUCUGUUCAAAAAGUGUUCCAGGGAACAGAAAUAGAAAAAACUAUUUAUGUUCCGGAGAACAAUUUUUGAUCAAAAAAAUGCAUUUGGUAAACUUGUUCCAGGAAUAAAAAAAUAAUAGAAAUAUGUUUGGUAAAUUUGUGUUCUUUUUUUGUUUCUUUUUAAUUUUUUAAUUUUUUAAUUUUAAUUUUCCUUUUUUUCUUUCUUUUUUCUUUUUUCUUCUUUUGACUGGUCACCGGCCGAUGAGGGCUAGCGGCCUCACCCAGCUACGGUGAGGCUCGCCGGCCCCCAGCAAGGCCGAGCCUCCUUGUGGUUGGGUGAGGCUCGACCUUGCCUUGGCUGGGUAAGCUUGGGCUCACCUAGAUUUGGCGAGGCCGAGCUUGCCCAACCACCGGUUGCCUGGCGCUGGCCUAGCGAGGCUCAGGUGGCUGGGCGAGCUCAUGAUCGCCCAGAUCUAGCGAGGCCGAGCUUGAUGCUGAGCCUUCCUGGUGGCUAUCGACUUUGCUGGAUCUGGGCGAGCUCGAGCUCACCUAGCCAAGGCGAGGCCAAGCCUCGCCAGGGCUGGUGACACUCCGGUGAGGUCACCGGCCCUUGACGGUGUCGCCAGCCAUGGCCGAGGCCGGCGACAAGCCAAAAAAAAAAGUGAAGAAAAGAAAGGAGAGAAAAUUUGUUCUUAAAAAUUGUUCCAGAAACAAAAAACGGGUUUUUUUUUUUUUAUUUCUUGUUUAUGUUCCAAUUUUGUUCCCGGGAACAAAAAACGGAUUUGGAACAAAAACGCAAACAAACACGUUUCUGUUAUUUUUUUGUUCUCGGGAACAAAAAAAUAGAAAAUCUGUUUAUGAACAAAAAAUAAAAACACAACCAUGCAUGCCCUCUCAUUAUGAACUUUCUUGGCAAACUUUGAAAAAUGAGAAAAUGUUUCUGACUUACUUGUCAGAAAGUAAACCAAAGUAAAUCGAGAAUAAUCAUCUACAAUUACUAGGCAGUAUCUCUUUUCACCAAUGCUUUGAGUUAUGGUUCGUCUAAAGAGAUUCAUAUGCAAAAGCUGCAGAACAUGAUUAGUAGAAAACUUGAUUUAUAGGUUUAAAAGAACUUCUAACCUGUUUUCCCAAAACACAUGGUGUGCAUAAAUCAGACUUUGGAUAAGUCAGACUAGGGAGUCCACGAACAAGUUUCUUGGAAGAGAUCUUGGCAAUCUGCUUCAUAUUAACAUGGCCAAGCUUCCGAUGCCAAAGGUUCGCUUCAUCUUGAAUGGAUAUUAGACACUGAGAACUCUCUAGUUUUAUAUCCAGAAAAUAAAUAUUCACGUGUCUUUUUUGUGGUAAAAGUAAGAUAAAUAUUUCCAUGUUUACGUCUAGUGAAAGAUUGAGAAAAAUCUUUAUUAGUUCUUGAACAAAUUCCUUCUUAGAAAUUGAUUUUGAAUCCAGUGUCGCACAGUUGACUAAUGCUGAGUAGAUUGUAAUUCAAUCCUUCCAUCAAAGAGACAUUGUUGAUUAUGAGACUUUCAAUUUUUACAAUUCCACAUCCAACGAUUCUUCAUUUGUUGUUUCCACCAAAAGAAACUUUUCCACCAUUUAUUUGCACAAGUUUAAUGAAGCAACUUGAAUCUCCAGUCAUGUGUCUCGAAGAGCCACUAUCCAAAUUUCACUUGAUAUUUUUCUUGAUAGUGACUUACAUUUACAAAAAGAACUAAAGCUUUCUUCGGUACCCAUAUCUUAUUAGGUCCAAGGGAGUUAGUUUUAAACAAAGUCUUUGCCCAAUCCUUUUUAAUAGGUCUCCAAACCAUAGGACAUUCUUUCUCGAAAUGUUCUGAGUUGUUACACUUUGAACAUUUGAGAGCACUUCGGCCAACAGGUGUCACGCCCCGAUCCUCGGGCACGCGUCCAUCCCUUAUCUGGUCGAUUUAUUUGCGACGUCCCAGGAAGGUCGCCGAUCCAUUCAUUUAUAUACACAUGCGGAAGCUUAAUAAAAUCCCCAGACAAUCAAACAAGGACCAUAUUUUUCACACCAAGACGAGUCUUUAUAGACAAACUGGUUAAUUACAAACUUAGGCUGUUUACAAAAUUAACGGCUUAUCAAAAAGGGGAUUGCUUAACAUCCACUAGUCAGACCCAUUUGCCGAUUCUUCAGCCUCCACCUUUCGAACUCCAAGACUUCCGGUCCUCCACGAUCGUCAUCUAAGGACCUAAAAUAUUUUCCCCAAAUUGGGAUGAGACUAUGUCUUAGCAAGUUCUACCCCACUAAAACCUGAUUAGGAAGCCAAUACGCCAUAAGGGCUGCUUAAGCACAACACAAGUUAAAAGGCUUACCUUAGCAUCAGUUAUUUCCUGCACAUCAGGUCAAUCAAUAAUAUUGAUAACUGCAACAAUUAAUCACAUUCCACCAAUCAGAUCGACUCAGCGAUCAAUCGACUUAAUCGAUUACAUGUCACUACAACCUUUCCCUAGUAGAUAUAUUCAAUACUAUCUAUAAAGUCUGACCAUAGUCUAGGACUACUCACCCAAAGCUUAUAGAUAUAGUAUACUAUAUAUAUGCUCGCCCAAAGCUGAUAGAUUAGGGCCCACAGGCCAAUUUAGUAUACUAUAUAUGCUCGCCCGAAGCUGAUAGAUUAGGGCCCCCUGGCCAAUUUAGUAUACUAUAUAUGCUUACCAAAAGCUGAUAUUAUGGUAUACCAUUUAUAUGCUUGCCUAAAACUGAUAAUUUAGGGCCCCAUGGCCAUUAUAGUAUAUCACUCUCUCAUACAAUCAAUUCCAUCUUUUAUCAUUCACGAUAAAUAGCCGUGUGUGGGUACACGGUUGGCCUUAGCCAAAAUAUAAUAAUUUCAUUUACAAAUAUCCCACCAAUUUCAAUAGCCCAUUACAUAUUUUUGGUGAUGUAAACCGACGCCCGGUUAUUUUUCCAUUAAUAACCAAAAUCAAAUAAUUUAGAAAUAAAUAUUAAAUUCACAAUUAAUUCAAUUCAGUACAAUAAUGCUCAAAUAAAUAAAUAGACUACACCACGAUAAUUAGCAUAAAAUUCUGGUCAUCGACUAUCCCGGUCAAAAUUUCCGGAAAAUAAUAAAUAAUAAAUUUAUUCCGAAAAUUAAGUAUAAUAAUAUUAUAUUAUAAUAAUAUAAUAUAAUAAAUAAUAAUAUAAAUUCGAAAUAAUUAUUUGAUAUAAAUUAAUUAAUUAAGGCUUAAACAAGAUUACUUUAAUCCAAACAUUUACUUAGCCUUAAUUAAUUAUCCACUAAACUAAUCACAUCCCUUAAUCCACAUAACAUUUAAAUAAACUAAUCUAAUCACCUAAAUCUACUUAGUAUAAUCUAAACACUCCUUAAACGUGAUUAACCUACUAAGCGGGGAUUAGUGAGUUAAACUUACCUGAUUAGCGAUUUGAGCGGCUCAAAUCAAUGAGGAUGCCGAGGGGAUCGAUUCACUCCAAAGCGGGCCUAACUUCUGAGGUUAGGAAGCCGGUCAAAAUCGGCCAAAUAGCCACUGUCAUACCCAUUUUUCUCCUCUCUAUUUGCUACUGGUUGGGGUCGAAAAUGAGCAGAUCCGGGGCAGGUUAGGGUCGGGAAUGGGCGGAGGAGCUGAACCGAACCUAAGCGGGGCUUCACGGUGGCCUGAGGUGGGCUGAACGGCUCCAUUGGAGCUCCACUAGAUCUGAAACGGUCUCUAGAAUAGAGGGCUAGGCAAGAGGGCAGCCAAGGCGCGCAGCCAGCAGCGGCACAUGAGGAUGGCAGCACGACGGCGAACGGCGGAGGGCGAAGGUGCAAGACGGCGGUCCAGUAGCUAGUUGGCUACUUCGGCGUCCUCAGAUCUGCUGGGUCUUCAAGCAAGAACCAGAGAUGGAGGAGAGAGGCGGAGGCAUGCAAAGCAAUGGCGAGCAACGACGGCCAUCAGCUGGGACGAACGGUGACGAUGGCGGCGUGCGACUUCAGAUGGAGCUUCUCUGGUUCGCUGGUCUACUAGGUUUCAAAGAAGAAUAAGAAGAUGGAGAAUGAAGGAGAGAGCAUUGACGGGAGAGAAGAAGGAGAGAGAAGGAAGAAGGGACCACUUCUUUUCUUUUUGUCUUUCUUUAAUCCAACAAACAUGGCCCACCAUAACAUCACUUGCUGAUGUCAUACUCCACUAUCUCCAAUCUCCCACAACCUUAGUCCAAUGGUUGCAAUUUCAUUUUCCGUCGUGGCAUAAAAUCUUGUACACUUAAUUCAAUCAAUUCUCAAUCAAUUCCAUCCAAUUGAAGCUCAAUUAAAUUAACCCUUGUGUCCUCAACCUUCUUAUGACUUUUCCCCAUCAAAUUAUCCAACUUGCUUCCCAAAGAUUCGAUCAAAAAAGGCCUUUUGACAAUCUCGAACAAAAACGGCCUUACUUUGCUUUUCAGCCAAAAAUCUCGGUUGUAGAAAAAUCUUAUGAGGAUGAGUCGAUGUUUCUAAAAUGAAUUGUGACUUGACGGAACUCUUAUUUUCUGAAUUCGGGUUCGAUUUCAUAGUUAAUUUCAAUUUGGCGCGAAUUUAGUGCGUCCUAAUCUACCGGGUAGCUUUUAGGAAUUUUCGUACAUUUGACAUGUGGUUGAUUAUUCUCAAGCCACGAAGUACAUCUUCGACACAUUAGUGACUCUCAGUUGUCAUAGAAAUCUUAAGGUUUCAAAUACAGACAUAGGGUAACAAAACAACAGAAGAAUCGGUCUAGUAUCGAUCGACAAGAAUUGUGCAAUUAGGUGGAAUCACCCACACUUAAUCACAUACCUUUGUUGAGUCAACCUAUCUCCAAUUUAUAAUCGAUCUUACUAUGUCAUAAUGAUCUCUUGCAAAUUUGCAUGGUCGAGCAGUCGUUUCCUAAUUGAAUUCUCAAGUCUAAUGCGUUAAAAUUCUUUAACGGCUUCACCCGAUAAACUAGUUAUCCCAUGAGUGAUCAGUUCAAGGAAAAGAACUAUAAAUGCGUCAAUGAAAUGCCCAACUAUUUCGAUCGAAAUCAGAACCUGGAUUUCAGGAUGUCACAACAGGUUUUACAAAAAUUCUUUGAAAAUGAUUUCUGUAAAACGUUUUUGUAGGUCUUUGUUUGAUUCUUUCUUUUACUUUUGGAAAAUCAAUUAGAGAAAUAGUUCCUGGAGUCAUUCCCAAACCAGAUUUGUUGAAAUAAGAUCUUUGUACUAAAACAAUAUUUUCCAAAUUCUCAAAUCCUAUUGAAAACCUUUUUGCAAUAUUUGAGAUGUCUUCUUUUAAAAAGUUAUUUUCUUUUGAAAGAGAAUAUGCAUUUUCAUUCAAAUUGGCAAAAUUUUUGUCUAGAUUUUCAAAUUUUUCUUUCUAAGAAAUUUCUUGUUGCUUAAGUGUAGAAUUCUUCUUCUUCGGUUUGAAAAUCCUUUUAAUAGAGGUUUUGAGACUGAGACAAAGUUCAUCUAUAUAUUUCGAGACUUUAGCAAGAAUUUUUAAAUUACUAAUCUCGAUUUCGUUGUUUGAGUCUGAGUCUGAAUCUGUUUCAGAGUCUAAGUCUAAUUAUGAAUUUGCCAUUAUAUAUAUGUUUUGGCAUAUUUUUCAUCACUUUCUUCACAUUUAGUAUCAUACUAAGUCUUUGCUUUGAAAGCCUUUAUGUAUUUCUCAGUUCUUCCCUUCUUUUUCUUCAACAGAGGACAGUUGGAUUUUAUGUGUCCCUUUUCUUGCAUUCAAAACAGAUUACAUAUUUGUUGGCUUCACCAUCCUCAGUUGAUUUGUUUUGAAACUUUUGAAUGCUUUGCUUAUUCCAAUUGAAUCUUCUUCCCUUUCUAUUCAACUUUCUGAAUUUCCUUAUCAUGAGUGCUAAUUCUUCAUCGUUCAUAUGAUCUUCUGAAUCUGUAUUAGAAUCAUCGUGAGAUUUUAAAGCAAUUGACUUCUUACCUUAAGAUAUUCUUCCUCAUUGAUUUGUUCCGCUUCAUAUGAUUGAAGUGUGCCAACUAGUUCGUCUAAAAAAAGCGACAUGAUCUUCUGAGUUUCCCUUAUUGAAGUUUUCACAUGAUUCUAGUCUUUGGAGAGUUCACGCAGCAAUUUGUUAACCUUCAUUGGUCUUGAGAUUAGUUGUCCAUGAUAUGCUAGAACGUUUACAAUUUCUGUGAAACGACUGAACAUGUCAGUGAUAGAUUCUCCUGGCUUUAUCUUGAAGGCUCCAUACUAUCCGAGCAUAAUAUUGAUUUUUGUUUCUUUAACUCGAUUAGUUCCUUCAUAGGUAACAUGUAACCUAUCCUAGACUUCUUUGGCUGUUUCACAAAAUGAAAUUAUGUUAUACUCAGUAGGAGAUAAAGCACGGUAUAAAGGGUAGAUCGCUUUAGCAUCAAGAGCUUGUCUCUUGGUUAUUUCUCCUUGAGCCAUUUUGCCAUCAUCUACAACUUCUUUUCUUUUUUCUGAGGUUGAUGUUGUUGGAGAAAACUUCCUUAUCAGUUUUGAAGUUAACAAAACGUUUUCAUUAGUCUAGUUUGAAAACUUGCAGACUCUAUCGUCAAAGUCUAAAGACCUCCAGACUCAAGAUUUAAAAUCUACCAUCACUGAUAGUUUCUAGAACGCCGAAGAAAAUAUUUAUCCGAUGAAAAAGACUUAUCCAAAUGAAAGUAUAUAUUUAAGGAUUUGGUUUGUACAAUUGAAGAAGAUCUCACAACUGGAGAUAACAUCUUGAGAUCAAUUAUUCUUAUUGAAAUCAAUUUGAAUAAUUAGAUCUGUUGAUUGACAAAGUAUACUUGGAAUGUUCUACUUACGAAAACCUAGAUCCUGAUUGUAUGGGUGAGCAGGAUUGGUGGGCUAUCAUUACAUUCCUUAAAUAACUCAAGAUCUUCCUAAUUGAUUUUGUCCAACGGGUAUAUUGGAAGAACUCCUUUGGAAGGUGCCAAUGGUUAUAAUGGUAUGGAGGAGUAUAUAAGGAGAACGCUCAAGUUAUUUGAGUGUGUGUGUGUGUGAAAGAAAAAUUCAAAAGUCUGAAGUUCUUAGUUCUUUGUUGUUUCAAUUUGUCGAGCUUAAACUGUACUAAAAAAAGAGAUUAAAUACUUGUGAGAUCUUGAGAAAGUGUAGUAGAGUCUCUACACUGUGGAAUCAAGGACGUGGGACUGUAAAAUCUCUUUUGGUUCUUAGUGGCAUCUAGCCAGUGGGCUGUCAGUGCGGGAGAAUGGACAUAAGCUUGGUCUAAGUCAAACCACUAUAAACCUUGUAUUUCAAUUCUCUUUCCCUAAACUCCUUAUUUUAUUUCAUAGUCUUAUAUAACUGUUUACGGUCUUUUACAUCUUCAAUCUAUUGUUUUCAUAAAAGUCGAAUUAAGUUGUUAAGUUUUGCAAAAACUUCUUUAAGACAUAUUCACCCCCCCUCUAGGUGUUCAUAUUAGCAUUAUCAAAUGUAGCUUUAGGAAUGAUCCAUUUUUCUACUACAUCCCAUUCCUGGGGAUCUUUCGAUCUCAAGAAUGUCUUCAUCUUGUUUUUCCACACAUUGUAUUCAUUUCCAUCAAAGUAAGGAGGUCUGGUGUUGCUCUAGCCUUCAACCAAACUUGGAGCCAAAAUACUAGCUAUAGAUCUUUAACUCAGAAGUAAAAACACUUCAAUAAAAUGAGCACACAGGCUCUGAUACCAAUCGAUAAGACUAGUAAGGACACCUAAAGGGGGUGAAUAGGUGUUAAAAGAAAUUUUCGCAAUACUUAAUGAAUCAAAUCGACUUUAGAAGAUAAUAGACUAAAGAUGUAAGCGACUAUAAGUAGUUAUAUAAAGUUACGAAUUAAAGUAAGGAGUUCAGGGAAAGAGAAUAGAAACACAAGGUUUAUAGUGGUUCGGCUUAAAUCAAACAUACAUCCACUCUCUCGCACUGACAGCCCAAUGGCUGAGUUUCACUAUUAACCAAAAGAGAUUUUACAAUUUCACGCCAUUGACUCCAUAGUGUAGAAACUCUACUGCACUUACUCAAUGUCUCACAGAUGUUUGAUCUCUCUUUUGAGUACAAGUUUAGCUCAACAAUUGAAAUAGCAAAGAACUGAGAGCUUCAGACUUUGAAUUUUUUCUUUCACGCACAUACUCAAAUAACUUGAGAGUCUUCCUUAUAUACUCAUCCAUGCCUCUACAACCGUUGGCACUUUCUAAACGAGUUCUUUCAAUCUAUCCGUUGAACAUAAUCAAUUAAGGAGAUCUCAAGUCGUUUAAGGAAUGUGAUGAUAGCUCACCAAUCAUGUUCACCCAUACAAUCAGGAUCUAGGUUUCUAUAAGUAGAACUUUCCAAGUAUACUUCACAUUUCAAAAGAUCUGAUUAUCCAAAUCGAUUCCAAUAAGAAUAAUUGAUUACAAGGUGCUAUCUCCAACCGUAAGAUCUUCCACAAACCGUACAAACCGUACAAACCGAAUCCUUAAAAAUAAAUUCACAUCUGGAUAAGUCUUCUCUCGUCGGUCUGGAAUCUAUUAGUGAGGUCAAACUUUGAGAAUAAAGUCUAACAGUCUUCAGACUUUGACAGAUGAGUCUUGAGUUCUUCAAACUAUAACACUUGAGUCUGCAAGUCUUCAUACUAGAGUUUUGGAAAGGUUUUGUCAGUUUCAAAAUAAUAAGGAGUCUUCUCUAACAGCCAUAAGAUUUGAAAGGUGGCCUACCUCGAAUUUGAAAACCGAAUCUCUAACCUUCUCAAUUAAAGUCCAUUCAUUGAGCACCUUCUAUGCAACUAAAGACUUCCAACUCAGCGCAUCUACGACCUUGUUUGCCUUUCUUGGGUAAUACAAAAUAUCACAAUCAUAGUCCUUCAAGAGUUCCAUCUAGCGAUAUUGUCUCAUGUUCAACUCUUAGAUACUUGAGACUUUGAUGGUCAGUGAAGAUAUGGAAUCUUUCUCCACACAAAUAAUGUCUCUAAAUAUUCAGAGUGAAAAUUAUAGCUACGAGUUCUAAGUCAUGCGUUGGGUAAUUCAUCUCAUGAGGUCUCAACUGAUGGGACGUGUAUACAACAACUCUACUAUGCUGCAUUAGCAUGCAACCCAGUCCUCUAAACGAUGCAUCAUUGUAGAUCUCGUAUCCUCCAAGACCGGAUGGUAUGGUCAACACAAGUGCAGUAGUUAGCUUUUCCUUAAGCUCUUGGACUUGUCUGUCUAGACAAAUUUCUCUUCCUUCUUCAAUAGUCGAGUCAAAGGCAAAGCUAAUGCUGAAAAUCCCUUCACAAACCAUCUAUAAUACCUUGCUAAACCCAUAAAGCUUCUGAUCUUUGUCAUGGUAAUUGGUCUUGGCCAGUUGAUUGCUACUUCUAUCUUGGUCGGGUCUAUAGAGAUUCCUUCACUUGAAAUCACGUGACCUAAGAAAGCAACACGAGUCAAUCAAAACUCGCACUUGCUGAAGUUAGCAUACAACUCAUGAGUCUUUAGAGUAUGCAAUACUAAUCUCAGAUGACUCUCUUGCUCCUCAACACUUCUUGAAUACACUAGGAUAUCAUCGAUGAACACGAUCACGAAUUGAUCUAGAUAUUCCUUGAACACUCGGUUCAUCAAAUCCCAUAAUAAUAGUUGGAGCAUUUGUCAAUCCAAAUGGCAUUACAGUAAACUCAUAAUGGUCAUAUCGAGUACGAAACGCUGACUUUGGUAUAUCCUCCUUUCUGAUCCUCAGUUGGUGAUAUCCCGUCCUCAAGUCAAUUUUAGAAAAUAUCAACGCUCCUUACAGCUGGUCAAACAAGUCAUCGAUCCUCAACAGUGGAUAUUUGUUCUUGAUUGUCACCUGAUUGAGUUAUCAAUAGUCAAUGCACAGGCACAAUGAUCCAUCUUUCUUCUUCAUGAACAAAACUUGUGCUCCUCAAAAUGAUGCACUAGGAUGUAUGAAUCAUUUAUCCAGCUAUUCUUGCAUCUGCACCUUUAGUUCUUUCAACUCUAACAAAGCCAUCCGGUAAGAAGCCUUAGAGAUUGGCUCUGUCCCGAGGGCUAACUCAAUCACAAACUCAAUUUCCCUUUUUGGCGGCAGACCUAGUAGUUCUUUCGAAAAUACAUCUGGGAAUUCUUGAACCAUUGCGAUGUUUUCUAUCUUCAGCUCCUCAACUAUCGUAUCCACGACAGUCACCAGGUAACCUUGACAACCCUCGUCUAACAAACAAGUUGCCUCAAGCGACGAGAUUAAUGAAAUCAAGGGUCCUCAUUGACUCUCAAUAAACUCGAAGCUCUCACCCUCUAUCGGGUUAAACAAAAUCACCUUGCGAUAACAGUCUAUCUUAGCUCAUUGCUUAGUGAACCAGUCCAUGCCAAUUAUCACAUCAAAAUCAUACAUGGCUAGGACUAUCAAGUCUAUCUUCCGCUCUCGCUCACCAAUCGCUAACAUGCAACUAGGACAACCCACUGUAGCUAACACAUUAUCCUUUAAUGAUAUCGAUAUACUAAUCACUGACUCCAACAACUCAGGAAUCAUUUCUACCAACUUAACAUACUGCUUAGCUAUAAAUGAAUGAGUAGCUUCAGGGUCAAAUAAAGCAUAAGCAGCGUGGUCGUUCAACGAGACAGUACUUGUAAUCACAUUAGGCGCAUCCUCCGCCUGUCCUCUAGUGAUAGCGUAUGUCCUUCCUUGAGCUGGAGGUUGGAUCAGUCCACCUUGCUGUGCAUUCGGUGGCAAAAGUCCUCGAUUCUGACCCAUCAAUGGUGGUGGCAGCAAAUGCGGUCCCAUCUGUCUCUUGGGACAACUCCUAGCCAUGUGACCCUGUUGGCCACACACAAAACAAACGCCCAUCCUAGAAGGGCAUGGGGUUAAUCCAUGUCGUCCUCCGCAAGAAUGACACACUUUAUUCUGGAUUGAUGUUGACUUUCCUAUCCCACCCUUCCUGUUGGGCAAAACAGGAUAUGUCACGCCUUGAUCCUCAGGUACACACCAAUCCCUCAUCUUGGUCGAUUAUUAGCAACGUCUCAAGACACAUCACCAACCCUUUCUUUUAGUAUGCAGAUAAAAAAUUAUCAGACAAUAAAAUAAUGGGAUAGAAAAAUAGAGCUAUAUUUUUCCCAACUGAAAAACCAUAACCAUACUUUUAUACAAGCAAAUCCCAUAGUAUAUAUUACAAUACUAUUAACAAGUUAGACCUAUUACAUAUCAGAUCACAACUUAGAGUUUGCAAAACAGGGUGAGGUCUCAAUUCUCAUCUGAGUCAUACUUCGGAUCAUCCUCGGGAUCCUCCUCAAACUCCUCCUCCGAUUCCUUAUCAGGGUCCUCCUCUUCAAGUUCUUCCUCCUCGGGUUCCUCUUCCUCAGGUUCCUCCUCUGGGUUCUCUCCUGGGUACACCUCUUCUUGCUCAAUCUCUCAUUAUUCCACGCUCCAACUGGAGUCUACUACUGAUUGCUUGGGAGAGUCGACGUCACUCUCGAGCUUAGGGUCUUUAAUAUCGGUCACCGCUCCGUCCUUGGGAUCUGUGGUCCCUUCUCCGAAUUUUGCUUUCAAGACGAACAGAGGCACAUCACCCUUUGGUACCAGACCCUCUCUUUGCCCAUCAUGGUAGUGACGAUACCACAAUCGAUACUCAUGGGGUCUCAAGCCGUCAUUACCCAUAUCAACCCAGACGGUUGAUUUUAUCAGAACAUACUCUAGACCUUCUGGGUGGGGGUGUACCGGGAAGUGGUACCCUAUCUCAGUGAUCUCCUUGGGUAUACCAAAAUGCAUAGGAGGACGAGGAGGUAGAGGUGCUGCCAUCUAAGAACAUGAAAUGUUGUCUCACAACCAGGAUGAGACCACAUCUCAACAAGUUCUAUUCCCUAAGACCCGAUUAGGAAGCCACUACACCUUAGGGUUGCCUAAGCACAACACGAGUCAGAGGACUUACCUUGGUCUCAGUUCCUUCCUGUAAGUUAGUAUAUAUAUCAAAUAUACACGAUCACAUCACAUCACCCAAUCAGAUCAAAUCAUCGAUGAGAUUGGGAUACUCAACCUUUCCUGAUCCUGAGCCUAUGUUUGCAUGUUGUAAAGGAUGGAUUGCUUUGGUCAUAUCUAUUUUCCACAGUUUUUCAUUUGGUUUCUUUAUAUCAAUGGCAUCCACUCAUGAUCGCAUAUCAGAAUUUUUAUGGAGAACAAUUUCGGGGUUGAUGGUUCUGAUUUAUUAUUUGAUUUUUACAUUUGGCAUAUAACCUAUGGUUCUUGAGUUCAUGCACUCUAUUUACUUUCCAAUUGGGAAGUUACAUAUGCGAGCCACUCAGAGAAUUUACUUUGCCUCAUGGUAGUGGAGAUUUUGUAUGAAUAUGAGACUGUUUCACAGGUUGAUGCACGAGUGAAGAUGUCUCCAAAAGUUUCCCAUGGGUGGACUGUCAAGUAUGAUGUUGCUGAUGAAGCAGUGGUGAAGUUUGCCGAGGUGAAUUGGGAUAUACUAGAGUGGUUUGCAAAGUCUGUCAAUUCAGGGAAGUCUCUGGCAUCAGUUGAAAACCCACUCUCUGGUAUGUGACAACUUGUUGUGUAACAAAGCUGACGCUGUUUACUUUCUGCAUUCUGCUAUUGCCAAGGAAAUGGAGAAGGCUAGUGGGGAUUUUGUUUUCUGUUUCUUCAUCUCGACUUGAGUUCUGCCAUAAAGAUUAGACGAAGUAAAAUCUCUCCCGAUCGAUGCUUGUAUUCUAUUUAUGAUGACUUAGUAAUGCACUUAGGAUGAACUUAUACUGAGUUUUUUUUUUCGUCUACUUCCAUGUGAAGAGAGGAUGAAUUCACGCUCAACUCACUAUUAAUGCAAAUAUGACCCACAACUUCAAGGCCUCUUCAUUCAGCAUUCUUACUCGAAAGCUUUCAAAACUUUAGAUUUUUGAGGUGGGUGCAAAUUCAGUUUUGCUUGUCAUGAGGUUGAGUUGCUUAGCAACCGCACAUUUAGAAGAUUUUCAUCACUAGAUUUAGAAAAUUAUCCACCAAGUUUUGUCGUGUUAGCAGAGCAAUGAGUAGGCAGAGAAAAGUCAGCAUCUUGCACUAAUCCUAAGUUCAACGCUUGGAACUCGCUAUCCGCUGAGGGACUCUCCCAAAACAGGAAACAUCAAUGAGAACAGGCACAAAAGUUCCGUGUUUCACAAUCACAUCAAGCAAUAGAAAACACAGUGAAGAGAUGCCGCCUUUAAAGUACAAAAUAAAUGCCUCAGCCAUGCGUAGUAUGACAUUGAAAUAAUUGUCGAGGGGCAAGAAAUCAUCAAGGAGCAAGCAAGUUGCUGUGGAAUCCCAAAAAUGUACUGCCACAUAAGAGAUUAUAAUAUCACUAGCAUGAUCAUGCCAAUAGGACGCGACAUUAAUACAGUUGGCCAAUGACUCUCAUGCAUAAAGAGACGAGAAGAAAAAAACAAAAAACUUCAAGGGUUCAACUUCAUGAGGAAUAUUCCUGUCAUUGAAGUUCAAGUCAACGCCUCCAAGGAGCUGUGCAACUUCAUGAGGAAUAUUCCUGUCAUUGAUGUUCAAGUCAAUGCCUCCAAGGUCUAUUCAAGACAAGCCAAAGCAAAGUCGUAACCAAGCAGCAAUGCGUCACUCCAAUUUGCAGGAAGAGAUGAAUCUUCCUUUCAUUCAUGGUGAAGUCAAUGCCUUCCAAGGGGCUGGGCACGGCAAUAUAGAACUCAGAGCCAGAUCAUUCGUCACGACAUCAGAACCUUAGGCACAGGUUCCUCUGACAAAGUCAACAUCGUCUCAAAUUGUCCUCUCUUUUGUACAAGGUUUCUUCAAGGCAAGCCAAAGCAAAGUCGUAACCAAGCAGCAAGAGAUUAAUGUUCAUUUCAUUGAUAUUGUAGUCAAUGCCUCGCAAGGAGCUGUGCAUGGUAAUAUAGAACUCAGAGCCAGGUCACUCAUUACGGCAUCAGAACCUCAGGCACAUACUCCUCUGAGAGACUCAACAUUGUCUCAAUUUGUCCUCUCUUUUGUACAAGGUUUCUUCAAGGCAAGACAAAGCAAAGUCGUAAUCAAGCAGCAACGUGUCACUUCAAUAUGUUGAAAGAGAGUACAAGAUCUUCAUCGGGCAAUCAAGAAAGCUCCUUAAUGGAACUUUAGAAGUAAACAAGCGGAGGAUCUAGGAAUUUUGUCCAAGCGCAAGAAAACUCCCAGGAAAGUUGGUGAUAGAAGCUGCUAUAACCUUACCUUAUCCGCUGCUGGAUUAUUUUCCCCACCUUUCAUACAGGCAUAGCUGCUCACUUUCAUCCCAAUCCAGGCUGUUCAUGGGCAGAAAUUUUAGAAUUCAAAUCUAGGUUCCAUCAAACCAUUAGAAGUUCUUCUCAGCUGAUUUGCUGUGCAAAGAAUUGUCUGUUUUUAAGCUUCUCCAGACUGGCAAAAAUGAAGGUCAAGAACAGUGCUGAAGGUCAAAGCGGCAUUCAUCUGGAUAUUCCUCAACUUCAGGACAAAAAUGAAAUCAUCCUUUCACCCACCACAAUCUUUGAGCCGCGAACUAGUGCUGGUAGGAGAGAUGGAAGCAGUGGAAACUCUGUUUCCCCCACGUUACACUCUGUUCCUGCCCCGGAGAAAAAGCUGACUCUGUUUGCUCUCCGCCUUGCGAUUCUUGAAAAAGCUGCCACUGGCGUGGGAGCCCUUGGUUUCAUCUGGGCAACGGUUGUACUCCUGGGGGGCUUUGCCAUUACAUUAGACAAAACAGACUUCUGGUUCAUCACCAUCAUUUUAUUAAUUGAAGGAGCUCGAAUAUUCAGCAGGAGUCAUGAACUGGAAUGGCAACACCAGUCCACUUCGUCAAUAGCUCAUGCCGGAAUUAGCAGCUUCCGAAAGCUCAGAUCAAGCUCUAGAGCUCUAGUUGAAUCCGUGAAGGAUAUGUUGAGUCCCGUAAGCUCUGGUACAAGGAAGCAAAGUCAACACAGAACGGGAGUUUCCGAAAUUACAGAUGCAACAAACGUAAGAGAGCAGAAAUUGCAUCGGAAGCCAACCCGGAAAUGGACGUCUUCAGAAGUUCCUAUUCUACCUUAUGGAGGGUGGCUUUUUCUCUCGAGAAAUAUCAGCUAGAUUUUCUAUUUGCUACAGCUCUUAUCUGCAAUAGCCUGUGUCGUGCUCUCAUUGAUGAAGCUCAUCAAGCACAAUUAUGGUGAGGUAGCUAAAGGAGGCACAGACAGUAGGAACCAGAAAACUGCUCUGAUUAUCUUUUAUGCCUUGGCUUUGGCAGAAGCUCUGGUCUUCCUGACAGAGAAAGUUUACUGGCAGUGGAAGGUAGUCAUCUGUAAGCUUCUUGAAGGGGUGAACCAGGAAUGCAAUCUGGGGGCUUUAGGUAUGAUCUCAACUCAGAGAUUUUUCUAUGACUCCUACGCGAGAUGUAUUAAUGGGAGCAUUUUUGAUGGCCUGGGAAUGGAUAUGGUGACCUUUGCAAUGGAUCUCAUAUGUUCAAACUCGCCAGAUGAGCAGCUCAUAGGAGCCAGGAUUCUUCACCGGUUUUCUUUCACAAAAAUGUUUUCAGAUGACACGCUUCAGAAGAUUGGUACAACUCUGCCAGUUAUAGAGAGACUCGUGGAGAUCUUGAACUGGGAAGACCCACAAGAGGAAGAAAUCAGGCUAUCAGCUGCAAAAAUAGUUUCCAAAUUAGCUGGGAAAAAGCAAAACUCCCUUCGGGUCACUGGAAUACCCGGGGCAAUGGAAUCAAUAUCAUCUCUUCUACAGACAAACAGAAGCCCCAGUUCCACAGCAGACGAAAUUGGUGAAAAGAAAAUCUUUGACCAUGAAGCCUAUGGAUACUGGACUUUCAAUAAUUUGGGGCUACUCAUUCUGAAGGAACUAGCCCGUGAUCACGAUAACUGUGGAAAAAUUGGAAAAACAAGGGGCCUUCUUUCCAAAAUCAUAGAUUUCACUCAUGCUGAUGAAACAAUAUUGAAGGACUCAACUGUCGCCACAUUGCAGGUUUUGACUGUUGAGAGAUCCCUAAAGGUUAUUAAGAUGCUGGCAAGCACAGCGGGUACCACAGGGAAAAUUCUCCGGAGAGAGAUCUCAGGGAGAGUCUUCACCGUAAGCAACAUAAGAGAUAUUCUACGAUAUGGAGAGAAACGACCAAAGCUGCAGAAACGAGGGAUUGGGAUCCUUACCAGUUUGGCACAGGAUGACGAUGCGACGGACCGAAUAGGAGGGACCGGUGGAGUUCUGAAAGAACUGUUAAAGAUUUUCUUCCAAGAAGGAGUGCCAAAAGAUCAAAAGGACGUGAGAAUUGUGGCCGGAGAAGCCCUGGCAAAGCUGGCUUUUGGGAGCAAGAGCAACUGUCAUCGAAUCUUGAAGUUAAAUGUAGUGGAGAGGCUCAUAGAAGCAUUGGAGAUUCCGCUUCUUCAUGUCAAUGCUGGAAGAAUUUUGAGGAAUCUGUGCACUUACAGUGGCCCAGAGUCCUUCAACCAGCUAAAGGGAGUAACAGCAGCGGCACCAACAGUAAGUGCAAUAUUUUGAAAAAACUGAACCUAAGCCGACAUCUCCAAAACUGGAAAAGGCAGUUAUGUACAAGUUUAAGAUAUCUCAGAGAGAAUGAUAUUAAUUAUGCCUACCUAACCAAAUUUCCUCAACUCAGGUGCUCAAGGCAAUCUUGUCAGGAGAAGGCAAACUGCAAGAGGUGAUGGUUGGUUUAGCGGCACAUGCUUUCAAGUUCAUGACAGCGGGAGAAUCAACUGCCGUCUUCGAGAGCGCAGGGUUCAAAGAAACCAAAUUAGCUUGCGCUUUGGUCGAGAUCCUGAGGAGCUAUAGGUAUCCAGAUAUAAAGGUGCCAAGAAUGAGAAGGUUUGCUAUUGAGCUGGCAAUCUGGAUGAUGAGAGACAAAUUGAAGAAUGUCCAGAUCUUCAGGGAUCUGGGCAUGGAGGAGGAGCUUGAAGGAGUUUUGGAUACGACAUCAGAGCUAGAGAGCUUCAAUAUUUUCUCUGGCAGCAUCGGACUUCGCAGACACAGCACGACCAUUCACUCACUUGUUGAGACCGCACUUAUGCUGCUGAAGGAUAGGUUUGAUCAACCGAUAGGUCACUGAGCAAGCGAAGUUGCCAAAUUAUCCGACAAAUGGGAAACAUGAAGGUAUGCUAGACUACACAUUUCAUUCUCUAAUUCCAGAAGCAAAGAAAUGAAGGUAAUUGCUUCUUUAGCAACUCUGCCUGGCUUAAGUCUGAUGUCUGAAAGUUAUCACCUUCCUUGUUUGUUUGCACGCGGAAUUUGUGCGAUUUACAGCUCACCCCAUGUACUACUUCCAAAACAUAUGCAAGAUGUGUACAUACACUUAUAAGAAAAUUGUGGACCACAUGAUGCUAUUAACUAAUGAUUUAAUAAAUAGUUAAUGUUAAAAAAGUUCCGACUCUAAUGAAAGGAUACAAUCUUCAUUGAGAAGUUACCGUUCUUCCGAAGAUAUGCGACUCUCAUUGGAAAUUAAAAAGGCGCUUUGAUGGAAAGUACUUAUUGAUAACAUGUAUAAAUAAGGAUGUUUCCAAGAACAAGUGUUUUUGUUUUUCCUUUGUCUAGAAUAGAAAUAGAACAAAAACAUAUUUGAUAAAUUUUUUGUUCUCGGAAUAGAUUUGAAUAGAAACAAUAAACCAAAAUUGCUUCCUUGUUUCCGGGAACAACUCAAGAAACAAGCAUUUUCUCUUCUUCUUCUUUUUUUUUUCUCUUUCUCACUUCUUCCCCUUAGCUGGUCACAGGCCUCAACGAUGGUCAGUGACUGGCUAGACAAGACCCGGCGACCUCACUGAAGCCUUGCUAGCCCCCGACAAGGUCACCCUGAGCUCGUUGACCACAGGCAAGGCCCCCUUGAGCCUUACCUAGCCAACAACAAGGCUUGACCUUGGCUAGCCAUUGCAAGGUCGGCCUUGCCCACCCAGGUGACGCCAAGCUCGCGGUGGUCAGGCGAGGUCACCUCAAUUAGCCAAUCCUUGACCUCGCCUAGCUAGGGCGAGGCUCCCCGAGGUCGACGACCUUGCUGCCCUCGUCUGGCGAAUGACCAGCUAGAGAAAGGAGAAGAAAAAUAAAAUAAAAAAAAUAAGAGGAAAAAAAGAAAGAAAGAUGUAAUAAAUUUAUUAAUAAAUUAAAAGAAAUUUUAAGUUAAAAAAAUAUUUGGGUCGUACCAAACAUAUUUUUAUUUCAAGAAUAUAAAUUUUGUUUAGUUUCUAAAUGCCUUAAAAUACUUAGAAACUGAUCUAAGAACAAAAAUAGAAAAGAAAAUGUUUCUAAAUAAAAAUUGUUCCUGGGAAUAGAAACAUUAUCAUUAUGCAUUCUAAGAAUCUGGUUCUCUCUUCACCCUCAUUGUGAUAUAUCAUGGAUAAAGGUAUGUUUUCAUUUCCCUUAUUGUGAAAUAUCAAGAAGAUCAAAGAUUUCAUGUUUUGAAUUUCCGCAUAAAAGAAUUACACUAUUGCUUACAACACCCACACAUUCUUUUAUUUCACAAUUUAACUCUUGAAAAUGGAAGCAUCCAAGAGUUCCAUAUACUGUGAUUCUGAGCUCACCACUUCCGCUACUAAAAGAUCAGAUUUUUCCAUCCAAAUUUUGCUCCACUUAGCUGCGAAUCAAGGGUUAAGGACGAUAUAGUCCGAGGCAAUCAUCACAUAAUUUUCAAGUGACCAGCUACUUAGAUCAUCUUAUUCCUCCGCCCCUCCCCCCAACAGAGGCAUAGCUGCUCUGUCUCAUCCCAAUCCAGAAAUUGAAUUCAGGUUCCAUCGAACCACUAGAUGGAAGUUUUCGUCAGCUGAUUUGACGUAUAAAGAAGAGUCUGUUCUUGAGCCACUGCAGACUGCAAAAUGACGGUCAAGAGCUCCACUGAAGGUCAAAGCAGCAUUCAUUUGGAUAUUCCUCAGCUUCAGAAGAAAAAUGACACCUUCAUUUCACCUGCUACAAUGUUUGAGCUGCAAAAUAGUGCUGGUACGAGAGACAGAAGUAGUGGAAACUCUGUUUCCCCCACGCUGCCAGCUGUUUCCGCCCCAGAAAAAAAGCUGACACUGUUUGCUCUCCGCCUUGCAGUUUUUGAAAAAACGGCCACUGGCCUGGGAACCCUUGGUUUCAUCUGGGCGACGGCUGUACUUCUGGGGGGCUUGGCCGAUGCCCUAGACAAAACUGACUUCUGGUUCAUCACCAUCAUUUUAUUAAUUGAAGGAGCUCGAAUAUUCAGCAGAAGUCAUGAGCUGGAAUGGCAACACCAGUCCACAAGGUCAAUAGCUGAUGCCGGAGUUAGCAGCUUCCGAAUGCUCAGAUCGAGCCCUAGAGUUCUAGUUGAAUCUGUGAAGGAUAUGUCAAGCCCUGUAAGCUCUGCUACAAGGAAGCAAAGUCAACAGAGCAGGGAAAUUUCCAAAACUACAGAUCCAACAAACGUUAGAGAGCAGAAAUUGAGAUGGAAGCCAACCCGGAUAUGGACUUCUUCUGAAGUUCCUAUUGUACCUUAUGCAGGGAGAGUUUUCCUUUCGAGAAACGUCAGCAAGAUUCUCUAUUGGCUUCAGCUCCUAUCUGCAAUAGCCUGCGUUGUGCUUUCAUUGAUGAAGCUCAUCAAGCGCAAUUUUGGUGACAUUGCUAAAAGAGACACUGACGAGAGGAACGGGAAAGCUGCUCUGUAUAUCUUUUAUGGCUUGGCUUUGGCAGAAGCUUUGGUCAUCCUGACAGAGAAACUUUACUGAGAGUGGAAGGUUGUCAUCUGUAAGCUUCUCAAACAAGUGAACAAGGAAUGCGAUCUGGGGCUUCAGGUAUGAACUUGACUCCGAGAUUUUUCUAUGACUCCUAUUCGAGAUGUAUUAAUGGUAGCAUUUUUGAUGGCCUGGGAAUGGAUAUGGUGACUUUUGCUAUGGAUCUCUUAUGUUCAAACUCGCUGGAUGAGCAGCUGAUAGGAGCCAGGAUUCUUCACCAGUUUUCUACGAAAGAACGGUUUUCAGAUGACACGCUUCAGAAGAUAGGAACGACUCUGCCAGUUAUAGAGAGACUGAUGGAGAUCUUAAACUGGGAAGACCCACAAGAGGAAGAAAUCAGGGUAUCAGCUGCAGAAAUAGUUUCCAAAUUAGCCGGGUAAAAGCAAAACUCCCUUCGGGUCGCUGGGAUACCUGGGGCAAUGGAAUCAAUAUCAUCUCUUCUACAGACAAACAGAAGCCCCAGUUCCACAGAACAUGAAAUUAGAGAAAAGAAAAUCGUCUUUGACCAUGAGGACUAUGAACACUGGACUUUCAUUAAUUUGGGGCUACUCAUUCUGAAGAAACUAGCCCGUGAUCAUGAUAACUGUGGAAAAAUUGGAAACACAAGGGGCCUUCUUUCCAAAAUCAUAGAUUUCACUCAUGCUGACAGAAGAAUAUUGAAGGAUUCAACCGUUACCACAUCGCAGGUUUUGACCUUUAAAAGAUCCCUUCAGGUUAUAAAGAUGCUGGCAAGCACAACAGGUACCACAGGGAAAAAUCUGCAGAGAGAGAUCUCAGAGAUAGUCUUCACCAUAAGAAACAUAAGAGAUAUUCUACGACACGGAGAGAAACGACCAGAACUGCAGAAACUAGGGAUUGAGAUCCUUACCAGUUUAGCACAGGAUAAUGAUGCAACAGAGCGUAUAGGAGGGACUGGUGGAGUUCUGAAAGAACUGUUAAAGAUUUUCUUCCAAGAAGGAGUGCUGGAAAAUCAAAGGGAUGUGAGGAUUGUGGCCGGAGAAGCCCUGGCAAUGCUGGCUUUUGAAAGCAAGAGCAACUGUCAUCGCAUCUUGAAGUUAAAGAGGCUCCUAAAAGUGUUGGAGAUUCCGAUUCUUGAUGUUAGUGCUGGAAGAAUUUUGAGGAAUAUGUGCACUUACAGUGGCCCAGAGUCCUUCAACCAGCUAAAGGAAGUAACAGCAGCGGCACCAACAGUAAGUGCAUUAUUUUGCAAAAAUUGAACCUGAGCCGGCAUCUCAAUAACCGGAAAGGGCAGUUAUGUACAAGUUUUAAGUUGUCCUGGAGAGAAUGACAUUAAUGGUUCCUACCUAACCACAUUUCUUCAACUCAGGUUCUCAAGGCAAUCUUGUCAGGAGAAGGCAAACUACAAGAGGUGAUGGUUGGGUUAGCAGUGCAUGCUUUCCAAGUACAUGACGGCAGAAGAAUCGACCGCCUUCUUCAAGCAGGCGGGGUUUAGAGAAGCCGAAUUAGCUUGUGCUUUGGUCGAGAUCCUGAGGAACCACCGGAACCCACAUAUAAAGGUGCCGAGAAUGAGAAGGUUUGCUAUCGAGCUGGCUAUCUGGAUGAUGAGAGAGAAAUCAACAAAUGUGCAGAUCUUCAGGGAUCUGGGCAUGGAGGAGGAACUUGAAGGAGUCAUGGAUACAACAUCAGAGCUAGAGAGCUACAACAUUUUCUCUGGCACCAUUGGACUAAGCAGGCACAGCACGACCAUUCACUCACUUGUUGAGACCGCACUUAUGCUGCUGAAUAACAGGUUUGAUCAACCGAUAGGUUACUGAGCAAGUGACCAUGUCAAAUUAUCCAACAAAUGAGAAACAUGAAGCGAUGCUAGAAUACACAUUUCAUUCGCUAAUUCCAGAAGCAAAGAAAUAAAGGUAAUUGCUUCUUUAGCAACUCCUUAAGUCCGAUGAAAUGCUUCUGAAAGUUAUGACCAUGUUUAUUUGUUUUGCACGGAGUUUGUGUGUCAUGCGACACACCACAUGUACUACUACCAAAACAUAUGAAUAUGAAUACAUACACCCAAGCAAUUUUUGCUUUCAGAUUCAACUCUUGAACAUUCAAGCAUCCGAGUGUUGCAUAUCCCCUAAUUCUGAGCUCCCUACUUCUGCUAUUAAAAGACUGGAUUUCCCCUUCCAAAUCUUUUUCAACUUAGCAGCUACUCGAAGACUUAAGACGGGAUAAUCCAGUGCAGUCAUUCCCUAAUUUCAAACGCCUACACCAAGAUCAAGAAUCCCAGAAGGCAAUUCAUCAGGCAACAGAAGUAGACAAAAAGAAAAAGAAAGAACCCAUUGCUUACUUUGUGACAGCUUUAGAAGGACAUCUCGCAAUGAACCCAUAAAUUAUCUGCACUACACGCUUCUCUGAAACCCCUUAAAUAGGAUGAGAACCGAAGAACCGAAGAAAAAUGGGAACUUGCAGUUGAACAGCUGACUCCAUAAAGCAAAAGCGAAUGAAACUAAGAUCGUAAUCUACGCGAACCGACAUUCUUGUGAUGCACAUCAGGGAGUUUUGGAGCUGAGACAAUCGAGGAUUCAGCGUCUCGACGGUGAGCGAGAUCAGUCGCUGUGAAUUGCGAAGAUGGAAAAGCAAGAAAUGGUGGAGGGGAAGGAAGGAAACGGAGAGAACGAAAAAGAAUUGAAACUGUUGACCCUGCACAAGAAAUUACACAUACACAUAGAAUACCCCCUUCCAUUCUUUCACUCUUGAGUUUUUUUUUUUUUUUGGGUCAGUCCUACUCUAUUCUUACUCUACACUCACUUUCAGACUUUUACCCUGAGACAGGGUAUGGGAGUCGAAACUCACUCCUGAAACUUACGCAUCUCCAUCCCAUCAUUCCCUAAGAAUGUGGGGAUUUGAACCCCUCAUCUCCCAUUUCCAUGUCGGAAGAGUGGCUACUAGGGCGAAUCUUAGUGUUCUUUCACUCUUCAGUUGACCACUCCCUUUUUUUUUUCCCUCACUAUUAAAUUUUCAGAAUUGUCCCAACUUUCUCUCUCUUCAGCUCACCUACUAUGCAUACUUAUUCAUUUUCUGAAUUUCUUUUUCAUAUGGGUCAGCUCUUCAUCGUCCAUGUCAUCGUCUAUAUCUAUAUCAUCAAACUCAAUAUUAAACUUAAGUGCAAUUAACUUCUCUUUUGGAUACUCUUUCUCAUUCAUCUGUUCCACUUCAUACAAUUGAAGAGAGUGUAUUAGCUCGUCAACAAAAAGAGGUAUGAUCAUUUAUGUCUCAAAAUUUCACAUGAUUCCAAUCCUUUUUCAAACAUUUAUUUUCUGUUGAAAGAAAAUUAGUAGUUUGUUGACCUUCAUUGGAGUAGAAAUUAAUUGACAUUGAUAUGCAAUCCAUUUACAAUUUCCGUAAAAUGGCUUAACAUAUCUCUAAUAGACUCUUUAGGCUUCAUUUUGAAGGACUCAUAUUAGCUAAGUAAGAAGUUUACUUUUGUCUCAUUUACACGAUAUAUUCCUUCAUAGGUGACAUGAAGCUUAUCACAUACUUCUUUAAUUGUUUCACAUGAAAAUAUUAUAUUAUAUUCAGCAGGAGACAUGACACACUAUAAAAAUAAAAAAUAGCUUUAGCAUCAAUAGCCUAUCUCUUGAUAAUUUCUACUUAGUUGGAAUCCUCAGCAUCUUUAUCUAAGAAUUAUUUUCCCUUGUCUGAAGUUGAUGCUGCAUUUGGGUUAAUUCUUCUUUCCACAACAUCUUAUUUCAGAGGAUCAUUGGAUCUUAGGAACGCCUUCAUUUUAUUAUUCCACACAUUGUAUUAUUUUCUAUCAAAAUAGGGUGGCUUGGUAUUGUUCUAUCCUUCAAUCAGUCUCGGUGUCAAGAUACUAGCAAUAAAAGAUUUUUAGUUCAUAAAUAAAAACACUUCAAUAAAAUGAGCAUCAAAACUCUUAUACCAAUUGAAAAUGAUAGUAUUACCACUUAGAGGGAACGUGAAUAGGUGUAAAAACAAAUUAAGCAAAUAAAUGAAGAAUAAGUUAUAUUGCAAGCAAAGUCUAACUAAAAGUGCCACCAAAAUUUUGAAGUAAAUUCAAGCUCAAUUAAAGAUGGUUUAGAAAUUUGAAAGGUUCAGAAAAUGAUUGCAACAGACAAAUCAAAGAGUUAAGGAAAAAGAAAAUUGAACACGAGAUUUAUAGUGGUUUGACUUAGAUCAAGCUUACGUCUACUCUCCCACGUUGAUAGCAUUUUAACUGAAAUUCACUAAGAUAUCAAUAGAGAAAUACAAUUAUUUGAGUAUGAACACUCAUUGAAGGAUUUCUUUUUCUCUCACUAAGUCACUUUUCUUGUGUUUUUCUCUCUUGAAUACAAUUUGUAAGUGAUGUCGAUGAAGAACAAGUGGUUGGAAAGGCCUCAAACUUUGGAAUUUCAAUUUCACGCAUUAUCUCAAAUGGAUUGAAUGACCUCCUUAAAUAUUCAUCUACACAUUUCUAACUAUUGGAAAUUUCAAGAGAAAUUUCUUUCAAUCAAUCCAUUAAACAUAAUCAAUUAAGGAAAUUUUUUAACCGUUUGAAAAUUGAAAUGAAAAUCCGAUGUUUCUGGUCGCCCAUACAAUCAAAAAUCUAGGUUUCAUAAGUAGAUGCUUCUCCAAAAGGAACUUGUCUUCAAGAUUGAUUUCAUCAAUUCGUGAUUUAUUCCAUCAAUAUAUUUAUAAAAGGUAAAUGACAUUUUCCGUCAUAAAACCAAAUAUUAAGGAUAAAUCUCUAUAAUGUUCGUACUGAAUCAUUGUCGAAAGAUCAAUAAUCCUAAGUCUAAUUAUAUCUCUUUUUUUUUACUUGGUUUUAGUUUGGAUCUUGUCAAAGUAAGAAAUAUUUUUGGAGUAAAAAGAUUUUGACAAAAGUUUAGUAUUCUUCAGAAUAAGAACAAGAACAAAAAAGUUUUGUUAACUUCAAAACCUGAUGAGAGUUUUCUCAACAAUCAAAAGUCGAUGCAUUAAGCUCAUAAACUAUGAAAACCGAGACAUUCCUGUGAUUGAAUUCGGCGAGAACCUCGCUACCCGUUGAGAUCAUGGAGUUCCGAAGCUGAGACGAGUGAGGAUUGAGCGUCUUGACAGCGAGCAAGCUCAGUCAUUGCAGAUUCCGUGAAGAACAAAUGGUAGAGGGAAAGGCAAGAAAUGGAAGGAACGAAAAUUAGUUAAAAACUAUCUACCCCGAACAAGAAAUUGAAAAGGAAACAUUAUGCAAAAGGAAAAAUGACACAAAUGAUCUUUGAACCUUAGCCAAAUAUGUAAUGUGGUCUCUAAACUUUUAAUUUGUUAAAUGUGGUAUCUAGAUAUUUGAUACAUGUUUUGGGACAAUAAUAAACAUUUUUAUAUAGUUUAGGGACUAAAUUGAAUAUAUAUAUUUAAGUCUAGAGAUCUUAUUGAAUAAAUUAAAAGUUUAUGAACCACAUUACACAUUGAUGUACAAUUUAAGAAUCAUAUCAAACAAAUCAAAAGUCCAGAAACUAUGUUGUAUAUUGAGUUAAAUUUAAAGGCCAUUUGUAUUAUUAUCACUACUCAAAACAAUUUCAAAUGAUAGUUGCACGAAUUCACCAUAUAUUCAAAAAAAAAAAAAAACACACACACACACAUACACACAUUUUUGUUAAAUUACCCUUUUUUUGGUAAGGUAAGAAAUUACCCAUUCUUUAUUUCGCUUGUCUUCAUUCAUUUUUUGAACCACCGUCGACUUUUUUUUUUUUUUUUUUUGCCAAAAAUUUUCUGAAUUGUCCAAACUUUCUUUACCUUAUGCUAACCUACUAUACAUAGUUAUUCAAUUCCUUUCUAAGUGUAAUUACUUAAUUAAGCACCCGCAAACGCCAGUUGCGACGCCUUCCCAUGAUUGAAUAUUAAGGAAUACCCGGGACAAUAAAAGUUGUGCCCUUUUUCUUCGUUUUGAUGACGCCACACAUAAUAAAUGGUUAAUGGGUUUUCGAACUUUGGCGAGUAAAUAGAAGUAAUUUCUCCUCAUGAAAUAGCCAGCCGUCUGGACCUUCGACACAAAGCAGGUGGACCAUCUGCGUGUCCUCUAGCUCGAGACGAAGACAAUCGAUAAAAUAUCUCCAGCAAUCUCCAAACGAAAUGCCAAACUCUUAAACACGACAUGGAAAGAAUCGUCCAGGAGCAAGCAAGUGGCCGUGGAGAUCCGAGAAUGCGCCUAUCAUGGACCGAAUGACUACGAAUUUUAACAGCACACUUGACCAAAUGAUUCUCAUGGACAGAGACGCCUAAAGAAAAAGGAGACUUUGAAGGUUCAACUCAAUGACUAAUCUUCCUUUCGAUGAGGUUCACGUCGACCACACCUUUCAGGGAGCUGUGCACGGCGUUAUAGAACUCUAAGAACCCUGAUAAUUCAUUAUAACAUCAGGAUAUUAAGCAUAUGUUCUUCAAACAGAGUCGAUACCGUCUCACACUCGUCAUCACUCUUGUACAAGUUUUGUCGGCUGCAAGCCAACGCAGUCACCAAGCAGCAAGCGUGUCGCUCCGAUAUGCAGAAAGAGAGUAGGAGAUCAUCAGGCAAUCAAGAAAGCUCGUCAAUGGAACAUUAGAAGAAAACAAUCCAACGAUACUGGAAUUCGAUCCAAGAGCAAGAGAACUUGCAGGAAAGUAGGCAAUAGAAGCUGCUUAACCUUCCUUUUCCUCUGCAAGAUGCAGUUAUAAGUUAUAACAACACCCCCCCCCCCCCCCCCUUUCUUUGUUUACAGAGGCAUAGCAAUUCUGUCCCAUCCCAGGAAAUUUAUCAACAGACUGCUAGGUGGAAGUUUUCCUCAGCUGAUUUGACGUAUAAAGAAGAAUCUGCUCCUGAGCCACUCCAGAAGAAUCUGCUCCUGAGCCACUCCAGACCGCGAAAUGACGGUCAAGAGCUUUGCUGAAGGUCAAAGCAGCAUUCAUUUGGAUAUUCCUCAGCUUCCGAAGGAAAAUGAAAGCACCAUUUCACCCGCCACAAUUUUUGAGCCACAAACUAAUCCUAGCAGCAGAAACUAUGUAUCUCCCACGCUGCCAGCUGUUUCAGCCCCGGAGGAAAAGCUGACUCUGUUUGCUGUCCACCUUGCAGUUCUUGAAAAAAUGGCCACUGGCCUGGGAACCCUUGGUUUCAUCUGGGCGACGGUUGUACUCCUGGGGGGCUUUGCCAGUACCCUAGAGAAAACCGACUUCUGGUUCAUCACCAUCAUUUUAUCAAUUGAAGGAGCUAGAAUCUUCAGCAGGAGUCACGAGCUGGAAUGGCAACACCAGUCCACAUGGUCAAUAGCUGACGCAGGAAUUAGCAGCUUCCGAGCACUCAGAUCAAGCUCUAGAGCUCUAGUUGAAUCCGUGAAGGAUAUGUUAAGCCCUGUAAGCUCUGCUACAAGGAAGCAAAGUCAACACAGCAGGAAUAUUUCCAAAACUACAGAUGCAACAAACAUUACAGAGCAGAAAUUGAGAAGGAAGCCAACCUGGAUUUGGACUUCUUCCGAAGUUCCUAUUAUACCUUAUGCAGGGAGAGUUUUCCUUUCGAGAAAUGUCAGCAAGAUUCUGUAUUGGCUUCAGCUCUUAUCUGCAAUAGCCUGCGUCGUGCUCUCAUUGAUGAAGCUCAUCAAGCACAAUUUUGGUGACAAUGCUAAAAGAGACACUGACGAGAGGAACAGGAAGGCUGCUCUGUAUAUCUUUUAUGCCUUGGCUUUGGCAGAAGCUCUGGUUCUCCUGACAGAGAAACUUUACUGGGAGUGGAAGGUUGUCAUCUGUAAGCUUCUUGAAGGGGUGAAUGAGGAAUGCAAUCUGGGGGCUUCAGGUAUGAACUCGACUCGGAGAUUUUUCUAUGACUCCUAUUCAAGAUGUAUUAAUGGGAGCAUUUUUGAUGGCCUGGGAAUGGAUAUGGUGACUUUUGCCAUGGAUCUCUUAUCUUCAAACUCGCCGCAAGAGCAGCUCAUAGGAGCCAGGAUUCUUCGCCAGUUUUCUACGAAAGAACGGUUUUCAGAUGGCACUCUUCAGAAGAUGGGAACAACUCUGCCAGUUAUAGAGAGACUGGUGGAGAUCUUGAACUGGAAACACCCACAUGAGGAAGAAAUCAGGCUAUCAGCUGCAGAAAUAGUCUCCAAAUUAGCUGGGAAAAAGCAAAACUCCCUCCGGGUCGCUGGGAUACCCGCGGCAAUGGAAUCGAUAUCAUCUCUUCUACAGACAAACAGAAGCCUCAGUUCUACAGCAGACGAAAUUGGAGAAAGGAAAAUUGUCUUUGAUCAGGAGGAUUAUGGACACUGGACUUUCAUUAAUUUGGGGCUACUCAUUCUGAAGAAACUAGCCCAUGAUCAUGGUAACUGCGGAAAAAUUGGAAACACAAGGGGCCUUCUUUCCAAAAUGAUAGAUUUCACUCAUGCUGACGAGAGAAUAUUGAAGGACUCAACCGUUACCACAUCGCAGGUUUUGAUUGUUAAAAGAUCCCUAAAGGUUAUAAAGAUGCUGGCAAGCACAACAGGUACCACAGGGAAAAAUCUCCGUAGAGAGAUCUCCGAGAUAGUCUUUACCAUAAGCAACAUAAGAGAUAUUCUACGACAUGGAGAGAAACAACCAGAACUGCAGAAACUAGGGAUUGAGAUCCUAACCAGUUUAGCACAGGACAAUGAGGCGACAGAGUGUAUAGGAGGGACUGGUGGAGUUCUGAAAGAACUGUUAAACAUUUUCUUCCAAGGAGUGCAGGAAGAACAAAGGGAUGUGAGGAUUGUGGCUGGAGAAGCUCUGGCAAUGCUGGUGUUUGAAAGCAGGAGCAACUGUCGUCGCAUCUUGAAGUUCAAUGUAGUGGAGAGGCUCCUAGAAGCAUUGGAGAUUCCGCUUCUUCAUGUCAAUUCUGGAAGGAUUUUGAGGAACCUGUGCACUUACAGUGGGCCAGAGUCCUUCAACCAGCUAAAGGGAGUAACAGCAGCGGCACCAACAGUAAGUGGAUUUUUUGCAAAAAUUGAACCUGAGCUGGUAUCUCAAUAACUGGAAACAGCAAUUAUGUACAACUUUGAGUUGUCCUGAAGAAAAUGAUAUUAAUUGUUCCAACCUAACCAUAUUUCCUCAACUCAGGUUCUCAAGGCAAUCUUGUCAGGAGAAGGCAAACUCCAAGAGGUGAUGGUUGGGUUAGCGGUACAUGCUUUCAAGUUCAUGACAGCAGAAGAAUCGACCGCCUUGUUCAAGCGGGAAGGGUUAAGAGAAGCCAAAUUAGCUUGCACUUUGGUCGAGAUCCUGAGAAGCCACCGGAACCCACAUGUAAAGGUGCCAAGAAUGAGAAGGUUUGCUAUCGAGCUGGCAAUUUGGAUGAUGAGAGAGAAAUCAACAAAUGUGCAGAUCUUCAGGGAUCUGGGCAUGGAGGAGGAGCUUGAAGGAGUCAUGGAUACGACAUCAGAGCUAGAGAGCUACAACAUUUUCUCUGGCACCAUUGGACUAAGCAGGCACAGCACAACCAUUCACUCACUUGUUGAGACCGCACUUAUGCUGCUCAAGAACAGGUUUGAUCAACCGAUGAAGGCAUGCUAGAAUACACAUUUCAUUCACUAAUUCCAGAAGCAAAUGAAUAAAGGUAAUUGCUUCUUUAGCAACUCCCUUAAGUCCGAUGAAAUGCUUCUGAAAGUUACAACCAUGUUUAUUUGUUUCACACGGAGUUUGUGUGUCGUGCGACGCACCACAUGUACUACUACCAUAACAUAUGACUAUGAAUACAUACACCCAAGCAAUUAUUGCUUUCCGAUUCAACUCUUGAACAUUCAAACAUCCGAGUUUUGCAUAUCCCCUGAUUCUGAGCUCCCUACUUCUGCUAUUAAAAGACUGGAUUUCCCCUCCCAAAUCUUUUUCAACUUAGCAGCUACUCGAAGACCUGAGACGGCAUAAUCCAAUGCAAUCAUUCCAUAUUUUUAAACGCCUACACCAAGAUCAACAAUCCCAGAAGGCAAUUCAUCAGGCAACAGAAGUAGACAAAAAGAAAAAGAAAGACUCCAUUGCUUACUUUGUGACGGCUUUAGAAGGACAUCUCGAAAUGAACCCAUAAAUUAUCUGCACCAUACGCUUCUCUGAAACCCCAUAAAUAGGAUGAGAACCGAAGAACCAAAGAAAAAAUGGGAACUCGCGGUGAAGAGCUGACUCCAUAAAGCAAAAGCGAAUGAAACUAAGAUCGUAAUCUACGUGAACCGACACUCUUGUGAUGCACAUCAGGGAAUUUUGGAGCUGAGGCAACCGAGGAUUCAGCGGCUCGACGGUGAGCGAGAUCAGUCGAUGUGAAUUGCGAAGAUGGAAAAACAAGAAAUGGUGGAGGGGAAGGAAGGAAACGGAAAGAACGGAAGUGAAUUGAAACUGUCGACCCUGCACAAGAAAUUACAAUAUAAAUAUAUAUUACCCCCUUCCAUUCUUUCACUCUUCAGUUGACCACUCCCUUUUUUUCCUCACUAUUAAAAUUUCAGAAUUGUCCCUACUUUCUCUCUCUUGAGCUCACCUACUAUGCGUACAUAUUCAUUUUCUUUCUAUGCAUAAUUACUUUAUUAUGCGUGCGCGAGCGCCAGUAACUGCUACACCCGCCAUAACCUUAAUUGCAUAUUAAAAGAUCCCGAGGUCAAUAAAAAUUGCCAUAACCUUAGAUAAACGUUUCAAAGGUUUUCGAAUUUUUGCACAUCUCCAGCAAGCUACAGACUAAAAUGCCAAAUUGCUUUUUCCAUGACACUGCAAGAAUCGUCAAGGAGCAAGCAAGCAAGUGGCCGCGGAAACCCGAGAAAGCACCUGUCACGCGAGAGAUUACAAUAUUAUUCGAUGCAUGAACACGGAUGCAAAACAGAUUUGACAGAUUCUGACGUAAACAACUGCUGCAAGUAAUGUGGCGAUUUCCAGACUGGACCGAAUGAUGAUGACUUUGUAGAAAAGCUAAAUGAGAGGAGAGAUGAGGCUGAAAAUUUCCUCUUUUUUCAUAAUUAGGAAAUCUUUUAUACAAAGUAAAUAAAUAACGUAAAAACACUACUAAAUUGGGACCUAUAACUAUUUAUGUUCUGCAUAAAGUACUUACUUUACUAACACCUAAAAAUUAGGACAACUAACACACAAAUUAGCUAAACGCGACUCCACUUAACUCUAAUAACUGAAAAACCUUAUUAGUAAAACGUGCAAAAAGAAAUAACUAUUAUUUUAACAAUCCCUCCCUUAAACUGAUAUUUACUAACAUUUAAAGCCUUGACUAUUUUCAAUGUGUAAACAUCUAGUAACCUUCUAAGCUUCACAAAUGACUCCAUCUUGAGGGCCUUGGUGAAUAUAUCAGCAACUUGAUUUUCACUUCUGCAAUAGAUUAGAUCAAUUAUUCCAUCAUUGCUAAGAUCUCUUAAGAAAUAAAACUUCACAUCAAUGUGCUUGCUUUUUCCAUGUAGCACAGGAUUCUUGAAGAGUUUGAUUGCUAAGUUGUUGUUACAAUUUUUUUUUAUUUUUUUUUAUAACGGUUGUUACAAAAAAAUUUAGUAGCUCCUAGUUGCUUAAAUUGUAGCUCCUUAGUCAAAUAGCUUGAUAAGCAUUAACUGUUGUAACAACAAAUUCAACUUCUAUACUUGACAAUGUAACAAUUGAUUGCUUCUUGGAUGACUACGAAAUAGCACAUGUCCUAAACAUAAAAGCAUAACCCGAAGUGCUCCUUCUAUCAUCUUGAUGUCCUACAUAGUCACUAUCAGUAAAUCCCAAUAAAUUGGAUUUUUCACCAUUAUUGUAAAAUAGCCCAAAAUUUCUAGUUCCUUGCAAGUAACGAAGAAUUCUCUUGACAGCUAACAAAUACAUUUAUGUAGGAUUGUCCAUAUAUCUACUAAUUCAAUUCAUAGAAUACAUUAUGACUGGUCUUGUUGCAGUUAGAUACAUCAAACUGCCCACAAUUUAUUUAUAAAUUAUGCUGUCAACCUUCCUCCCUUCAUAAUAUUUGUAUAGCUUUAAGCCAAACUCAAUUGGAGUGUUUAUGGGAUUACAAUCCUUCAUCCGAAAUUGUCCAAAAUUUCUCUCACAUAUUUCUUUGGAGAAAUAAAAAUCCCAUCAUCCGAUUGUACCACUUCUAUGCCAAUGAAGUAAUGCAUCAUACUAAGAUUAGACAUUUCAAACUCAUACAUCAUAGAUUUCUUGAAUUCUUUAAACAUGAUAUCACAAUUUCCAGUAAAUAUAAGAUUGUCAACAUACAAACAGAUAAUAAGCAUUUUCCUUUUAUCUCCAAUCUUGAUGAAAAGUGUAUGCUCAUAAGAACAUUUUGAAAAAUCAAUUUUAAGAAAAUAAGUUUCAAUACGAGUAUACCAAGCUCGAGGGGCUUGUUUUAGCCCAUAAAGAGUUUUUUCUAAUCUAUAAAUUUUAUGCUUAUUUCCAAUCUUGACAUAACCAUUGGGUUGCUCGACAAAUAUCUGUUCCUCCAAGUACCUAUGCAAAAAUGUCAAUUUGACAUCUAGUUAGAAAAAUAGGCCAAGAAUUCUGUAUCGCUAAUGCAACCAGCAAUAUGAUUGUGUUAUGUCUCGCAACUGGAGAAAAAGCUUAUGUAUUGUCGAUCCCAUAUUGCUACUUGUAUCCCUUGGCUACCAAACGCGCUUUAUAUUUGUCAACUUCACAAUUUUCUUCCAGUUUUGUUUUAAAGAUCUACUUUACACUAAUGGUUUUUUGUCCAUCCAGAAGAUCGGAUAGCUGCCAAGUAUAAUUUCUUUCAAUGAAAUUAAUUUCAUCAUCCAUUACUUUUCGCCAUUUUCCUUCUUUGAUAGCACUCUCAAAGUUGUAGGAUCAUAAUCUGAAAACAAGGCAAAGUGAGUAAUUAAAUCUCCAAUUCCAGUUACCUCAUAAUCUUCCAUCUAAGCAUACCUUCUUCUAACGCAGUGAAGAGAUUGAACUUCUUCUUCAUUGACUUCAACGACUGUUGGUUCAAUUCCAGUAGCUAUAGAAGUCAUAUUUGAUGAAUUUUUAGGCAUACAAGAUGCUGAAAUAUGCUCCUGUUCAGCAUCAUUGUCAUAAAAGACUUGGGUAGGCUACUGCCUAUUCCAAUUUCAAGUAUUUUCUUCAUAAAAAACAAUAUCCAUGCUAGUCACAAUCUUCUUUGUUAGUGGAUUGAAUGAUUUAUAUGCUUUGGAUGCUUCACUUAAACCAAGAAAGAAACAUUUUUCAACCUUGUCAUCAAGUUUCUUUCUUUUCUCAUUUGGAACAUGGGUAUAUGCGAUGCAUCCAAAGAUUCUGAAGUGAUCUAUAGCCGGUCUUCUCCCACUCGAAGUCUCUUCUGGUGUCAUAUUUUGAACAGCAAAAGUUGGACUUCUGUUCAAAACAUGAAUACUCCAAUUUAUUGCUUCUGGCCAGAAAGUCAUUGGAACUCUUCCUCUUGCCAAUAAGCUUCUCACCAUGUUGAGAAUGGUUCUAUUCUUCCUCUCAAAUAAACUAUUAUGUUGUGGUGUAUAUGAAGCAAUAAGCUCUCUUCGAAUGUCAUGCUCUGCACGAAAAGCUUCAAAUUUUUUUGAACAAUAUUCACCACCACGAUCUGUUCGAAGGGUCUUAAUGGUCUUUCCUACUUCAUUUUCCACACAAGCUUUGAAGCUUUUAAAUGCAGAGAAAGCUUUUGAUUUUUCCUGUAAAAAAUAAACCCAAGUUUUUCUGAAAAAAUCAUCAAUGAAGGUAAUUAAGUAUCUUUUACCUCCAUUAGAAGAUGAGUUUAUAGGACCGCAAAUGUUCAAAUGCAUCAGUUGCAAAACAUCAUUUGCUUUUCAUGACUUCUCUUUUGAAAAUUGAGAACGAUAUUGUUUGCUAAUAACACAUUUUUCGUAGACUUGGGAAGGAAUAGUAAUUUGAGAAAGACAUGUCACCAUGUAUUUCUAUUAGAGGGUCUUCAAUCCACCAAAACUUAAGUGACCAUAGCAAUGCCACAACCAUGAGGGAUCUUUCUUUUCAGUCAUCAAACAAGAUUGAAUGUUUUCAAUCUUUAAUGGAAACAAUUUAUAUGAACUCAUAGGAACAACAGCAAUUGCACCUCUAACAUAAUCAUAAAUUUCACAGACACCCCUUUGAAUGGUGAUUACAUAAUCAUUUUCUUGUAAUUGGUCAGCACUCAUUAUGUUACUUUUUAAGUCAAGAACAUACAACACAUUAGAGAUCGUUUUCACAAAACCAUUAUUGGUUGUUAUCUUAAUAUCACAUUUUCCCAUCACUUUCAUAGUAAAAUGAUCCCUAAAACUCACAGUGGAAUGAAAAUCUUCAUUUAGAUAAGAAAAAAAAGACUUACCUCCACUCAUGUGGUUACUGCAGCCUGUAUUCACAUACCAAAUAUCUGACUCAGGCUUCUUUUCAUCUUGAACAACCAUCAACAACAUUUCUACUUAUUUUUCUUCAACAAAAUUUGAAUUCUCUGCAUUUUCUUUAUUAUUAAGUAGCCUAGUAUAACAUUCAGAUGCAUAAUGACCAAAUUUAUGACAUCUAAAACACUUUAUUUUGGAUUUGUUAGGAUCCCGUUCUCUGCCUUUGCCUUGAAAUUGGUCAUUAUUGGCUUUGAAAUUCUUGCUAACAUUUCUAUUUCCUCAAUCUCUCUUUCCUCUACCUCUACCUCUACCCCUUCCUCUAAAAUUAUUGGAAUGAGUAUUGAUAGAAGCCUUCAACGCUUGCUCCUCUACUGUUGAACUUCUAUUCAUCUUAUGUUCAUGGACCAAUAAAGAGUUUUGCAAUUCAUCAAGAGAGAGCACAUCUAUGUCUUUCGACUCUUGAAUUGAGCAGACAACAUAAUUAAACUUUGAUGUUAGGGAACGUAAAAUCUUCUCCACAAUGGUGAUGUCAUUUAUCUUCUCGCCUUGGAAUCGCAUCUUGUUGCCGAUCUCCAUUGUUUUGGCACAAUAACUAGUAAUAGACUCUCAAUCCUUCAUCACUAGUGUCUCAAAAUCUCUUUUCAAGGCUUUAAGCUGUGCACACUUCACUCUAACAGAACCUUAAUAUUUCUUCUUCAUAGAAUUCCAAAUAUCUUUUGAAGUUUUUUUGCAAAGAAUAGUCUCCAAGUAAAGACGAUCAAUACCUAAAAGAGAUAAUUUUUUGCCUUCAGGUCCUUCAACUUUCUAGCUUCCAAUUUUACUUUCUAGGGAUCUUUCAAAGCCUGUGCCUGCUGAUGGCUCUUGAAUUCCAAAUUCAACAACCGACCAAUAUUCCUUUGACCAUGAAAAAUUCUCCAUCAGCAUGCUCCAAUAGUCAUAGUUGUGAAAGCUAGUAUGAGCACCUAGAGGGGGUGAAUAGGUGCAGAAACAAUUUUGCGAGAUAUGUGCAGUGCUGAUCAACAAUAGAUUAUGAACACAGAAAUUAUAGUGGUUCGGCUUAAUCUAAGCCUACGUCCACUCUUCCGCACUGAUAGCCCACCGACUAGAUUUCACUAUGAACAAAAGAGUUGUUACAGUUAGGCUCUUCCUUGAUUCUACAGUGUAGAGACUCUAUUACACUUCCUCAAGGUCUCUCAAUGAUAUAGACUCUCUUUUGUGUACAAGAUUUCGCUCAACAGUUUAAUUGUCUAAGAACAAGGAGCUUCAGACUUUGGAAUUCUUCUAUCGUGCACACACUCGAAUAACUGGAACGUCUUACUUAUAUACUCAUUUAUGCUAUCAUACCCGUUGGCACUUACCAAAGGAAUUCUUCCAAUCUACCUGUUGGACAUAAUCAAUUAGGAAGAUCUUCGAGCUAUUUAAGGAACAUGAUGAUAGCCCAUCAAUCCUGCUCGCCCAUACAAUUAGGAUUUUGGUUUCCAUAAGUAGAACUUUCCAAGUAUACUUCGCCAAUCAACGGAUCCACAAUUCCCGAAUCAAUCUUGAUUAGAAUAAUGGAUUCUGACAUGCUAUAUAUAGCCAAGAGAUAUUCUCCAGUCGAUAAAGUCAAAUCCUUGACAAAACAUCCAGUUCUGGAUAAGUCUUCUUCGAUGGACUAGAAACUGUCAAUGAGGAUAGACUUUGAGUCUUGAGUUUGGCAGUCCGGAGGUCUUCAGACUUUGAUGGAAGAGUCUGCAAAUCUUCAGACUAGACUGAUGAAAACGUUUUUUCAGCUUCAAAACACUCAAGGAAGUUUUCUCCAACAAUCUCCCCCUUUUUGAUGGUGACAAAACUUUCCUGCAGAUUUGGAUAACUUUGACCUACAAAACAUUACUCAAGAAAAUAUGGAUAUCUUAAAGAUAAAUGGCUUAGUAAUAACACUAGAAUCUGCAUACACAGAAAGUAGGUUAGUCUUAUGAACAAAGCCAUGAGAUAUCAAUAAUACUUAAGAUAAACAGAUGUUCAAACAGUCAAUUCCAAAUCUAGUCCAAAUCCAAACAGCCAAACACAAACAUCAAGUCAAUCAAUAUUUUUGUUUUUAAAUCCAAACAGUCAAAUCUGCACAUCUCUCCCCAUUUUUGUCAUCAUUAAAAAGGUAGAGAUGAAAAGAGAAUGAAAUUAAGAUGGCUUGGGAAUAAAAACAAGAUGGAAAUCUCCCAUUGACUAUACAAUGCCUUCUAGCUUUUUCAAGUCCUCCUUUAGUUGCGCUACUUCUUCAACCUUAACAUUUGCUUGAACUUGAAGAGCAAGGGCUUGGAGUUGAUCAUUCAAAGAAACUAAAGAAGCUUGUCAUGCAUUCUGCAAAUUCUGAAGUUCGCAUCCCAGAGCAUAGAUUUGACCUUUCAUCUCUAAAAGAACAUCAAGAAUUCUGCGAAAGUGUGCUGAAUUAUGAGUCUGAGUACUUGCUUCUCCACGAUCAGACGGUGUAUAAGCAGAUGAUGGCAAAUCAGCAUUGUCACGCAAAUUGGGCGAUGAAACAUCGUGUCCCUCCUCAGGAAAUUGUGAGGCAUAUAUGUCCUCUGGAUCUGCUGGAGAGCGACUUACUUCUUCACUGGUGGCAGGCAUUGAGGAUGUUCCUCUUUUCUCAGGAUCUCCCCCUGUUUCCAUGCCUUUAGGUGGAGAAGAGUGUUCCUCAUGUUCUUUUUCUACUCUCUCAUCUUCUUCUUCUUCUUCAAUUCUUUCAUCCUCUGCAUCUCUCUCCUCUGCUUCUUUUUCAAAAUCUUCACUUUCUCCAGUCCUCUGUUCUGUUUCAGCCGUGUCUUUUUCCUAUCUCUCCGUUGAUUCUGGUGCAGAACGACUCAAGUUCUUCAAUGCCAUUGUAGAAAUAGUGAUAUCAUCCUCAUCCUCAAUGAUGAUAACUCUUCUUUUCUUGGAUGGAGCAACCAUGGGCUCUUUCCCUUUCCUUUUUGCAGCCGAAGAGAUUUGAUGAGUCUUGACAGGGGUUUUCUCCUUGAACUUCUCCAACUCCUUGUUGAGUUCCUUCAGACGCAUUUUAGAGACCAUUAUCAGUCCCACCACCAUUUGAUCACAUGCUCUACCACAAAGAAUUUGGGGAGGCUGAAUAUUCAAGUGUCUGAAUAACUUGGUUACAAGAGCUGCGUACAUGAAUUGAUUUUUGUCCUUCACCACUGCCCUGCCCUGUACAUGUGGAACAUAAUGGUGUGUGGAAGAGAGAAUUUUUUACCAGCAUUGAUGGCAUACAUCAGCUUUGCCUCCGAGUUUGAAACAUCAGUUUUUGAAGUUGAUUUCGGUCUAAGGCAGUUAAUCACAAUCUUGUGAAGCAAAAUGUUGGUUGCAUUCAUCCUUGAAUAGGAAAUCUUUUAUUCCGUUCUUCUAUCCUUAACAAGUUCCAACGUUACACGAGUAAUAGACACAUUGAUAGGUUGAUAUCUCCCUCUUUCAACCCCAAUCACAUCAGUCAAUGUAUUCAUGUCAACCACAUAGUCCUGAUCUCGAACACUAAAAGAAAAUUUAUUCGUAUCCAAGAAACUUAAAUUUGAAUAGAAAUAAGCAAUAAGUUCAGCAUAACCUUAUGUAGAUUCAGAACAAAGCUGUUCGAGUUGAAGAAUAGUGAUUUUUUCCUGCAGAUUGACAUUCACAGAGUCAAGAAAAUCAAAAUCCACACUUCUAGGGUUUAUUACUCCAUGCUUCAGCAACUUAGAUUACAGUUGCUUGUGGUCAUUCGAUCGAAACAAGUUUGUCCUUUUACAUCGGAUUUUUGCCGCAACACCCAUUCUCGGUUUAAAUUGACUGUACAUCCUAUCAUCGUCAUUCCCAUCUAGCUGACUCAGCCCUCCAACACGUGGAUCAGUUGGGAUAUUUGCCAAUGCCUCUUCCGCCAAUCCAGUAGGGGCAUUUCCCAAUUGUUCCAUUGUGCGUAGAAAAUAGAUUUCAUUUCGAUAUCCUUUUUCUUUCAAAAAUUUGUCAAUGUAGUUCAAAGGAGUACUACCCCCCUUCAAAACACGGUAAAGCUUAUAAGUGAAGCCAGGCUUAAGAGUUCUUACGGGUUCUGCGUCUUCGAUGAUUUCUUCCUCUUAUUGAUGUGAAACAUUCUGAGGUCUAGGAGGAGAAGAUGGACGCUGCUGAGAAUGUUGUGGGCUUUGUCGCUAAUGAGUAGAUUCUUCUUCCUCAGUGAGAUCAAAGUGCGUAGACCACUCACGUGUAUGAUGUGGUCCUCUGUUUGCGAUCCUUGAAGACUUUCUUUAGGAUGACAUCUUUCAUAGUUUUUGAGAGAUUCCAAGCUUGUUUUCCAAGAAAGAUGACAACUUUUCGAAGAUUAAGCAAGAAAAGAAGAUAGAAAUGGAAGAUCGGAGCUCUCUUAGGGUUUGUGAGAGUGAAACAAAGAAGAACCGACAGUAUAUAAGGCAGUCAAAACAAGGCAUACAGACUGUCGUAAAAGAAAUGUAAAGAUGCCUUUAAAAAAAAUUAACUGCCUUUUUUAAAAGUUGGAUAACUGUCAUUUCAAAAAUAACUUCUUUUUCGAAAAGGAAAAAUUGCAAUAAUCACGAAAAUUGAAAAUAGCAACAAUCAAUUAAGGAUAGAUAAUCGUACCUUUUCGGGAUUUGAUUUGGGGGAUAAUAAAACCAGCUUACAGUAAAAAAUCUUGAUUGUCUGAGUCUGAGUGUCUUUAGACUUUCAGUCAUGGGUCUAAACUUCCUCAGACUUUAGGAUAUUUAGUCUGGAACGAAUAGUUUCAAAUUGAUUUUUCUCCAAAGGCUUUGUAAAUAUAUCCGCCAGUUGAUUCUUUGAGUCAAUGAACUGAAUCGAAACUUCUCCAUUUUGAACAUGAUCUCUAAUGAAGUGAUGUCGAAUCUCUAUAUGUUUUGCCCUUGAGUGAAGAACAGAUUUUUGGUGAGAUUGAUUGCGCUGGUGUUGUCACAUUUGAUUUCAAUGCAUGAAUAUUCAAUUCCAAAGUCUCUUAACUGUUGUUUUAUUUGUGAACAACUUCCAAGAGAUACAUAUUCCGCUUCUGCUGUAGAAAGAGCUACUGUACUUUGCUUCCUCGAAAACCAAGACACUGUCCUACUUCUAAGUAGUUGACAGGUGCUCUUUCUAUCAACUCUGCAUCCGGCUAGGUCUGCGUCUGAGUAUCCAAGAAGAGUAAAGUCUCAUUCUUUAGGAUAUCAGAGACCCAUGUUUGAGGUUGAGGCAAUGUAUUUGAUAAUACGCUUUGCAGCACUUAGAUGAGAUUCUUUAGGAUUUGAUUGAAAUCUGGCACAAAUGCAAAUACUAAACAAAAUGUCAGGUCUAAAAGCAGUAAAAUAAAGAAGUGAACCAAUGAUGUUUCUGUAUAGCUUCUGGUCAACUUUCUUUCCUCCAUCAUCUUUGUCUAGCUUUAAGGAACUUGACAUUGGUAUAUCGGUCUUUUUGCAAUUUUCUAGUCCAAACUUUUUGACAAGUUCAUUUGCAUAUUUUUCUUGAUGAAUAAAAGUUCCUUCCUUAAGUUGUUUCACUUGAAGCCCGAGAAAGAAGGUUAGCUCACCCAUCAUGCUCAUUUCAAAUUCAUCCUGCAUAGACUUAGAGAAUUUUUUGCACAUAUUAGUCUAUGUACCAAGCUCAAGGUGCUUGCUUUAGACCAUAUAGAGCAUUUUUCAGUCUAAAAAUAGAGUCCGGUUUCCUUGGGUCUUCAAAACCGGGUGGUUGUUCCACAUAGACUUCAUCUUGGAUAAAUCCAUUUAAGAAAGCACUUUUGACGUCCAUUUGGAAUAACCUGAAAAUUUUAUGACAAGCAAAAGCAAGUAAUAAUCUAAUUGCUUAUAACCUUGCUACUGGUGCAUAAGUCUCAUCAUAAUCUAUCCCUUCUUCUUGCGUAUAUCCCUUGGCCACAAGUCUUGCUUUGUUUCUUACGACCUUUCCUUUCUCGUUCAUCUUGUUCCUGAAAACCCAUUUAACUCCAAUGAUGGAUUUACCUUUCGAUUUAAGAGUCAAUUCCCAGACAUCAUGGAUACUGAAUUGCCUGAGUUUUUCUUGCAUGGCUUCAAUCUAGCUUUCAUCAGUUAGAGCUUCUUCUAUACUUUUGGGUUCUAUUUCAGAAGAGCCACAGCACUAGACUCUUUGCACCUUUUGGAUCUUGUGUGAAUUCCUUCAUUAAUAUCGCCGAUAAUGAGAUUUGUGGGAUGACCGGACUUAUGCUUCCAAUUGCUGGUUGAUUUGUCAGACUGUUGAUCUUUUUCCUCAUUUGAAUCUUCUACUAUCAUUUGUUGCUAAUCUUCUAAAGUCUUAGCUGCUUCUGGAGAUUUAGACUUUGUAGAGUCUAGAGUAAGUUCAGAUUCUUCAAGUUGAGUCUAAAUCGAUUUGUUUUGCAUAGAGUCUUGAAAUUUGACAUUCAUUGAUUCCUCCACAGAUUAAGUCUUUUUGUUGUAUACUAUGUAAGCUUUGCUUGUGGUCGAAUAUCCAAGGAAGAUCCCUUCGUCUGAUUUUUCUUCAAACUUCCCUACUCGAUCAUUUGCAUUUUUCAAAAUAAAACAUGUACAUCCAAACAGGUGAAAAUAUGAAACAAUGGGCUUCUUACCUUUGAAUAACUCAUAGGGAGUUUUCUUUAAAAUAGGCCUUAGAAAAACUCUAUUAAUGAUAUAACAUGCUGUAAAACUGCUUCAUCCCAAAAACAUGAAGAGAUGUUACUUUCAAUUAAAAGAGUUCUAGCCAUCUCUUGCAAAGAUCUAUUCUUCUAUUCCACAACUCCAUUCUGCUCUGGAGUAUAUGGAGAAGAGAACACAUGCUGAAAACUAGAUUCAUCAUAGAACUUAGCAAAAUCUUGAUUUUCAAAUUCACCUCCGUGGUAUGUCCGUAUACUUGAAAUAACAUACCCUUUCUCAUUUUGAAUCUUUUUAGCAAACUUUUUAAAGUAAGAAAAUGUUUCAGAAUUACUUACCAGGAAAUAUACCCAAGUGAAUCUUGAAUAAUCAUCCACAAUCACUAAACAAUAUUUCUUACCUCCAAUGCUCUGAGUUCUGGUUGGUCCAAAGAGAUCCAUAUGCAGAAGUUGCAGUACACGAUUAGUAGAAAUUUGAUUUAUUGGUUUAAAUGAGUUUCUUACAUGUUUUCCCAACACACAUGGUGUGCAUAGAUAAGACUUUUGGCAUGACAUAUUGGGUAAACCACGAACAAGCUUCUUUGCUGAAAUUUUGGCUAUUUGCUUCAUAUUGAUGUGCCCAAGUUUUCUGUGUCAUAAGUUUGAUUCUUCUUGAAUUGAUAUUAGACAUUGAGUUUCAUCUGGUUUGACAUCCAAGAGGUAGAUAUUUCCAUGUCUUUGACCCGUAAAAGACUGCGAUGAGUCUUUACUGGUUUCUGAACAGAUUCCCUCUUGAAAAUUGAUUUUGAAACUGGUAUCGCACAGCUGAUUGAUACUUAGCAAAUUGUAGUUGAGUCCUUCCACUAAGGAAACAUUACUGAUUGUGACACUUCCAAUCUUUACAAUUUUGUAUCCCACAAUUCUUCCUUUGCUGUUUCCUCCAAAUGAAACUUUUCCACCAUUAACUUGAACAAGUUUUAUGAAGCAAUUUGAAUCUUCUGUCAUAUGCCUUGAGCAUCCACUAUCCAGGUACCAUUUAAUCUUUCUCUUGAUAGUGACCUGCAUUUAGAAAAGAGACUCAAGCUUUCUUUGAUACCCAUAUUUUCUUAGUCCAUUGGUGUUAGUAUGAUAUAUUGUCUUUGCCCAUACCUUCUUAACAGGUUUCCAAACCAUAGAACAUUAUUUUUCAAAAUGAUUAGAACUAUUGCACUUAGAACAUUUAAGUGCACUGCGACCUACUGGUUUUACAAACAAUUUUUGGAAAUGAUUUUUGUAAACAUUUCUUGUAAGUCUUUGCUUAAUUCUUUCUUUUACUUUAUGAAAAUCAAUUAGAGGAAUAGUUUCAGCAGUAAUUCCUAAACCUUAUUUGUUGAAGUAAGGUCUUUGUGCUAAAAGAAUUUUCUCAAGUUUCUCAGAUCCUAUAGAAAAUCUUUUAGAAAUAUUUGAGAUGUCAUUUUUCAAGAAUGCAUUUCUUUUGAAAGAUUGUUUUCAUUUUCUUUUAAGGUAGAAACACUUUUGUCUAAACUUUUGACGUUUUCUUUCAAAACAUUUUCCUGUUGUUUUAGUGCAGAAUUUUCUCUUUUAAGUUCGGAAAUCCUUUUAAGAGAAGUUUUAAGACUAAGACACAAUUCAUCAAUGUAUCUAGAGUCUUUAGUAGGGAUUUUCAAAUUACUUACCUCGAUUUCACUGUCUGAAUCUGAGUCUGUCUCGAAGUCUGAUUAAGCCAUGAGACAAAUAUUUGCAUAAUCAUCAUCGCUUUCUUCACGUUCUGUAUCACUCCAAGUUUCUGCUUUGAGUGUCUUUCGAUACUUCUCAGUUUUUCCUUUCUUUUUCCUCAGAAGGGGACAGUUGGGUCUGAUCUAUCAUUUUUUCUUACAUUCAAAGUAGACUACAUCUCUAUUGGAUUCAUCAUCCUCAACAGAUUUACUCUGUUGCUUUUGAAAACUCUAUUUCUUUGGAUUGAAUCUUCUUUCCUUUCUGUUUAGCUUUCUAAAUCUUUUUAUCAUGAGAGCAAGCUCUUCAUCAUCCAUAUCGUCUUCAGAAUCUGUGAUAUCAUAAUCAUCAUUAGAUUUUAAUGCAAUAGAUUUCUUACAUUUAGGAUCUUCAUCUUCGUUGAUUUGCUCCACUUCAUAAGACUGAAGAGUCCCAACCAACUCAUCAACAGAGAGUGGCAUGAUUCUUUGUGUCUCCCUUAUUGAGGUAUUUAUGUGAUUCCAAUCCUUGGAGAGUCCACGCAGUAACUUGUUUAUUUUCAUAGGAUCAGAAAUUGGUUGACCUUAAUUUUCAAGACCAUUCACUAUCUCUGUAAAACGACUAAACAUAUCAGUGAUAUAUUCUCCUGUUUUCAUUUUGAAUGCUCCGUAUUGUCCGAGCAGAAUGUUGAUUCUGGUUUCUUUCACUCGGUCAGUUCUUUCAUAGGUGAUGUGUAAUCUAUCCUAGGCUUCUUUAGCUGUAACACAAGAAGAUAUUCUGUUAUAUUCAGUAGGUGAUAAUGCACAAUAUAAAGAAUAAAUAGUUUUUGCGUCAAGAGCUUGUCUCUUGGUUAUCUCUUCUUGAGUCAUUUCGCUAGACUCAAUGGCUUCUUUUCCUCUUUCUGAGACUCAUGCAGCUUUAGGAAUGAUUCCUUUUUCUACCACAUCAUAUUCCAGAGGAUCCUUUGAUCUUAGAAAUGCCUUCAUCUUGUUUUUCCAUAUGUUGUAUUCAUUUCCAUCAAAAUAAGACAGUCUGGUAUUGCUUUGCCCUUCAACCAGUUGAUAUUGCUAGUAUAUACACCUAGAGGGGGGUGAAUAGGCGCACAAGCAAUUUUUCUUGAAUACGGAAGCAAUUCUUAACAGAUUGAUAUACGUUUGAAGUAAAGAGAGUAAGGAAGAGAAAAUUAAACACAGGAUUUAUAGUGGUUCGGAUUAUUCCAAUCCUACGUCCACUCUUCCGCACUGACAGCCCACCGGCUGGAUUUCACUAUAAUCAAAAGAGAAGUUACAGCACAGCUUUGCCUUGAUUCCAUAGUGUAGAUGUUCUACCACACCUCCUCAAGGUCUCUCACAAAUAUAGACUCUCUUUUGUAUACAAGUAUUCGCUCAAGAGAUUUAUCUAAACAAAUGGGAGCUUCAGACUUUGGAAUUCUUCUAUCGCGCACUCCUCAAACAACUAAGAACGACUUCCUUAUAUACUCCUUUGUGCCAUCAAAUCCGUUGGCACUUACCAAAGGAAUUCCUCCAAUCUAACCGUUGGACAGAAUCAAUUAGGAAGAUUGUUCGAGUUAUUAAAGGAACAUGUUGAUAGCCCAUCAAUCCUGUUCGCCCAUACAAUCAGGAUCUCGGUUUCCAUAAGUAGAACCUUCCAAUAAUAUAUAGACAAUCAUCGAAUCUUCAGUCAUUGAAUCAAUCUUGAUCAAUCAAAGGAUUCUGAUACGUCUUCUCCAGCCACGAGGUCUUCUCCAGAUGAUAAGGUUAAAUCCUGAACCAAUCACCUAGUUCUGGAUAACAUUUCUUCAACGGAUUCGAGACUGUCAAUGAGGAUAGACUUUGAGUCUUGAGUCUGGCUGUCCGGAAGUCUUCAGACUUUAAACUGACAGAGUCUGCAGACUUUCAGACUAGACCGAAGGAUACGUUUUGUCAACUUCAAAACUCUUCAUGAGGAUUUCUCCAACAAUCUCCCCCUUUUUGAUGGUGACAAAACCUUCCUACAGAUUUGGAUAACUUUGACCUGCAAAACAUUUCUCAAACACAUAUGCAUAUCUUAUUGAAAUAAAUGGCUAAUAGAAUAACACUAGAUUCUGCAACCACAGAAAAUAAGUUAGUCCAAUAUAUGAUUAAGCCAUUCAUAAGAUAUCAAUAUUGAUAAAUAGAAGCAGUCAAGUUAAAUCCAAGUCUAGGCAUCCAGACACAAAAACACAGUCAAACAGGUUCAAACCAUAAACCUCAAAUUUGUCUAAAAAGUUUAAUGAAAGUAAAGAGUUUUUGAAUCAAAAUCUUGCAUCUCUCCCCCUUUUUGUCAUCAUUGAAAAAGGAUAAGAUGAAAUCAAGAUUGCUUGGGAACACGAACAAGCUGGAAAUCUUCCAUAGACUGAACAAUGCCUUCCAGCCUCUUAAAGUCUUCCUUCAGCUGUACAACCUCCUCACUCUUGGCAUUUGCCUGAUUCUGAAUAGAGAGGGCUUGCAUCUUUUCAUUUAAUGAACAGGAAGAAGCUUGACUUUCAUUCUUCAAGCUUUGAACUUCAUAUCCCAAGGCAUAAAUCUGACCUUUCAUCUCCAAGAGAAUGUCCAUGAUUCUGCGAAAAUCUGCUCCAUUAUCAGUCUGAGUACUUGCUUCUGCUCGUUCUGAUGGAGUAAAAGCAGACGAUGGUGGAUCAGCAUAAUCUCGCAGGUUUGGCGAUGAAGCUUCAUGACCUUCCUCUGGAAAUUGAGAUGCAUAGACAUCUUCUGGGUCUGCAGGCAAACGACUGACUCCUUCACUUUCAUCUCGAUAUGAAGAUGUCACUCCUUUCUCCUGAUCUCCCCCUGUUUCAAUGCCUACGGGAGGAGAAGAGAUUCCUUCAGGUUCUCCUUCUCUUCUUUCUUCUUCAGAUCUUACUUGAUCUGCUUCUUGCACUUUUUCUCUUUCUUCAUUUUUCUUCUUCUCUGCUUCUUUUUCUUCUUCUUCCUUCUCCUCUGCUUCUUUCGUCAAUUGUUCCGAAUCUUUCUCUGGAACAGGACGACUCAAGUUUUUCAAUGCCAUUGCAGAGAUGGUGAUGUCGUCGUCAUCAUCUUCAUCCUCAACGAGGAGAGCUCUUCUUUUCUUUGAUGGAGCAACCAUGGGCUCCUUCCCUUUUCUCUUAGCAGAAGAGAGUUGAUGAGACUUAGCAGGAGUCUUCUCCUUGAAUUUCUCCAAUUCCUUGCUCAGUUCCUUCAGACGCAUUUUAGUCACCAUUUUCAGUCCUACCACCAUUUGAUCGCAUGAUCGAAUACAAAGGAUUUGUGGAGGCUGAAUAUUCAGAUGUCUGAAUAACUUUGUAACAAGGCUUGGAUAAGGGAGUUGACCUCUGUCCUUCAUCACUGCUCUAUACAUGUGAAACAUGAUAGUAUGAGGAAGAGAAAACUUCUUUCCACAGAGGAUAGCAUACAUCAGCUUUGCCUCAGGGCUUGAAACAUCAGUUUUGGAAGUAGAUUUUGGCCGAAGGCAAUUAAUCACAGUUUUGUGAAGCAGGAUGUUGAAUGCAUUCAUCCUUGAGUAGGUGAUCUUCUCUUCUGUUCUCCUAUCCUUCACCAGUUCAAGUGUAGCACGAGCAAUGGAAACCUUUAUCGGUUGAUAUCUCCCUCUCUCAACUUCCAACACAUCAGCCAGCAUAUCCAUAUCAACAACAUAAUUUUGAUCUUUGACACUGAAGGAAAAUCUAUUCGCAUAUAAAAAGCUAAGAUUUGAAUAGAAAUAUGCAGUCAGUUCAGCAUAGGCCUCUGUUGAGUCAGAACCGAAUUUUUCCAGUUGGAGAUAACUGAACUUUUCCCUCAAGUUCACUUUCACAGCAUCCAGAAAAUCAAAGUCCACACUUCUAGGGUUUAUUACCCCACGCUUCAGCAAUUUCGAGUAUAGAUCUUUUUGUUCCUUUGAUCUGAACAAAUCUCCCCUUUUUCCUUGAAUUUCAGCCGCAAUACCCAUUCUCGGUUGAAAUAAACUGAACAUAUUGUCAUCAUCAUUCCCAUCUACAGGAUUUGGCCCCCAGUCACGAGGAUCACUUGGUAUAUUUGCAAGGGUUUCCUCAGCCACCCCUUUUCGAGCAAUUCCCAAACUUUCCAUUCUUUUCAGAAAGAUAUAUUCGUUCCUAUAUCCUUUUUCUUUAACAAAACUAUCAACAUAAUUCAAAGGAGUACGAAUUCCUUUUAAAGCUCGAUAUAGCUUAUAGAUAAAAGCAGGCUUUUGAGAUCUUACGGGUUCUGCUUCCUCAAUGAUUUCUUCCUAUUGAACAACACCUUGAGGACUAGAUGGUGGAGAGUGACGCUGCUGAGAAUGUUGUGGGCUCGGAUGCUGAUCUGGAGAAACUUCAUCUUCUGUGAGAUCAAAGUGAGUAGGCCCUUCACUCAUUCUCUGUGGUCCCCUGCUUGCGAUUCUUGAGGACUUUCUUGAAAACGACAUCUUUCUCAGUGAAUGGAAGAUUCCUUGCUUGUCUUUCCGAGAAAAGAUGAAAACUUUUUAAGAAUGAACGAAGGAGACAACCAGAAGUGGAGAAUCGAUGUUUUCUAGGGUUUUGAGAGUAAAGAGAAUAGAAAAGUGAAGAGUAAUCGAUAGUGCUCGUUCGGUUAAAAAGAGAAGUAAACGAAUCGUCACAAAGGAAAUAAAAUAUUCCUUUUCAAAAUAACUGCCUUUAUCCGGAAAAAUAGCUAUUCCAAAAGUAACUUCUCUUUUUGAAAAUGAAUCGUUGCAAAAUUUACGGUUAAAUAUAGCAACAAUUUAAACAGAGUCUGAUGAUCGUACCUUUUAAAGAUAACAUUGGAGAGAGAAAGACUUACAGUCUGAAGGUUGAGACAAGACUGUAGAUAAAGUCUUAUAAGCCUGAGUCUGAAGGUCUUUAGACUUUGAUAUCCUCAUACCUCAAAAUGUUGAGUCUGGUCCGUAUAGACUCAAAUUGAUUUUUGUCCAAAGGCUUUGUGAGUAUAUCAGCCAGUUGAUUCUUUGAGUCAACAAAUUGAAUUGAGACAUCUCCAUUUUGAACAUGAUCUCUAAUGAAGUGAUGUCGAAUCUCUAUAUGCUUUGCUCUUGAGUGGAGAAUUGGAUUUUUGGUGAGGUUGAUAGCGCUGGUGUUGUCGCAAUUAAUCUCCGUGCAUGAGUCUUCAAUUUCAAAAUCUCUUAGCUGUUGUUUUAUCCAUAGAAUUUGCGAACAGCAGCUUCCAAGAGCUACAUACUUUGCUUCUGUUGUUGAAAGAGACACAGUACUUUGUUUCCUUGAAAACCAAGACACUGUUCUGCUUCCAAGCAACUGACAAGUUCCUGAAGUGCUCUUUCUAUCAACUCUGCAACCGGCCAGAUCUGCGUCUGAAUAACCUAGAAGAUUAAAGUCUCCCUUCUUAGGAUACCAAAGACCGAUGCUUGAUGAUGAAGCGACGUAUUUGAUGAUGCGUUUCGCAGCACUGAGAUGAGAUUCUCUAGGAUCUGAUUGAAACCUUGCACAGAUGCAAACACUCAACAAAAUAUCAGGUCUAGAAGCAGUAAGAUAAAGAAGUGAUCCGAUAAUGCUCCUGUACAGCUUUUGAUCAACUUUCUUUCCUUCUUCAUCUUUGUCUAUCUUUAAAGAACUUGACAUUGGUAUGUCGACCUUUUUGCAAUUCUCCAGUCCAAACCUUUUGACAAGAUCAUUAACAUAUUUUUCUUGAACAAUAAAAGUUCCUUCUUUCAAUUGCUUUAUUUGAAGACCAAGAAAGAAUGUUAAUUCUCCCAUCAUACUCAUUUCAAACUCCUCUUGCAUAGACUUUGAAAAUUUCUUGCACAGACUUUCAUUAGAGGAUCCAAAAAUGAUAUCAUCUACAUAUAUUUGAACAAGUAAGAAACUUUUCAGCUUUUCCUUUCUUCUUCUUCAGAAGAGGACAGUUGGGUCUUAUGUGUCCCUUCUUCUUGCAUUCAAAGCAGACUACAUCUUUAUUUGGUUCUUCAUCAUCAACAGACUUGGUCUGCUGUCUUUGAAAGCCUGGUUUCUUUGAGUUGAACCUUCUCCCUUUUCUAUUUAGUUUUCUGAAUCUUCUUAUCAUGAGAGCAAGCUCCUCAUCGUCCAUAUCAUCUUCAGAAUCUGUAACAUCAGAAUCAUCAUUUGAUUUUAAUGCAAUGGAUUUCUUACCUCUUGGAUCUUCUUCUUCAUUGAUCCUUUCCACUUCAUAGGACUGAAGCGUUCCAAUAAGCUCAUCAACAGACAGUGGCAUAAUUCUCUACGUCUCUCUUAUCGAAGUCUUUAUGUGAUUCCAAUCCUUGGAGAGUCCACGCAGAAGCUUGUUUACCUUCAUGGGAUCAGAAGUUGGUUAACCUUGAUUUUCAAGACCAUUCACAAUAUCUGUAAAACGACUAAACAUAUCAGAUAUUGAUUCUCCUGGUUUCAUUCUAAAGGCUUCAUAUUGACCGAGAAGAAUGUUGAUUCUUGUUUCCUUCACUCGAUCUGUUCCUUCAUAAGUGAUAUGCAAUCUGUCCCAAACUUCUUUUGCUGUACCACAAGAAGAUAUUCUAUUAUACUCAGUUGGUGAUAAAGCACAAUAUAAAGAGUAAAUUGCUUUUGCAUCGAGUGUUUGUCUUUUGGUUAUUUCUUCCUGAGACAAUCCGUUGGAUUCUUCAGUAUCUUUUCCUCUUUCAGAGACUGGUGCAGUGGUAGGAAUUAAUCCUUUUUCUACAACAUCCCAUUCCAGAGGAUCCUUUGAUCGUAGGAAAGCUUUCAUCUUGUUCUUCCAGAUGUUGUAAUCCUUUCCAUCAAAGUAAGGUGGUCUGGUAUUGCUUUGCCCUUCCAUCAGCCCUGGUGCUAGCAUACUAGCCAUGGAUCUUUUACUAUGAAGUAAAACACUUCAAAUAAAGUAAGUACACAGGCUCUGAUACCAAUUGAUAUUGCUAGUAUAUACACCUAGAGGGGGGUGAAUAGGCGCACAAGCAAUUUUUCUUGAAUACGGAAGCAAUUCUUAACAGAUUGAUAUACGUUUGAAGUAAAGAGAGUAAGGAAGAGAAAAUUAAACACAGAAGAGGACAGUUGGGAGCUUGGUUUCAGCUUUGAGAGCUUUGAGAGCCAGACUCAAGACCUAUUAUUGAUAUAGGUUUCAGCUUUGAGAGCUUUUCGAAGCUUUUCCUUUCUUCUUCUUCAGAAGAGGACAGUUGGGUCUUAUUUGUCCCUUCUUCUUGCAUUCAAAGCAGACUACAUCUUUAUUUGGUUCCUCAUCGUCAACAGACUUGGUCUGCUGUCUUUGAAAGCCUGGUUUCUUUGAGUUGAACCUUCCAAUAAUAUAUAGACAAUCAUCGAAUCUUCAGUCAUUGAAUCAAUCUUGAUCAAUCAAAGGAUUCUGAUACGUCUUCUCCAGCCACGAGGUCUUCUCCAGAUGAUAAGGUUAAAUCCUGAACCAACCACCUAGUUCUGGAUAACCUUUCUUCAACGGAUUCGAGACUGUCAAUGAGGAUAGACUUUGAGUCUUGAGUCUGGCUGUCCGGAAGUCUUCAGACUUUAAACUGACAGAGUCUGCAGACUUUCAGACUAGACCGAAGGAUACGUUUUGUCAACUUUAAAACUCUUCAUGAGGAUUUCUCCAACACCAGUCCUCGAGCCAACAUACUAGCCAUGGAUCUUUAACUCUAAAGUAAAACACUUCAAUUUAAAUGAGUACAUAAGCUUUGAUACCAAUUGUGAAAGCUAGUAUGAGCACCUAAAGGAGGGUGAAUAGGUGCAGAAAUAAUUUUGCGAGAUAUGUGUAUUGGAGAAAUCUUUCUGGAAUAUUUUGAAGCUGACAAAACGUUUCUAUCAGUCUAGUCUGAAGAUUUGAAGACCUUCGGACUAUCAGACUCAAGACUCAAAGUCUAUUCUGAUUAACAGUUUCUAAUCCAUUGAAGAAAGGCUAUCCAGAACUGAGUGCUUCAUUAAGGAUUUGGCCUUAUCGACUGGAGAAGAUCUCUUGGCUGGAUAUGACAUAACGGAUUCCUUUAUUCAAAUCAAGAAUGAUUAAAGAUCAAUGAUUGGCGAAGUAUUCUUGGAAUGUUCUACUUAUGGAAACCAAGAUCCUGAUUGUAUGGGCGAGCAGGAUUGAUGGGCUGUCGACAUGUUCCUUUAAUAGCUCGAAUAAUCUUCCUAAUUGAUUCUGUCCAACGGGAGGAUUGGAAGAAUUCAUUUAGUAAGUGCCAACGGGUAUGAUGGCACAAAGGAGUAUAAAAGGAAGACGUUCUAGUUGUUCGAGCGUGUGCACGAUAGAAGAAUUCUAAAGUCUGAAGCUCUUUGAUUCUUAGUCAAUUCAUUUACUGAGCGAAAUCUUGUACACAAAAGAGAGUCUAUAUUUUGAGAUACCUUGAGGAAGUGUAGUAGAAUAUCUACACUGUGGAAUCAAGGGAAAUCAAUGCUGUAACAUCUCUUUUGUUCAUAGUGAAAUCCAGUUAGUGGGCUGUUAGUGCAGAAGAGUGGACGUAGGCUUGGAAUAAGCCGAACCACUAUAAACCUUGUGUUCAAUUUUCUCUUCCCUACUCUCUGCUUUACUUUGAUCAUAGUUCGAUUUGUUAACUAAAGGAGAGCUUCCUUUAUGUUGUUUGUCCACUAUUGCUUUCAUAUCUCUAGAAAUUAUUUUUACACCUAUUCAGCCUCCUCUAGGUACUUAUACUAGCUAUAUCAAUGUGCAGUGCUGAUCAACAAUAGAUUAUGAAAAGAAAAUUCUCUCUUGUAAACAAAACGAGUUAUGAUCAAAGUAAAAGAGUGUAGAGAAGAGAAUAUGAACACAGAGAUUAUAGUGGUUCGGCUUAAUCCAAGCUCACGUCCACUUUUCCGCACUGACAGCCCGCCGGCAGGAUUUCACUAUGAACAAAAGAGUUGUUACAGUUAGGCUCUUCCUUGAUUCCACAGUGUAGAGACUCUACUACACUUCCUCAAGGUCUCUCAAUGAUAUAGACUCUAUUUUGUGUACAAGAUUUCGCUCAACAGUUUAAUUGACUAAGAACAAUGAGCUUCAGACUUUGGAAUUCUAUUAUUGUGCACACACUCGAACAACUGGAACGUCUUCCUUAUAUACUUCUUUAUGCCAUCAUACCCGUUGGCACUUACCAAAGGAAUUCUUCCAAUCUACCAAGUAGAUAGAAUCAAUUAGGAAGAUCUUCGAGCUAUUUAAGGAACAUGACGAUAGCCCAUCAAUCAUGCUCGCCCAUACAAUUAAGAUCUUGGUUUCCAUAAGUAGAACCUUCCAAGUAUACUUCACCAAUCAACGGAUCCACAAUUCCCGAAUCAAUCUUGAUUAGAAUAAUGGAUUCUGACAUACUAUAUCCAGUCAAGAGAUCUUCUCCAGUCGAUAAAGUCAAAUCCUUGACGAAACAUCUAAUUCUGGAUAAGUCUUCUUCGACGGACUAGAAACUGUCAAUGAGGAUAAACUUUGAGUCUUGAGUCUGAUAGUCCGGAGGUUUUCAGACUUUGAUGGAAGAGUCUACAAGUUUUCAGAUUAGACUGAUGGAAACGUUUUGUCAACUUCAAAACACUCAAGGAAGUUUUCUCCAACAAUAGUGACCAUCAAAGUGUGGAAUUACUGGCUGAACAAAAUUAUCGAUGGCCAUUGGAAAUAUUGUUGCUGCAAUUAUCUCACGAAAGUAUUUCACACCUGUAAACCUUUUUUAUCUCUUUUUUUUUUUGAACUCUCACUCUUCUCAAGGCUCUAAUACCACUGUAGAAAAGCUAAAGGGGAGGAGAGAUGAGGCUGAAACUUCCUCUUUUUUCAGAACCACGAAGUUUAAAAAAAAAAACAAAUACAUAACGUAAAAACACCACUAAAAUAGGACCAAUAAAUACCCAUGUUCUACAUAAAGCACUUACUCCACUAACACCUAAAAACUAGGACAACUAACACACAAAUUAGCUAAACGUGAUUCCACUAACUCCAAUAACUGAAAAAUCAAAUCAGCAAAAUGUGCAAAAAAAAAUAACUAUUAUUUCAACACUUGCAAUAGUACAGUUGACCCAAUGACCCUAGUGCGCAGAGAGACCCAAAGAAGGAAACCUCGAAAGGUUCAACUUCACAACUGAUCUUCCUUUCAUUGAGGUCGGCGCCAGUGCCUUACAAGGAGCUGUGCAUGGCGAUGUACAACUCAAGAACCCAGAUCAUUCGUUGUAUAAUAUCAGGACCUUGAGUACAUCUCAAGCAGAGUUGCUACUGUCUCGAACUUGUCUUCUCUCUCGUACAAGUUUUGUUGAUUACAAGCCAAAGCAGUCGCCAAGCAGCAAAUGGCGUAGCUCCAGCAUGCGGAAAGAGAGCACAAGACCUUCAUCGGGCAAUCAAGAAAGCUCGUUGAUGGAACUUCAGAAGUAAGUAAGCCAACGAUAUUGGAAUUUGGUCCAAGCGCAACAGAACUUCCAGGAAAGUUGGCAAUAGAUGUUGCUGCUCUUUCUCAUCCCAAUCUAGGAAAGUCAUAAACAGAAAGUUCAGAAAUUGAAUUCAUGUUUUACUGAACGCCGCUAAAUAUAAGUUUUCCUCAACAAAUAUGACGGAUAAAAAGGCGUCCGUUCUUGAGCCACUCCAAACUGCAAAAUGAAGGUGAAGAACUCCGCUAAAGGUCAAAGCAACAUUCAUCUAGAUAUUCCUCCAGUUCAGAAGAAAAAUGAUACCAUCAUUUCACCUGCCACAAUCUUUGAGCCGCAAACUAGUGCUGGUAUGAGAGACAGAAACAGAAGAAACUCUGUUUCCCCACUCUGUCGGCUGUUCUGGCCCCCCGAGAAAAAGCUGACACUGUUUGCUCUUCGCCGUGCAGUUCUCGAAAACGCGGCCACUGGCCUGGGAACCCUUGGUUUUAUCUGGCCGAUGGUUGUAAUCCUGGGGGGCUUUGCCAAUGCCCUGGACAAAACCGACUUCUGUUCAUUGCCAUCAUUUUAUUAAUUGAAGGAGCAAGAUUAUUAAAAAGGAGUCACGAGCUGGAAUGGCAACGCCAAUCCACAUGGUCAAGAGCAGAUGCCGGAAUUAGCAGCUUCUGAGGACAAAGAUGAAGCUCUAGAGAUCUAAUUGAAUCCUGAAGGAUAUGCUUAGCCCCACCAGCACUGCGCCGAGGAAGUUAAGUCAACAAAACAGGGAAAUUUCCAAAACUAAAGAUGCGACAUAUGUUAGAGAGAGGAAAUUACAUACAAAGCUGACCUGGAUUUGGAUUUCUUUGGAAGUUCCCAUCGUACCUUAUGCAGGGUGGGUUUUCGUUUCGAGAAAUAUCAGCAAGAUUUUGUAUUGGCUUCAGCUCUUAUCUGCAACAGCCUGCGUUAUGCUCUCAUUGAUGAAGCUCCUUGAGCACAAUUUUGGUGAGGUGGCUGAAGGAGACACUGUCGAGAGGCACCAAGAAGCUGCUCUGCGUACCUUUUAUGCCAUCGCUUUGGCAGAUGCUCUGGUCGUCUUGACAGAGAAAAUUUACUGGCAGUGGAAGGUUGUCAUCUAUAAGCUUCUUGAACGGGUGAACGAGGAAUGCAAUCUGGGCGCUUUGGGUAUGAUCUUGGCUCGGAGAUUUUUCUAUGACUCCUAUUGAAAAUGUAUUAAUGGGAGCAUUUUUGAUGGCCUGGGAAUGGAUUUGGUCACUUUUGCUAUGGAUCUCUUAUGUUCAAACUCGCUGGAUGAGCAGCUGAUAGGAGCCAGGAUUCUUUACCGGUUUUCUACAAAAGAACGGUUUUCAGAUGACAUGCUUCGGAAGAUCAGAACAACUCUGCCAGUCAUACAUCAUACAGAGACUGGUGGAGUUCUUGAACUGGAAAGACCCACAAGAGGAAGAAAUCAGGCUAUCAGCUGCAGAAAUAGUUUCAAAAUUAGCUGGGGAAAAGCAAAACUCUCUUUGUGUUGCUGGAAUUCCCGGGGCAAUAGAAUCAAUAUUAUCUCUUCUCUUGACAAACGGAAGCCCCAGUUCUGCAGCAGACAAAAUUGGUGAAAAGAAAAUCGUCUUUGACCAUGAAGACUAUGGAUACUGGACUUCCAAUAAUUUGGGACUUCUCAUUCGAAAGAAACUAGCCCAUGAUCAGGGUAACUGCGGAAAAAUUGGAAACACAAGGGGCCUUCUUUCCAAAAUCAUAGAUUUCACUCGUGCUGACAAAAGAAUAUUGAAGGACUCAACCAUUACCACAUCGCAGGUUUUGACUGUUAAAAGAUCCCUUCAGGUUAUAAAGAUGCUGGCAAGCACAACAGGUACCAUAGGAAAAAAUCUCCGGAGAGAGAUCUUAGAGAUAGUCUACACCAUAAGCAACAUAAGAGACAUUCUAUGACAUGGAGAGAAACAACCAGAACUGCAGAAACUAGGGAUUGAGAUUCUUACCAGUUUAGCACAGGACAACAAUGCGACAGAGCGUGUAGGAGGGACUGGUGGAGUUCUGAAAGAACUGUUAAAGAUUUUCUUCCAAGGAGUGCCGGAAAAUCAAAGGGAUGUGAGGAUUGUGGCUGGAGAAGCACUCGCAAUGCUGGCUUUCGAGAGCAAGAGUAACUGUCAUCGCAUCUUGAAGUUAAAUGUAGUGGAGAAGCUCCUAAAAGCAUUGGAGAUUCCGCUUCUUCAUGUUAAUGCUGGAAGAAUUUUGAGGAAUCUGUGCACUUACAGUGGGCCAGAGUCCUUCAACCAGCUAAAGGGAGUAACAGCAGUGGCACCAACAGUAAGUGCUUUAUUUUGCAAAAAUUGAACCUGAGCCGGCAUCUCAAUAACCGAAAAGGGCAGUUAUGUACAAGUUUAAGUUGUCCUGGAGAGAACGAUAUUAAUUGUUCCCACCUAACCAUAUUUCCUCAAUUCAGGUUCUCAAGGCAAUCUUGUCAGGAGAAGGCAAACUACAAGAGGUGAUAGUUGGGUUAGCGGUACAUGCUUUCAAGUUCAUGACAGCAGAAGAAUCGACUGCCUUCUUCAAAAGGGCAGGGUUUAGUGAAGCCAAAUUAGCGUGUGCUUUGGUUGAGAUCCUGAGAAGCCACUGGAACCCACAUAUAAAUGUGCCGGAUUGAGAAGGUUUGCAAUCGAGCUGGCAAUCUGGAUGAUGAGAGAGAAAUCAACAAAUGUGCAGAUCUUCAGGGAUCUGGGCAUGGAAGAGGAACUUGAAGGAGUCAUAAAUACAACAUCAGAGCUAAAGAACUUCAAUAUUUUCUCUGGCACCAUUGGACUAAGCAGGCACAGAAUGACCGUUCACUCACUCAUUGAGACCGCACUUAUGCUGCUGAAGAACAACAUGAUCGAUCAAACAAAAGAUUACUGACCCAGUGAUGAUGCCAAAUUAUCCAACAAAUGGAAAACAUGACGGCAUAUCAGUUCAUUCUCCAAUCCCAGAUGUAAAGAAAUAAAGGUAAUUGUUUCUUUAGCAACACUGCCCGGCAUAAGUAUGAUGGAAUGCUUCCGAAAGUUAGCACCUUCCUUAUUUGUUUGCACAGGUUUUGUGCGAUUAACAGCACACCCCAAGUACAUCUACCAAAACAGAUGCAAAAUGUGUACAAUGUGUACAUAGACCGCAUUCUUAUAAUUUUCAUUUCAACUCCUGUACAUUCAAGCAUCCAAGUGUCCCAUAUACCGUGAUUCUGAGCUCACAACUUGUGCUAUUAUAAGAUGAGAUCUUUCCUUCCAAAUCUUGUUCUACUUAGCAGCGAAUCUAAGACUUGAGGAUGAUAUGAUUCAGGGCCAUCGACACAUAUUUUCACAUGACUACGCAAGAACAAGCACUCUGAAAGGCAAUUCAUCAGGCAACUGAAGUUAAUUGAAAGAAAAUAGAUAACUCAUUGCUUACUCUGCAACUGUGGAAGGAAAUCAAUGAACCCAUAAAUCAUCAAAACCACACAUAUAUUUCGAAAUCAUAAGCACAGUCUAUGAUUAGAAUCACAAAGCCUGUUUGCUUAUCUGUUCAUCAGUGAAUCAGAUGAGAGAUAUAGCCUUUAGAUACAUUACCUGGAAGGCCGGAUGACAAAGUUGAUGACUGCUCCAUAGAUUUCAGAAUUCAAAUGAAGACCAACAUCCUUUCUCUCUCUGCGCACAGUUUGCAGCGUAUGGUGAAAACAGAGCAGUAAACCCAGCUCAUACAGAGAGAGGAAGUUCGUCGAUGUUUCAAAGAAGAAAGAGACCAAGAAACCGGAUUGUACUUGGUUGAGUGUAAUUAAAAAGUGCCUUGAUAAUCCACUUUGAUUUAAAUCCUGUUUGGAAAAAAAUUAGACUUGUGAGCAAACACUUCAUUUGCAAAUCAAACAUAAUUUCAAACUUGGAUGUCAUGACUUCGUGGAGGGCAACUUGCAGCGACACAAAGGGCAAGUGUGGUGUAUCCUCAGCCAAGCUUCGAUGCAAUCUUUAUGAAAUUCAUGAGCGCAAUCCAUGCUAACAAGCUGGUCUCCCGUUGCAAUUUCUUCCAUGCAAAUUACGCAAUCUAAUUCUUGACUACUUGGGCGUCCAUCACCCUUAAACACCACUUUGUUCAAGCUUUGAAUUAUCGACUCCCGUGCAGCUUCAAAGUUGAUCGCCGCUUGGUCCAGUGAGUCUCUCCUGACCCUUCUCCUCCCCCUCCUCGCCCACAUCUUCCCUGUCGUGAUAAGGGUUUGCCACCAACCCUUCUUGCCUCAUUAGAUUGAGCAGGAACCGCCGCUCCAGAAUAGGAAACCGCCGCCCUCUCUCCUCCUCUUCGAGCAUCCGAGAAUGCAGGUAGCACAAUUCGAGUCUCCGCAGUUGGGCUCGCAUCUCGCGGAACUCAUGCUCCGAGAUCGCGACCUUGUGAAUCAUGCUCACCGCCACCUCCGUCCUCUUGCGCCCCUCGUUGCAAGGGUUGCUAACGGCGCUGGACGCGACCCUCGCGAUCUCAGACGCUAGCUCAUCACGGGUCAGGCACUUCUUGGUUGCCUUCGUCUCCGUACUUAAGUCGAGCCACCAUAGCCGGUCCAGCAGGAAGGGCAGCCGCAUGUCGUCCAACACGGAGGACACGAUCGCCCAGGACGGCGAUGAUGGCAGGUGGUCGCGGGAGGCGAAUGGCGCGCUCGGGUGGUCGGCUCGGUACGAAAAGGUACGGUGGUCGAGGAUGCGAGGCGGGAAUUCAGUGCCUCCUCGUACCUCGGACUGAAGAUAGCAGAGUUGGACAUGGAAUGACACGAUCACACGAGGUCCGGGCAAGGACUGAUCGUCUGGAACAGGCGUUGGCAUUGCAGAGACUAAAGUUUGAUAAUUCGACAUCUUUUCGAGAAAUCGUUGAGAUGGUAAAGUGGAUUGUUCUUGAAUUGGGCAUUGUAUAUAUAUACAUAGCGAAGAUCUCUAAAACUUUCCUUUUCUGAACGCAUGAUAUUUUUUUUAUUUCAAGAUACUUUGAAUUACUUGUAUUUUUUUUUGGAAGUUACCUUUUUAUUUCCUUGUCUAGUAUUUUUAUUUUAGGCAACUUCCUCUAGUUUUAACCCAGUCGAGCCGACUUUUUCUUAUACAAUAGUACAAAUACACGUAUUUGCGUGAAUUUAAAAAGAAUUAGAUAUUUUUCAAAAAAAUUGUUUUAUAACAAAAUACUAAAAUUUUUAUUAAAUAAUGGAGUUGCACAUUGGAAAGGGAAUCUUUUUUUUUUAUAAGCUUGUUCGUAGGAUGGAAAAAUUCAAAGUUGAAAUUGAUGAUGCGAGAGAAAAUAUGAACAUAUAAAUUCAAUAGAAUAUUUAUAAAAUAAUGAAUUAACAGCAUUUUGGGAGAAAGGAAAAAAGAAAGGAUUGUGAUCGUCUUUACUUUAUCUAACAAUAAACUUAUUACAAAAUUUAGAGUGCCAAAAUUAAAUGGUAAACUUGAUGAUUGGGGAGCAAAAUUUCAAUCUGUUUUUUAAUUACAAAAACCAUUUUCUUCUAACAUCCUAUGAGGGGACAACAAACUGCAUAGAAGAAUUACUUAAAAACUCAUAAACUUAUUGUAAUUGUACUAAUUCGAUCGUAACGUUUUUUUUUUGUCAAUUAAUUCUUAAACAUUUUUGUAUUUUGUAGUCCGAUCAAUUUUAAUAGGUUAGGCUAAUAUGACACAGCUAGCACUAACGUUAACAUUUUUAAUAAUAUUUUAAUUUUUUUAAUUAUUUAUUCUCUUUCUUUUUUCACUAAGAGUAAGUGCGCCUCUUUUGCAAAAAGUGAACCUCAGCCAGUAUCUCGAUUACCAGAAAGGUCGAUGAGGGACAAAUCGACAAAUGUGCAGAUCUUCAUCGAUUUCGCAUGGAGGACGAGUUUGAAUGAGAGCGUAUGGCAUUAGAGCUAGAAAAGCUUCAAUAUCUUCUCUGGCACCAUUGGACUAAGUAGGCAUAGUACGUCCAUUCGCUCACUUGUUGAGACCGAGCUUAUGCUGCUGAAGAGCGGUCUUUGAUCAAUUAAUAGGUCACUGACCAAGUGAUGAUGCCAAGUUGUCCAAGUAUGCUGCACUACACGUUUCAUUCUCUAAUCCUAUAUGUAAAGAAAUAAAGGGGAAUUGCUUCUUGAGCAACUCUACCGGCUUAAAUAUAAUCCAAUUAUUCUAAAAGUUAUCACCUUUUAUCUAUUUGUGCAGAAUUUGAGAGAUUGAUGACACAUCACAUGUGCUAAAACAUAUGCAAAACAUGUACAUACACCCAAACAUUUUUUUUUUCAUUUUUCAAUUGAAAUCCUGGAACAUUCAAGCACAUGAGAUAUGCAUAUAUGGUGAUUCUGAGUCACUACUUCAGAUAUCAAAAGAUCAAAUUUUUGCCAUGCAAAAUCUUGUUCUACUUAGCAACGAAUUGAAAAAUGAAGGACAAUAUAAUCUAAGGGAAUCGUGACAUAUUUUCAAAUGACUACACAAGAACAUGACCCCCAAAAGGCAAUUCAUCAUGCAACUAAAGUUUAAUAAAACGAAACGAAAGAACACAUUACUUACUCUUUGACUAUGGAUGGAAAAUCUCACAAUGGACAUCUUAGUUAUUCGCUUAUCUGAAACUCCUAUACAGAAUAGAAUAACUUAUAGUUAAACAACUCACUCUACAAAACAAAAGGCAAUGAACUACGAGAAAUCGAGACAUUUUUUCGAUUGAAUUCGCAGUAACCUCGUUACUGGUCAAUAUCAAGGGGCCUCUGUUGAGUUAUUUCCCUAGCCCCUCCCCUUGUUGAUUCAUUAUCUUUUUCUUGUCUUAGGCCACUAUGAUAUUUUACGACACGAGGUCUUGUUUUGUCAGAACCUUUUAUGAACUUGCUUCGGUCCUAAGUGAAGAAGAAAUGGUGGAGGGAAGGAAGGACAUGAAAGAACAAAAUUGAAUUAAAACUGUCAAAUAACUAUAUAUGUCCUGGCCAAAACAUCAUUUAUCUCAUUUUUCUUUCUAUUUUUGUAAAUUACUCUUUAUUUCUUUCCCUGUUUUACUUAUCAAUUUCUGAAAUAAUCACUCAGUUUCUUUCGCUUUUCUCAGAACAUUGGAGACAAUCAAGUUUGCCACCAUUUUUACCUAUGCAAAAUGAAAAGUUCUGAUUGAUAAAAACAUAAACACAUAACCUAAACGUUGAUAUCUAUAGAGGCUUUAUAAUAUAUCGAGAUGAUAGAGAUUAAAUAAAAUGUCCAAUUUCAAACACACGCUAAUAGUAGAGCUUACGACUCUAUAAUCACGCCUCAAACAUUUGAUCUUAUUUAGGUUCAGAAAAUAUAUUUUACUCUUUUUUUACAGUAAACAAAAAUAUAUUUGUAAUACAUGAGUGUGUGCUCAAGCACUCCAAGUCCAAUGGUCGAAAACAUACUCUUAUACAAAAGGAACACAUAAUAUUUAUAUAAUGUUAAUUUUUUAAAUUAGCUGCUCUAAUCACCGUUAAAGAACCUAACUUUCUGCAUUAGGUGGUGUUUGUAAUUUAAGCCCUAAUUCAUCCUUUCUGUCGGGCUAGCAAGUUCGAUAAAAUUUUAGUUUUUGAAUUAUCAGAGAAAAAUUAUAAAUGACUAAAUAUUAAAAUACAAUUCAUUUAGGUCAUCGAUAUCCAACAUCUUUAACUUUUGGAAUAGAAUAUCAUGUACUUUAACUUUAAAUGCAUGUGUCAAUAUCUAUUUGUUUCGAAGAUGAACAUUACGUGGCUCCCGUGUGCUUGCACAUAAGAUUAUUUUGCAAGUUUCAACAACAUUCAACUGACGUAAAGAUGACGUCCAAGUCAUCCGAAAGCUCUGUGAAGAAGAAUUGCCAUAUAAAGAAAGAAAAAGAAACUAAUUUCCGGAAACUAACUUAUAUACCAAUAAGCAUUUUUCCCAAAAAAAAAACAUAAUUUUCCUCAAAAAGCAUCGCCAGACCUGAAUACGAGAGUUAACCAUGCACCGUAAACAAAAAACAUAAUUACGAUACAUAUGCUUACAUAGGUGAAUUUAUUGUUAAAGAAUUUGAUAAUUAUAUUUUAAAGUCUUGAAAUCUGAUCAUAUAAAUACAUUUUUUAAAAGAACAUUUAAAAAGAGAAUAAUUUUGGGUUAAAUGGCUAAACCGUCUUGGAUCGAACUGAGUAAUUUUCGGUCUAGGUUUUCGAGUUUUCCUUACUAAAUAAUAAAAGGAUUUCGGCUUUAUUAUUUUUGCAAGUUAGGUAUUUAUUUAAAUGAGGAUUAAGAUGUAUUAUUAAAAAUAAACUUGGGCCAUUUAAGUUUGGACUUUAGGCCCAAGUGAGAUGGGCCUAAAGUGGGCCAAGAGGCCCGGCCCAAGAAGGCCCAUCAACUUGCAUGAAAAGUGACAAGUGGCAUGAAGGGUUAUCCAAGUGUCUCAGCAAGGGAGACACUUGUCUCCUCCUGAGGGACACUUGUCUCCUCCUGGGGGACAAGUGUCUCCCAUGCAAAAUGAGGAUGCAUGCAAGUAUAUAAACAACCAAAAAGAAAGAGAGAGAGGGAGUGGCCGGUUUUGAGAGAGUGAGAGAGAGAGAGAGAGAGGGAGUUGCCGAGAGAGUGAGGAACCGAGAGAGAGGAAGAAGAAGCCGUGUGUCCGUCCGUCUGCUCGUCCGUCGCUCGUCGCCGUGCGUCCGUCAUCCACCGUCGUGCUCGUUAUAGCUCGGUACAAAGGCAAGUUGGGAUCUAUAUUCUGCUCUUGCAUGUUAUGUCUUGCUUGUGUGUUUGAAUGGUGGUGAAUCUCAGACGUUUAGGGUGUGAGAAACCGAAGCUUGAGUAUGUUGUUCUUGAAAAUGUGUUCUGUUUUUGAGUGUGCCGUCUGCCCCAGAAUUUUGUAGAGGCUUGAAUGUGGGUUUCGAAUCAGAUUUUGGCUUCGACUUCUUCACGAAAGUUGUAGACAACAUCUCAAAUUAUAACAUACUAAAAUUUGGGCCAAAAUGGCUGAGUUUUAAGGGGUGAAACCCUUCCUCUACGAAAACGCCAGAUCUGAAACUGUUUUGUUGACCUCUUGGUGGUUUUGUGGGUUGCAUGUCACUUUUUACAGAGACUCUCACUUCGACUUCUUCACGAAAGUUGUAGAUAACAUCAUGAAGAUUAACAUACUAAAAUUUGAGGUAAAACGAGCAAGUUUAUCCUAGUGAAAAGAUUUUCUUUUGAAGACGGCAGAUCUGGAAGUACGGUACUGGACUCCCGAGACUUCGUGGACUAUAUGGUGACUAUUAUUUGAGAAUCUCACUUAGAUACCUUAAUAAAAGUUGUAGGAGACCUAUUGAGGCAAAACAUAUCAAAAUUUCAGAGGAAGCGAAGAAAUAUAAGUAGGCGAAACCCUGAUUUUUCGGAGACAGCUAAACUGGACUGCUCGGUACUAGGAACAGGAGCUUCGACCAUCUAUAGUAAAUUAUCUAGAGUGAAUCUGUCCUAGAUGUCUCCAUGAAAAAUAUACCUUAGGAUCUUUAAUAUCACAUGGUAAAAUUUCACAACUUUUGAAGGUCAUUCGGGUAUUUUAAUCGAAAUAUUUCAAGAACUGCGCAAUCUGAUUUUAUCCGAAUUUUGCAUGUUGUAUUGUGUGAGCUAUAUCUUCUUGUGUGAAGCUCUUUUGGGCAUGUGUUCUGCAUGAAAUUGCUACAUUUAUGUAUUUUCUAUUACAUGCUCUAAUUGUAUGAUUUUUGAAGAUCAUAUGGAUAUUUAAUUUACAUUUUUUCCGAAAUUGUGUAAGCUGGAAUUUGGUUAAUUUCAAAAGUCACGAUGUAUGGAUUAUUCUAAGUUGUAUGGACCCCAUGGAUUGUAUUGUCAUAAGUGGUUGUAUCUUGCUGCAUGUAUGAUGAUGAUUGGAAAUGCAUAUAAGAAUCAAAUGGUGAAAAUAAUCUUGUUUGUCAUCACAUCAUAUGCCAUGUUGAAAUUGAGCUAUAAUUGAAAAUGAGAUGUAUGUGAAUAUGCAUUGUGGUGAUGAGAAGACCAUCGGAGGUGUGAGCCGAUGAUGCCCCGGGAGUGUCGGGAUGCCCGAAAAGUGGGGGUGCCGGAUGCCCAGUGGCCUAGUGGCGUAAUUCCGGAGGGUCCUCGAGAGUUUCGAGAUGCCCGGUGGUAUACAGUACGUAAUUCCAAAGGGGGGGAAUCCUGGUGGUAUGUCGGUACGUAAUUCCGGAAGUCCUGGAGGUUUGUGCCCAAGGGGAUGUCUCGUGAUACUAGUUGGGAUGCGAGAUGCUCGGAAUGUGGGGGGGCCGAAUGCCUGGUUGUAUUUUGAAUACAUGCCCAGAGGUUCCUCGCGAUGCCUGGUUGGAUGCGAGCAAUGAAUUAUGGGAUACAAACAUUGGUCCCUGGAAAGAAAAACUUAUGAGAUCCUUGUGAAAGAUAAGAAUUCAAAAUGAAUCAUGUGCAUGGGUGUAUGCAUAUGGCAUGAUGCAUGAUCGGCUUAUGAAAAUAAAUAGAUGCUAUUUGAUAUUGAAAAUGCGAUCAUGAAGGCAUGAAUGGAUCUCAUGGUGAUGUAUGCUUGAUAGCAUGGAUGAUAUGAAUCAUGGUGGUAUGUGCACAUAUGGCAUGGAUAUGCAUGAAUGCUUAAUAAUGAUUGCAUGGUGGUAUGUGCACAUAUGGCAUGGAUAUGCAUGAAUGCUUAAUAAUGAUUGCAUGGUGGUAUGUGCACAUAUGGCAUGGUGAUAUAUGCAUGGAUGCAUGAUGGUAAGUGCAUGGAUGUAUGUGCACCUAUGGCAUGAUGGUACAUGUAUGAUAUGACAGUGAUGAUUACAUGAGGAUGUGUGUACAUGUGGUAUGAUGACAUAUGCAUGGCUCCAAGGUAAAUUAUGCAUGGACGCUUGAAUGAUAUGUCUUAUGCUAUGAUUGUUAUGAUUGUAUUGUGUAAUACAUUGAGUGGUUUAUUGGGUCAUUUACCUACUGAGUGGCUGUACUCACCUAUUUUGGGGAAUAACAUUUCAGACUAGAUAAGAUACAUAUACUACCACUGUCACCGGUAGAUGGAUCAAGUGGUUGGAUAUGACCGCGAGGAGGAGGAUAACAAAGGAAGGAACUUUUGGACACCAACAUUGAUCGAUGGACUUUUGGACGCCAACAUUGGAGCAGAUGUCGAUCAUCUUUUGAAGUAUAGCCAAGUAUAGAAAACCAUGGCAUUUCGAUGUACCGACUAAAGAUGUCCAUCUACUUUAUGUAAAUAAAAGUGUUCCGCUUUAACUUAUAUAAGAUGUUUAGUUGGUGUGUAACGUUUUCUGAAUAUAGGGAAGGGAGUUGAUGGAUGUGCUUUCGCUACAUGAAUUGCACAAGGGACCGAUCUAAAAGAUGUAUACCCCCAAGUUGUAUGGACCCGCUGCAAUUGAAAUGAUAUCAAAGUGAAAUGUUAUUAGAACAAGUGAAAGGUAAGCGAACAGUUGCGACCUUAACGGAUCGGGGGCCAUGUCAAGGGGUGCCACAUGUAUAUGAGGAGGAGUAUGGUAGGCUUUGGGUAAGUCUGGUUUGUAAUUUUCUAGGUGUAUGGGGUGAAGCUCCCCAGUGCAAGGGAUGUAUGACUUUACUAAUGGAUAUAGUGAAGUAUAGGAUAUUUUAUGUAUUGUUUUUGUCAGCAAAGUGAGUGAACCUUGCCGAUUCUGUUUCCACUAGAAUUUGCUCAUAAUAAGCAAGGGUUUUGUUUGUAUUAUGUCGUUUGAAAAGCCAAUUUUUUGGAUAUAAGUUUUUUUGUAAAUUUGAUUGGAUCUUUAUCGAAGAAUCCAUCUUCCACAAUUAAUAUUUUUUGAAAAGAUGUUUUGGGGAAAAAUUUUGAUCUUUGAGAAUGAUGAGUUGCCUGUGGCCUAAUGACCACUUCAUUCGAAAUUCUUUUGUAUUCCGCUUGUUUUUGUGUAGCAAGCGAGGAAGGAUUGUUGCUUACAUCAAUGGCACUAGAUGGCUCUUUCUUUAUUGUUUUUUUGUAAAGACUGGCAAGUAACAAUAUUGUUUCUUUUGGUAGUAUGUUGGCUAGCUGAUUAAAGGCUAUCAUGGUUCAGAUAAUAUGGGUUCUAUUUUUAAAGGUGUUUGGUGUUGUUGUAAGAAUGACUGGUUAUUUUCUGCCAUUUGGAGCCAUGUCUUGAUGGGUGUUAUGGUGCGUUUAGAUGGGCAUUUAGAAAGCUAAUCCACGCCCCAAAGCCCUUUCACCCAAAAAUAGGGUGUUUGGCAACCUCCUUGAAGGAGCUUUCAAAUGAAAGUCUCCCCUUGGAAAUGCUGAAAAUAAUUUUUUUCUUCCUAAACUACCCUCAUUAAUUUUUCAUAUUUCCGUUAUUACCCUUAUAUAUAUUUAUUUAUUUAUUUAUUUAUUUAUUUUUAAACGAAAAAGGAGCAGCCCUUCGCCGGUCCGGCGAAUGGCGACAGCCGCCGGCGAGUCAAAUCUGGCGCUGGAGGUCGCCCGACCUCGGGGGACCUUGGCCGACGACCGCCGGCGCCAGAUUUGGCUAGCCGGCGGCCGCAGCCCUUCGCCGGUCCGGCGAAGGGUUUAGCUGAAUUUUCAAAAAAAAGAAAAGAAAAGAAAAAAUAAUACCCAUCAAAGCCCAUUGUGAAAGUUUUUUUAACCAAACACACAUUCAACUCAAAGUUCAUUUGCAAAAUUUUUUUACCAAACACAACUGCAUUUUCUCCAAGUAGCUUUGGGCUUUCAGCAUUUGCAUUGGACUCAAAGCCCAUUGCAAAUGCUGAACCAAACGCAGCCUUAAGCCUGUUGGCUUUAGUGGCGUAUUGGCUAUUGGCUUUAGUGGUGUAUUGGAGGGUUCGGCAGUGGCUUUGCCUUUGCCUUUAUCUUUGUCUUUUUUGGAUCUUGGCAUAUUGAUAUCCCCUAUAAAAAUUCUCUUGUGAGAAAAUUAGGUGAUGAAUUUGAAGAAUCAUUUAUGAAUUCAAUGUCAAAAUCAAAUACUGAAAGUAUGGGUUGCCAUAUGGCAAAAAUCUAUUUUGAUGCAAUGUUUAAAAUGUCCUUUUGUAAAAUUCUUUAGCUGAUUUGCAAUCAAUUCUCAAGAGAAAUUUUUUAUUCAAUAAGUCUCCUUAGAAUUUUGAUAUAGAUAAAACUAUAGCAAGUAUUUCUUUUUCUUUUUUAUUGUAGAAUAAUUUUGUUGAGUGGAAUUCCAAUGUUUUGACAUAAACUGAAUAACUUAUUCUUUGUUGUUAUUAACCUGUUUGAGAAUGCCCGGGUCAAUAAGAUGUAAGCAUGGUAUAUCUUUUACAUGGAUUUUUAUUUGUUUGACGAUGUCAGUAUGGACAGAAGUCCAAGGUGGAGGAUUACGUAACCUUUGGUGUAAAGGUUUGCAAAGAAUAUUUAUAUUGGGAAAGAAAUCUAUAAUGUAAUUGAGGCUACCUAAAAACCUUUGUAGUUGGGUUUUGUCUUUAAUCUCAUCUAGAAAUUUAUCAGUAAAUGAGAUCGAUCUUUCUAUGGGAAUUAUGGUACCUAAAUGGAUGUAAUGACCUAGAAAUCUAACCCUAGUCUAGAAGAGUGCAAUCUUAGUAGGAGAGACUACUAAACCGUUUUGUAAGAUUAUUUUUAUGAAAGUAGAAAGAUGUUUGAAAUGCUGUUCUAUAUUAGAGGAAAAAACUAGAACAUCGUCUAUAUAAACUAUGAUGUAUUCUGAAUAAGGAUUAAAGAUAUCAUUCAUGAUUCUUUGGAAUUCUGAAGGGGGCAUUUUUGAGACAGAAUGGAAUAACAUUUCAUUCGUAUUGACCAAAAGGAACGAUAAAGACUGUUUUGUACUUAUCUCUUUCACUGAUUUGUAUUUGCCAAAAUCCUAACUUCAUGUCGAAUUUAGAAAAUAUUUAUGAUCUACAUAAUCUGUUAAGCAAAUCUUUUUUAUUGGGUAUUGGAUACCUUAUCCAUCUAAGGGCUGUGUUUAGAGGUUUAUAAUUAAUAACUAAUUCGGGAACUCCUCUUUCUAGUUCAGCGUUUUUAUUAACAUAGAAAGCAGAACAACUCCAAGGUGAUUGGCUUUUUCUUAUGAGUUUCUUAUUUAAGAGGCCUUGUAUUUUAGUUUGGCAAAAUUUCAGAACUUCUUGAUUCAUUUGUGUAGGAUGGGCUUUUCUAGGUAUUUUUCUUUCAGAAAAUUCUUGUUCAUAAGGUGAAUCGACAAUAUGCUUCUUUCUUUCUCAAAAAGCAUUGGGUAAAGUAGAGCAUAUAGUUUUCUCUGUGUGUUUUUGUAGGGAAGCUAUUUUUUCUAUGAUGUUAGGUUUUAUAAGAUUUUCUUCUAUUCUUUUGAAUUCUAAAUCUUCUUUUAGGAAUUCAAGUUGGUUUUCUUUGUCUUUUAUUAGGCAAUAUAUUUCUGAAAUGGAAUGUUCUUGGAAAGUAUUUAAACUCCUCUUUUGUGGUUUUGUUAUGAAAUUAAAAGUGAUUUUUCUAUUAAGAGCAUGAGUUUCAAUACCUUCAUUAGUAACUAUAAAAGGUUGGAUCAAUUGUAUGAAAAGUGUUCUAAGAAUUAAUUGUUGUCUCAUAUUUUUUACUAAGAGAAAAGAUGUUUUAUAGAACAUUUGGUCUUUUAUUAUUAAUGCUUCUGGCAACUUGUAUUGAAUGUUUAAUUUGUCUCCUAAGGCUGAUUUUAAUGAUUUGGAAGUUUUAUCAAAAUAUCUUGUUGGAACAAGGCAUUCUUUGAUACAAUUGAGAUAUGCUCCUGUAUCAAAUAGUGAUGUUGUUUCAAUGAUAAAUUCAUUAUUAAUUUUUAUCAUUAUAUUUAUUAUCCAUUUUCUAGAUGUUAUUUAUGUUAAUAACAUAAGAAAGGCUAGGUCCAAGGUGUCAGAAGUAUUGGUGAUUUCGUUUUAGUCUUCUGAUUUUGUCUUUCCUUUUAUGACAAUGGAUUUUAUAGAAGAAAUUUCUUGUUUCAUUUCUAGCUGUGUUGUUUUCAAGGCUUGUAUUUCUAAUUUUUGUUGUUUUAUUUCAUUUUGAAGGUCAUUAAUAUUUAUGGGUCUAAACUGGGGUUUUUUGUUUCUAUUUAAAAUGUCUUUUAGAUUGUAAUAAGUAUUAGGAUUAGAAACAAUGGUGUCUACGUUUAUUCUUAUGAGGUUGAGGUUUGUUGCGAUAUCUCUUUGUUUCUUUUUCAGAAGGACAAGUCCCUUUACAUUUUGGCUUUGUUUUUUCAUUAUAAGUGGGGUUGUACUGGGCACAGAAAUCUCCUAGGCUUAUAUUGGUGAGAGGUUGUUCUUCCUUGAGUUGUCUUUGUAAUUUGAUUGUAUUACACAUUUGUGUUCCUUGUCUAUAAACGUAGGAGACUAUUUCUUCGUAUGAAAGAAGACCAUAAGGAAUUUGGCCACUGUAUUCUUCUCUAAUUUUAUCUCUGACUUGGUCACCUAUAAUUUGGGGUAAACUUGCGAAGAAUUUUUCUUUCCAAAAAGGUUUAUUACAGUCAGGUCUAAUAAGAACCCUUUGAAGGAAGAGUUCUUUGUAUUCUCUAAAUCUCCCUAAGGAUUUACAGUGCAUAUUAGAUAAGAGAUCUUGAUUCCUAUCUCUAAUAUGUGAAAGGUCUCCUAUGAAGUGUUGUGAAAUGGAAUAGAUAAGAGUAUUGACCGCAUCUUGGAUGAGAUGUCCUUGAUCAUCAUCCAUUCGUUGGCCAAAGUCAUCGAUUUUAUAGGUAGUUAAAAUUUGUAUUUUUUGUUCAUCGGUCAAAUAAUUAUCCCACCAACCUUUUAAUUGCCAGUAAAUCCGGCUACUAAAAGAUUAGCAACAACAAGAUCAUAAACAUCUUGCUAUAUUUUGUAGGCAUUGGCAAGCAUUACCAUGUUAUUCAAAAUAUUCAUGAUAUUGCUUUCGGCAACACCAUCUAUAUUCCAUUCAUAAAUGGCAUCAGGAGAGUAUUUGUUCCAUAUUUUUUGCGACGACACUUCUUGGGCAAUGUCAAGUGGGGUAGCUCUACUAUAAUAAAGUUUUUGGGGUUGUCUCCAAUUGAGUCUGUUAACCUCAGCGACUGAUUCAUUAUCAAAGUCACUAUAGGGUUUGGUCAGGGUGCUAAUAGUAGGUUUGUCCGGGGUGUCUUUAAUAAUUAGUCCUUGGAAUUUAGGAUUGUCUAGUAUAAGAGCAGGUUCUAGCUUUGAUUUCCCUAGGAAUUCUUUUCUUUUGUUCUAUGGCUUUGGCAAACUCUGAACUAAGGUUUUUUGGAAAUUCAAAAGCUUUGAAAAAUGGGUGUUUUGAGUUUAUCAACUUGUGGUGUGAUGAGUUGAGUAGGAUUCUGGAUGGUGGAUUCUAUCCUAUUCAAUUGUUUUCCUAUGAUAAACAAAUGUUGAUUUGUAUAAUUGUUUUGUUCAAUAACUUUAUGAGUGAAAAGAGAGUCUCCUUUGUCUGGGAACCUAAAAGGAGUAGCUGUUACCUCACUAUCUCCAUGUUGUAUUUUUAUUCUCCUAAGAGGUGGAUGAUUGGAUUCUAUGGUUUCACCAUUAUCAAGUUUCCAUUUAUAAUGAUGAUAAAAAACAACUAUUUCUUUUGGUGCUAGGAAUUGUUCUUCAAACCAAUCAAAGAAAAAUAUAUGGACUUCAUAUUCGUAUAUGUAAACCUUGUUUGGUAAAUUGUAUUUUGAAAGCCCUUUAUGAAGUACUUUGAGCAAAAUAAUAUUUGGGGAAUUACAUUUACAAAGGAGCUUUGUGGUAAAAAUUCUAAUUUUAAUAGUGUAUAUGUACAACAGAUAUAUGUAUAUAUAUAUAUAUAUAUAUAUAUAUACAUAUAUAUAUAGUUUUUUAAUUUGCAAUGUGCUUUUUUCUUUGGCUAUCCAUGCAAAGUAGCUAACUUUUGCUUACACGAGUCUCCUUCUAGCUUCGAAGCAGGCGGUUGUCUUCAAGUCCAAAUCAUAGACGCCGACCACCGUCGAUGGAAAGUCCCCGACGACCUCAUCCCUCGAUGAUCUCCCUCCCCUCCCCACCGCGCUCUCCCCGAACACACCCUAGCUCCAUCGCCGACGCCAGCCUUCCUCUCCCAAUGCUACCUCUCUGCUGCCGCCUACUCCGACCUCAUCUUCGUCCUCCACAACACCACGCCCUUCUCCUUCUCUGUCUCUCGUCGCUCCUCCGGCAAUGUCCUCUUCGACACCUCCGCCUCUGACCCCUCAGCCUUCCUUGUCUUUGGUGACCUCCAGCGACCCCAAAUCUGGGGCGACAAGGUCGCGCGCAUCGUGUGAUACCGCCUCGACCUCCGGCGACCUAGAUCCCGAGAGUCGAGGUCACGAGAGGACCUCACCGCCCCGAAUCUAGGUCAUGUGACCUCACGUGAUGCCGCCGCGACCUAGAUCCAAGGACGACAAGGUCGCGCAACCCAGAUUCGGUCACCGCUUGAGCCUCCGACUCCAGAUCUGGUCGCGACUAGACCUGCGACCAGAUGGGUCGCGUGGCCCUGGCGAGCUCCAUGUGGAGGUCGCGAUGCGGCAAGCAACGGUCGCCGGCAACACCGCGACUCGCGUAGGUCACCUGACUCUCCGAUGACGAUCGCUAGGUUGUCGCGACCACGCCGACCACCCUCGACGGAGAAGACGAAGAAGAUGAACAUUGUCCUCAUAAGGGAAAAAAACGGAAAAAUAAAAAGUUCGUAAGGAUAAUUUCAGGAAAAAAGAAAAUAUGAACAAUACUCACCUGGCAUGCCAGAAAAGCCGAAAGUCCAAGGCAAGUCCUCACCUUCCUUGCGCUUUCAGCUUCACAAAGCUAACAUUCUCCAAAUGGGGGUUCAAAUUUUUUUGCCAAACACCCCUAUACUUGGCCCAAAGGACUUUAGGUGUCUAAAGCCCUUUCCAAAGUAGUUUCCAAACGCACCCGUAGUCGUAAUAUUUUUGUUUGAGAUCUUUUGUUUUAUCAACAAAGGUUUUGAAGAACCAUUCUUUGAUUUGUCUGUUGUUUUUAGAAUUAAAUUCUUUAUUAAGAAAAACUUUGUUUGGUUCAAAAUGUUUUUCUAAAAUAUUAAGCUUGACAUCUAUCAUUUGUGAAUAAGUAGGAGAAUGAUGAGGAAAACCUGUGUUUUCUAUAAUUGGUUCAGGCUGGUUUUGUGGGUAAACUGGCCUGGAAAUUCUUGAGCUAUUAUCUAAACUACUAAUUUCCAGUUCAAGUAGUAUCUCAUGAUUACUUCUAUCGGUGGAAGGAGAUAAAGGUAUUGUAUCGCGUGUGGGAGUGUCUCUAUGCAUACUAGGAGGAGGAGCGUUUCUAUGCGUACUUGGAGGGAUAGUGAUUAUAGGCGGAAGAUUGGGAUUAAGAUCUAUCGACCUUGUAUAAGAUAUAUGAAAAGAAGGACUAGAUCUUCUAGGAAAUCUAAUGGUUACUCUUCCUUUUGGAUGUUGGAUGACAUUAGUCGGACUAAUAUUUUGAACAACUUGUUGGGGAAUUUGGUUUUCUAAUUUCCAUUGUUCUGGUAAAGUGACUUGGUUCCAAUUAAUGGAUCUAGGAAUGGUUGUAUUAGCUCUAGAAAUGUCGGUCUGGAGGAGAAGUGUUUCUCCUCUUGGACUAUGUUUAAAAGCAUUUUCUCCAAAGAUGGAGGACAUGGCUUUAUAAUGGAUCCUAUAGACAAGAGCUAAAGGAAUGGAUCCAUAUGCUACUUUGUAAUUAUGGGUUUUGAUUUGGAGUGUGAGAGCUUUAAGAAUAUUUUUAUCCUUAAGAGUGUCACGCACUGAACCCCGAGCGCAUGCCCAUCCCUUUCUGGUCGAUAAUAAAUUGCAACUUCCCAGGACGAGUCGCCGACCCUUUCCAUUUUAUUGCACAUGCGGAAGCAAAAAGAAAUCCCUGACAGUAAUCAUCUCAGGAUAGAAAAGUAGGACAAUAGAUUCACAAACAAAUAUGCUUUUAUAUAUACACCGAGUCAUGUACAAAAGUCCAUGGCCAAAAGAUUACAAAAGACUGGCCUUCCAAAAAGAAGCGGUUCUAACUGACUUACGCUUCCGAUCACCUCCUCUCAGCUCCAGGUCCUCUACUCGACGACCCUGAAAAUGUUGUCCCACAACGGAGUGAGAUAUAAUCUCAGCGAGUCUACACUCUAAACCCAAAUUAUGAGGGAAAUACGACCAGAAGUGUCCUAAUCACACAAUCACACAAUCAAUGAGACUUAUCUCGUCUCAAAUCCACCUUGCAGGUCAAUACAAUUUAUAACUUAGAUAGCAUGAAAACAUGAGCAAUAAAUAAGCUCCAACAACUAGAACACCACAUUUAAUUAAUCAUGCGUUCCUAGACUGAUCUCGGCAUAUACCAUGGCCUACUCUUUGUUCGGCAGUCUUCUGGCAUUGCCAAGUAUCAUUUCACCGCAUUGAGCAUGGCACGUCUCUUUAUCAGACGGCUUUCUCGAAUGAGCAUAGGGUCCAGAAUCUACUACGACCGGCUUCCCGUUGUCCAGGGGUAUCCCGAAUAAGGAUAACGUCUAGCUCAACAGCCCAGGACGAUUUCUCUUAACCAUCACACGAUCACUCAAAUAUGACCCAGAGCACAGUGCAUUGCACUCAAAUGCUUCAAUUAAAAUGGUGAGCCUGGCCUUUUUUCUUCGUAUUAGAAAUUCACAUGAAAUUAUUCGUGUGUGGGUACACGGUCAAUUUGACCUCAAAAAAAUUGAUAUUCUGCCUUUUUGAAAUCCCACUAUUUCACAUAAUACUAAAAACCAUUUUUGGUGUCAAAACCCGACACCCGGGAUUUUCUGAAUAAAUAUUGGAAAUUCACAAUUUUUGGAAUUAAAUACCAAAAAUCCAAUCAGCACUCAAUUUGCAUAAUUUAAUACUCAAUUGCAGAAAUUAACCACACCAUUGCAAUUAGCACAAAAUUCCGAUCAUCGGCUAUCUCGGCCUAAAUUCCAGAAAAAUAAUUAAUAAAUAAUUAAUUUCGAAAAUUAAUUAAUUCAAUUUAAUUUCUAAAAAUACUAACCUUGGCCAAAAUUAUUAAAUUAAAUACCAAUACGGACCUGGAAAAUUCCGAACCCUUCUAGAUAAAUAAUACAAUUUAUUUAGGCCUUAGCUAAACCAUGCUAACCAACUCACAUGCUCAAUUAAAUAAUUAAAUUUCUAAUUUAAUUUAACUAACCACCUAAUUCCUAAUAAAAUAAAUCUAAACACCCCUUAAACGUCAUUAACCUACUAAGUAGAGUUUAUAGUAUAAACUCACCAGUUAAUUGCGGAAACCGAUUCACCGUGAUGACGAUGCGAUAGCGGCCGAAAUUUGAAUUUUCCGCGGCAUCGGCGGACUUGGGCCGAGCCUAAAAUGGCCCAACAAAUCUCAGCCCAACUGAGAUUUGUUGCUGAAAUGGGCCGGGCUUCAUUGAACUGAGCUGACUUCAAGAUGGGCUGCUUCGCGGGCUUCAAUUGACGUGGGCUUGCCGCUGAAGAAAACAGGACUUGGGCCUGACUUCAAGUGGGCUUGCGGCAGAAGAUGGACUUCAAAUGGGUUGGCUUUGCGGUGAAGAUGGGCUGCAGAAAAAUGGCAACUUACUGGGCCGUUGAUGUGGGCUGAGCUUCGGUGAUGCUGGGCCUGACUCGGUGAAAUGAAGCCAUGCGAAGGUGGGCAAGGGAAACGCGAGCAGGCAGCGCGAGAUGGAAACGCGGGGCAGCUUCGGUCUUUACUGCUGGAUCCGCAGACGUGAGGGCAACAGCUUCACUGGAAACGUGGACUGAAUCCGCUGAGUUGCUGGCUUGAUUGAUUCAGUUGGUGGCUGACCAAGCUGAAGAAAAACAUGGACGCGCGGGCAGAGGAAUUCACGGAUGCGGGGUCAACGAAGGGAGAGUUCUACCGGCUGUUGGCCGAACGAGAGGAGACUUGGAUGCGUGAAGAGGGACGCUCGCUUGUUGACCGAACCGAAUGAAGACUUCGACGUGGCAGCUUCGGUCGUGCGGUGCUGCUUGAAGACUUCGGCUGAAGAUUUACCGAAGAAGACACGAGCGUGGAGAAGAAGACACGAGGGGCAAGAUGGAAGAGCUUCGGUGGUCGAAUCGAGGGCUUCACUAGCCGAACUGCUCGGUGGGAUUUGGUGGAGAUGCUGGCCGAGACGGUGGGAUCGUGGGCAAGGAAGUUGGGUCAACUAACUUGAAGAAAAUCGCUGGAAUUGACUAGCUUGGGGACAGCAACAAGAGAGAGAGAAGAUCGGUGGGUUGUGGCUUCGAUCUUCCUGGGUAGCAGCUUCGGUGGGUUUUCUUCUGAUGGCCAACGGUCGCCCAAAAUGGAGAGAGAAGAGGAAGAUUUGGCCGGUGGGAAGAAAAUAAGAAGAGAGGAUAAAGAUGAGGAGGGAUGGAGGAUCCCUUUUUGCUUGAUAUUUUCCAAACUUGAUCCCCAAGUUUCAUUCUAGGCCAAGCAUAAAUCCUUGGCUCAUAAUGACCACACAUGCACCUCCUCUAGAAGCCGAAAUGGUCCAAAGGUUGUGGCUAGGUGGGGGGUACACGAAUUUGGGGGAGGAUUAGCUUAAAUGAACUCAAAUUCUCUCUUGAAUUAAUCUCGAAUGACCUCAACAAAAAUCACUUGACCUAUGAAUGCCUCAAUUGAUAAUUUUCCUCAUCCCAGAAUCCAUCAUGCUUCUCAAUUUUGCAACCAAAGACCAUCUUCAACAUUUUUUGUACAAAAAUGACCCGGUGACGACUUUUUCCCAAAAAGUGUCGGUUGUUAGAAAAAAUCUUUUGAGACUGAGUCAACACUUCUAAAAUAGCUUGUGACACCUCUAAACUUUUAAUUUCUGAAAUCGGGUUCAAAUUCGCGGUUAUUUUCAAUCCGGCGCGCUUUUAGUGUGACCUAGUCUACCGAGUAACUUUUAGGAAUUUUUGGUACAAUUGAGCCGUGAUCGAUUUAUCUCGAAUCACAAUGUACAUCUUCGACACAUUGGCGACUCUCGAUUGUCAUGAAAAAUCUCAAUAUUUUAAAUACGAAUACAUGGUACCCAAAACGAUAGAAAAUCAAUUUAGUGCCGAUCGAUAAGAAUUUUGCAAUCAAGUGGAAUCACCCACAUUUUGAUCACCCAUCUCAAUCGAAUCGACCUAUCAUUGAUCUCUGAUCGAUUUUUAAUUAUGCCGUAAUGACCCUUGCAAAUUAGCACGGUUGAGUAGUUGAUUCCUAAUCGAAUUCUCAAGUCUUUUGUGUUAAAAUCCUUAAUGACUUUCCCAAAUAGUCUAGUUAUCUCAUGAGUGAUCAGCUCAGAGAAUAGCACUAUAGAUGCAUCGACGAAAGGCCCGAUUUAUUCAAUUGAAAUCAGAUUUGAAAAAUCAGGAUGUCACAAAGAGAAACAGAGAAAUUGGGAUAACAGUCAAAAUGUAUUGGUUCUUUGCAGAGACUUGUCUCUACUGUACCAAGGAUGGAUUCAUCAUAGUUCAAGAGGCGUGAAUCUCGUAAAACUAAGAGAAUGGAUGUAUUAAGACCUUCUUUUGUAAGGGGUUUAAUUCCUACUUGGACUAAUCCUAUAUGAAUGUUUGUUUAUGCUUUUGGAUGGACUUUUUAUUUAAAAGAUGUAUUUUUUCAUAGGAAUUAGAAAGAGGAACAUCUCUUUCUUCAGUGGUUAUGACAUAGUCUGAUUUUUUAAAAAAAAAAUUCAAUUUUGAUUGUUUGUAUAUUUCCUUAAGUUGUAUUUUAGAUUUCCCAAUUUUCUAUAGAUUUGUUGAAAUCUUCUAUUCUAACUUCUUCUCUGUGUAUAGGACUUGGAUCUGAGUCCAUUUGUGAUAGAGAGCCAGUGGGAAUGUAUAGAUAGUCUUUGUAAGAACAUACUCAUAGAUCAAGAGCCAUUCGUUGGCAUUUUUCUUGUUUCUACAGAGUGGUCCAAGCCGUAAGUCCCCCGAGUGGCUGUUAGACCGUUGGUUUAGCUCUGUAAUGGUUCUGAAGAAGGAAUACUUCCAAUCUUAAGUAUGAGCCUACAUAGAAGAUCUACAUCUUCCUUAGAAUAGAAGAUUUCAACAAAUCUAUAGAGCUCCUUAUAGCAUCCUUACGACAUCCAAAAAGACAUAAACAGCUCAUUAUAGCAUCAUUCUAUAGUAUUCGUUCUCUUCCAUCUUAUUUGUCCUCUUAGUCUUCAAUUUGCCAAAAUUGAAAUAAACAACUUCUCUGCUCACCACUUGACACUCGCCCGCUCGCUUUGGGUCAUUCGUGUCGCUUGCUGCUUAAUGCUUGGUUGGCUUGUUGCUCCCCGCUCGACAUUCGAUGCUCAUGCUAAUCGACACUCAUCUCACUUGAUCCUCACCGCUUGCCUUUCUUAACUGACUUCGCUCAUCAUCGACCCAUUGGGUGGGUACGGUCCUUGGUUGUCCUUUUAAGAAAUACAAAAAAUGAAAUAAAAAAUUAAUGGUUGGUCUUGUGUUGACUUGGAAACCGGAUCGAACCCAUUGGGUUGGUCUUUUCAAAUCUUCGGACUCAUAAAAUUUGAUAGUUGACUUUUGAUUUUGAAGUGAGGCUCAAGAUAUUAAAAUACGGAUAUGCAAAUUAAUAAAUAAAUUUCGUAAUAUUUUGGAGCUUUCAAUGAAUUCUUUCUUAAGAUUUGGAAAAGAAAAAAAGAGGCAAGUUGCGCAAUUUCUUUAAAUUAAUCCAAACAAACUCUAUUCUAUAACUUCAAAUUGAUGAUAUAGAUAGGUUUAGUUAAAGUUACAUAAUUUUAAUUUACGAGGAGAAGACCGGAACAUGGUAAUGGAGCUCAUGUAGUCAGAGGAAGGUAAGGGUGCAAAAGAAGUCCAAAAGUCCAGAAAAAAAAAUGUAAGAGUUUUCCUAAUGUGGACUACAUUAAUUGAUAUUGUAAUUUACUGUUUUUACGAUUACCGUAAAAUAAGAUUGGUCUAAGGUGAGAUAGAAUGUUUCUUAAUUAGUCUAAUAUGGGACUAGCUAGUGUGGGCCGAGUUGAGCUUGGCCCCUAAUUAGGGUGCCUAGCUAGAAACUCUAUAAAUAGUGCUCAAGUCUCUCCUCUAACCAUAAUUCUCACAUGUAUCAUUACCUAAUGGGCGUUUACCUAACGCUAAACGUGAGGGGAGCCGCCUCAUAGAGCCAGUGAUACGGAGGACAAUAGAGGAGAAGCACUUAAUACGUGGAUCCCCUUGAUAUGUGGGUAAUCCCUUUUUUGCUUCCGCUUUAUGUUCGAUGGAUCCCAAAAUAGGUGCGUUAAUCUUUCUACUCAAGUAUGCAUGUUCUUAUUCUGGUUAUGGAGAUCUUGGGAUUGCGUGAUUUGCUUCCAACAUGUGGUAUCAGAGCAAUCAUAACCCUAGAACUCGAAUGCAUAAGUUUUUUGCCAUAAUUUGUGAUUUUCAUGAUUUUUUGUUCAAUAAAAAUAAAAUUAAAUCAUAAAUUUGGAUUGGGCUCGAUGAGAUGAGCAAGACGGUUGGCGGCACAUCGCCGGAGGAGUCUGCACGCACCCCCACGCACCGCCUGGUGUCGAGCGCGCGUUGCGCGUGAGCUCCAUGCGCCAAGCACUCAAGCGGCGCGUGUGGGCACGUGGAGCCUCUGUUCGGUGCGUGGAUGGUGGCGUUAGGUUCGUAUGAUCAUCCUCUACAUCGUGGUGUAUUUAUUUUACAUGUUUGAUAAUUUUAUGGAUGUGAAAAUACAUACGAAACCAUAAAUACAUGUAUUUUUAGUGUAUUUUUGCGUAUUUUUCUUAUAUUUUCUGUGAUUUUGAAAAUAUAAGUAUUGGGUUACAGGUAUGUUAUUAUAUAAAUAUUAUAAUGGUGUGAUUCAUUAAUAAAAUCAAAUUUUAUUAUAAAUUGAAACUGGCUUAAUGAGAUACAAUCAGUAUGUGAUAGUAUUUGAUCUAUGUAUUGAGCUGAUGAGAAACAGUAAAGGUUAUGAAAUUUUUAUUACUCAAACAUACUCAUUGACACACUGGUAAUCUUUGAAUGAUGGACGUCUUAAGAACUCAUAACCAAACUGAUUGUACUGAUUAACACAUCUGUUGAAUGUGGGUAAUGCAUGUCAAUUAAGUUACUGCAUAUUGUACAUGAAUUCAUCUAGUCACUUGUUAAUGUCUAUCAAGUUGAAUAUUUUUAUGGUUAAGAAGUAUGACAACAUUUACGUAGAGCAAUAGUAUCUACUGUUAAAUUUUAGAUAUAUGGUUAUCUGGUUUGACUCAAUUAAUAGGCCAUUGGUUGAUUAGAAUGAUAAUUUGUUACUUAAAAUUGGUUAAUAAAUCAGCUAUUGGGCUUAGAGUCAUGUUUUGCCUUAUGAAACUCGUGAGCGAUAGUUGAUCAGCUAUUAAGCUUGUCAAUCUUAAGUAUCAUGUAUUGCUAUUGAUGUUAACUUGUGAUGGAUCAUUUGGAUCGGCAUUCUUUUGAUGAUGUUUUAGUAAUUAGUAAUCGGGGUACACAAUAGAUGAUUGCUUCUAUGUUAUGAGAAUUUUCUUUUGUUGUUGUGAUCGGUGAUCUCAUUGGAAUCUAUUUUUCAGAUUCGUUAUAUAUAUAUAUAUAAUUUUUAUUAAUGGAUAAAGCAAUGUAAUUAGCAUGAUAUGCGAUUUUAGUGAUAACCUGCCCCUAUCACUAAAGUUAAAAUCAUAUGUAUAUGAUGUAUGUGAGUAGUAAAGUUUAUAUCCCUGGUAUGAGAGAACUUCAAUGAUUCAAUUGAGUAGUGACCGCCAAAAUGACACACUUGAUUGGGUUUGAGAAAUUUCGGUCUCGUAUGCUGAUUGAGAUGUCUCCUGGUCUAAUACGCGGUCAUACUCCCAAAGGAGGUGAUUGUGUAUUAGUUCAUAAAGUAGAAUAUUGAUUGAUCACAGUGGUUUUUCUACCCAAAGGUGAUGAAUUCACAAAAAUUAGAAUAUAUUCUCAUAACCGCUAUCAUGUGGGGAGUGUACAACUGCAUGUCAUGUAUUCUGUCCAAAUGUGAUUAUAUGAUUAUGCGUGUAACUCUCUGGAUGUAUACUUGUACGUCAAGUUACACGGUGCUCACAUGAUACUAAUUAUAUAUAUUGCUUGGUUUUCAGUUACCAUUAUUAUUGAGGUUUUUACUACUUCAAAUUUUAAAUAGUGGACAUAUGAUUUGUUGUUUGAGAAAAGAGCAAUAGAAUUUGUUUACUGUCCAUGAGAGCACUUGAAAAGAGGUUUGCCUGCGGAUUACACUGCUAUAAGAUGAUGGAAGCCUUAGUUGCUUGAAAUUAUGUCUUGUAUGAUAUUGAAAUUAGGACACAUCUGCAAAAAUUGUGUUUAAGUCCUAAUGACAUAUACAUCUUGUAUAAAAUUAAAAGGUUGUUUCCGAAAAUUUUCUAUUUAAAGAAAAUGACCGAGAUGAAGAAUAAAAUAAUUAUAAAUAGUCUUAAAAGGUUGUUAGGCUUAACAAUGGCCGUGAAUAUUUUGACAAGUAUGACAAUGCGAAAUAGCUUAAAGGGUCAUUUGUCAAAUACUUAGUAGAUUCUUGGAUGGUAACUUAAUUACUAUACCUAAAAAUCCUGACAAAAAGAUUUGGCCGAAAGGCAUAAAUGCACCAUAUUAAACAUGGUGAUGAGUAUGAUUAAUAAGACUAAUUUAUCUGGUCUUUUGUGAGCUGACAUUUUGAAAGUAACAUUUUUCACAUACAAAAAUACUUUCAUAAACUUCUUUUGAGUUAUAGACUGGACAUAAAUUAUUUGAAUCAUAUGAAAUUUAGAGGUGUCAUACAAAAGUGAGGUUAUCUAAUCCAAUAUUAAGUGCGUUGGAAUUCAGAUUUACUCAAAAUUAUUUUGUAUCUUAUCUAGAUUGUUAAAGGAGUAUUGAUUUUAUAACCCUAAAAAAGGUACAAUAAUUAUAGAAUUACAUACUCUAAAGUUUCUAAAGAUUGACGUAAUUGUAGAGGAUAGCUGCUUUUAGACUAUUAAAGAUAAUAGUAUAAUGGAUGUUACUAUAUUGUCUUUACCUAUAUAGAUAAUUAUGGAAUCUCAUGUACCAUAGACUAAACUUUUUUAGGUUCAAUGUAUUAUUCAUGAUAUAGUUUAUAAUGAAAUUUCUUAAACAUCUCAAGUGCAGAAUGAAGUGGUUGCAGCUUUAUUAAGGAGAUUUAUUAUGAAAAGACGAUCAGUUAUACCAUUAGAUUAUAUAAUCUAUUUGUGAGAGCAUGAUUACAAUAUCCACUAUAUGGUUGAUGUAAUAACAUAUUUGUAAAUGCCAUUUCUUAUUCUCAAUCAAGUAUGUGAUUAGAUGCCAUAAAAGGCGAUAUAUAAUUUAUAAAACAUCAUAGUGUUUGGAAACUAACUUACUUGCCUAAAGAUCAUAAGUUUAUUAGUUGCAAAUUGGCGUACAAAACUAAAAGAAUUUCAAAGAAAGAUUGUAGAAUUUAAAGCCAAAUUGGUAGCUAAAGGUUUCACUUUGAAAUAGGGUUGGAUAGUUAAUAGUGAAAAAAUAAAUAUUUAUUUCUACUAUUUUUAAAAAUUCUUUCAGAGUGAACGUGACAUUAAUAAUUUAUUUUGAUAUGGAGUUACGCCAAACAGAUACAAAAUCUAUAUAGUGUAACUAGAUGAUUUUGUAGCAAAUUCAAGUAAACUUGUGUGUACAUUGAAAAGUCUUAUUCAUAGUUUUAAGCAUGUUUCUAGACAAUAUUAUUAAAGUUUUAUAGUGUUAUUAUCUUGUUCAAUUUAGAACAAAGUAAUUCGAUAUACUGCAAGGUUAGUAGGAGGAAAUUUAUUUUUCUCAUACACUAUGUACAUGAUAUUUUGUUUACAAAUAGUGACCUUAAAGCAUCUUUUGUCUUUUGUACUGAGGUCUGUAAGGAUUGUUUUGUUAUAUUAUAUUAGAUUUUCUCGGAGGACAUUUGCUGAUUGUAUAUUGGAAAUAUUCAAUAUAUAUCAUUGUAAGUCAAGAAUUGCUCAUGUUGUUAAGGGUGAUGGAUUAAAUCUAUCACAUUGUCCUUAUUUAGAUAUUGAGAAAAUCUAAUUAAAGGGUGUACCUUGUGUCAGUGCACUUAAAAGUAUAAUGUAUGCUCAAAUUUGCACUAGAAUAAAUAUUGUCUUUCUGACGGGACUUCUAGACAGAUAUCAGUCAAAUCCAAGACGUGAUCACUAGAUUGCUGUCAAGAAUGUUUUAAGGUACUUAAAGAGGACAUGAGAUUGUAUGCUAAUUUAUAGACAUGCUCAAUUAUUGCAGUUAGUAGGGUAUUUAAAUAUAAACUUUAUUGGAUGUUCUGAUGACAUGCAAUCAAUAACGGAAUAUAUAUUUAUGUUAGCAGGAAGUGCAAUAAAUUAAGUUCUAUAUUAUCUUAUACUAUGUAAGCAGUGUUAGUAACAUCCUCUUAAGUUGUUACUUGGACUAUUAAGCUACAGAACCUCAUGAAAGAGCUAAUCGUUUUAACUUUAUGGAUAGACCCAUACGGUUGUAUUGAGAUAACAAAUUUGUAGUAUUAUUUAUUUACUACUGAGGUCUCAAGGGGUCUAAAUAUAUGGUGGUCAAAAUUUUUGACCAAAAGGAAACGAUAUAGAAAUGUGACGUAAUAAUAUAACAUAUUUCCACAGAUAAUAUGGUUGCAGAUCCACUAAUUAAAGGUCUAUGCCAAUGUGUAUUUGAGUGACAUGUUAUUAGCAUGGGCCUAAGAGCAACAUAAAAUGUUGUUGUUUAGUGGGAGAUAUUUUGGCUUUACUCUAAUAAAUGUUUCAUCUGUAUUCGUUACACUUUGUAACAAUUUGAUAUGUAUCAACUUUUGCAUUCAAUAAAAUAUUUUUGAAUGUGUUGUUAUUAUGUUGAAUACAUAUUAAUAAUAUCUCAAUGGAUUGUAUAAACCUUGAGUGAAGGUUAGGACAUCCGGACAUUCAGUUAUUAGCCUUGUGCAUAUGUCUUGUGAUAUAUAAAGAAAGGUUAACCAUAAGGACAAGACAUAUUUGGGUUUAUUGGAAUCAUAAAGCAUUCUCUAGUGGUACAAGUUUUUGUGUCGCCUAAGGUAAGAGAAUGGUGACUAACAAAUGGGAUCUCUCUAUGAGAGAUAUUAUCCAUUUGCCAUACUACCAUAUUGAAUACAUAUCAAUAAAGUUGAGAGCACUCAUGACCAUGGAAGGCUCUGUGUGUAUACAUGCAAUUACCGCCAUGAUUCGGUGUUUAAGACUUUAUGGGAUAUGAUUGAUUAUUAAGAAUUAUCUUUGGACUAAAUGUAUGCACAUAUAGUACGAUUUCAAUUAAUAUAGUCCAAGUGGGAGAAUGUAAGAGUUUUCCUGAUGUAGACUACAUUAAUUGAUAUUGUAAUUUACUGUUUUUACGGUUACCGUAAAACAUGGUUGGUCUAAGGUGAGAUAGAAUGUUUUAUAAUUAAUCUAAUAUGGGGCUGGCUAGUGUGGGCCGAGUUGAGCUUAGCUCGUAAUAAGGAGGCCCGGCUGGAAACUCUAUAAAUAGUGCUCAAGUCUCUCCUCUAAUACUAAUUCUCACAUGUAUCCUCACCUAAGAGGCGUUUACCUAAUGUUAAAUGUGAGGGGAGCCGCCUCAUUGAGCUAGUGAUACGGAGGGCAAUAGAGGAGAAUGACUUGAUGCGUGGAUCCCCUUGAUAUGUGGGUAAUCCAUUUUCUGUUUCCGUUUUAUAUUCGAUGGAUCCCUAAAUAGGUGUAUUUCUACUCAAUUAUGCAUAUUCUUAUUCUGGUUAUGGAGAUUUUGGGAUUGCAUGAUUUGCUUCCAACAAAAAAUCCAUGGUAGAUGAUAAAAAGACUUCUUUUUUUCAGGUCUCAAGAUAAUAAAAGAGCUUGAUUACGCAUUAUAUAAUCGCAAAAAAAGGACAAAUUUUAAUAUAGCCAUAACAAGUAUUCACAAUAUUCAAAGUGAUGCGCGGUAAUAAAUAAAAAAAAUCAUAGUAACCUAUAAUUCCGAAAAAUGACUUGUCUGAAACUUUAUAUGCAUCCUUGUAAUUAAUCGUGAAUCUCCAAUCUCCUAAGGAAAUCAGAAAAGUUAAAAAUCUCUCGACUUCUUGGGGGACAAGUGGCGCCGACAUAGGGGGCAUGUGGGGUGUACCUUCAACCAAGUUUCGAUGCAAUCUCUGUGAAAUUUAUGAGAGCAAUCCAUGCGAAUAAGUUGGCCUCGGAUCGCAACUUCUUCCAUGCAAAUCACACAAUGCGAACUAGUUGAGCCUUGAUCACCCUCAAACGCCACUUUGUCCAAGCUUUCAAUCAUUGUCUCAUGUGCGGCUCCGAAGUUGAUCCUCUCUCGGUCCACCGACUCCCUCAUGACCCUUAUCCGCGACGCACCCUCCGUGUUGCGAUCAGGGGUUGUGACUGCUCCUUCUUGCCUCGUUAGAUUAAGCGCGGAUCGCUGCCCCGAAAGUAGCCGCCGCCAUCUCUCCUCCUCUUCGAGGAUCCGCGAAUGCAAGAUCCGCCACUGGAGCCUCCGCCAUCGGGCUCGCAUCUGGUGCUCCGAGAUGGUGACCUUGUGCACAAUGCUCACCACCAUCUUCGUCCUCUUGCGCCCCUCUCUGCAAGUGUCGUUCACUGCGUGGGACGUGGCCCUCGCGAUCUCGGACACAAGCUCGUCGCGAGUGAGGUACUUCUCGGUCACGUGCAUCCCCACACUCACGUCGAGCCAUCGCAGCCGGUCCAAUGGGAAGGGCAGCCGCAUGUCGUCCAACAUGGAGGACACAAUCGCUCGCGACUGCGAUGAUGGCGAUCUGUCGUGGGACACAAACGGUCCGCUCGGGUACUCAGCUCUGUACCAAAAGCCACCAUCGGAGGCACGAGGCGGUAAUGCAGUUCCUCCUCCUACUUCAGACUGAAUAUAGCGACGUCGGACGAUGCAUGACAUGAUCACCCGAGGUUGGGGCAAAGACUGAUUGUCGGGAAUAUACGCUGGCAUCGCAAAAACCAAAGUAUGAUCACUCGCCAUCUUAAAAGGGAUGUCGAGAUGGCAAGCCAAACAAUCUUGGAUUGGUUGGAUUGGGUAUAUAUAGGUAACAUUACUAAUCCGAAUAGGAAACAGCACUGUUUCCUAGACUGCCUUUGACAAGAUUCCUGUGAAAAAUUAAUUUUUUUAUUUUAUUUUUGGCUUUGUUUUAUCAAGAUUGAAGAGCGUGUCUUAUCUUAUCACUCGUGAAAUCACCGAAAUUUAUGAAACACAACGCUGGCACUGCAGAAACAGAACUUUGAUAGUUAUUUAACCAUUUAAGUAAAAUGUUUCGAGUACUUUCCUCUUGUUGAGAUAUCUUAUAACCUAUGCAAUUACCAACAUUUACGAAAAAUUGUAUCUGUGAGAUUUUCUCUGCUUAUUAUUAAAUAGACUUCCAAGAUUUCUUUGAGUUGUUGAUCUGGAAAACUUGCUAUUGAAAGCGGCGACUAAAGUUCAAUAUCUUAAUACGUGAAGAUCAGCAAGAGAGAUCCCAUCGAUGUAUCCAAUUGGACCUACCUAAACUUUAGUUAAAGAGCUAUGCACAAGUUAUUUGAUUAAUCAACUAACCUAAAUCACUAAUUCGUAUAUGAUGAAAAUGUAUGAAAACAUUAAUAGGUUUACUGCACGGGUUUGGCUUCACGUAUUACCAAAAUAAAAAUCAAUAAACGAAACAAAAAAAAAAACUAUUUGGUAUUGUAAAUGAAGGGGGAAAUGAAAAUAGCUUCUAUACUAAUUUCAUGCAUUCAACAUUAAUUACCAUAAAUUUGUUCAACUGAAAGAAAACCAUAAUCAUCAAACUGAUAGAGCAGUUAGCUUAGCGGAAAAAAAAAGAAAGGAAUUUCUAAAAUUUCAUUAAUUCAUCUCCUUACUAACUAGCUUCAACAUUGGAUCAUGGACUCAUGGGUUGCUUCGGGGUUGACUUGCUAAGUGGGAUAAUUACCAAAAAAGUCUUAAUCCUAUUGCGGUCGUACAAAUUCAGUUCUAAACUUUUUUUGGCCAAAUGAGUCAUCGACCUUUUAUAUUUGUGUCAAUCAAGUCCAUCUAGUUAAUGUUGAUGUAGCACGACCUAUGCUCACAUAACCCGGCCGAUACUAACAUAGAUAAUUUAUAAUAUUUUAAUAUUUCUCAAAUUUUUUAAUUCUUUUUUUUCCCUCUUUCUUCUUUCUCUGACUGGUGGGGGAGACCCUUACCCACCCUGUGCCGGAUCCAGUGAGGCUUGACCUUGCUGGUUAAGCUCCCUUCACCUAGCGACGACGAGGGCUUGUUUCGCUUAUGGCUGGGUGAGGUUGCCCUUGCCUAGCGACUGCAAGGCGAGCCUCACUAGUGGCCAACAAUUAGUUCGGCGACUAGGUGGAGAAAUAAGAAAGAGGACAAAUAAAGAGAAAGAAAAUAAAAGAAAAAAAGGAAAAAUAGUUAAUUUUUUUAAAUAUUAAAAUAUUAUUCAAAAUUAUCAAUGUCAGCAGCACAAAUCGUGGCAUGUUAGCGCAAACUAGUCAAAUUUGGAUGAAUGGAUUGAAUUUACACAAAUAUAAAAGGUUUAGAACUCAUUUGAUCCCCAAAAAAAAAAAAAAGUUUAUGAUUGAAUUGAUACUAUCAUAAUAAGUUUAAAACUUCUUUUGUAAUUCUCCCCUUGUUAAUUGAUUUGUCGACUUCCUCUUCACUCUCUUCCUUAGCUCAUCUAAUUCCAACUUGUGAUUAGGGUUUUACUUGUUAUGCGGGAAAUAAAUUAUUUUAAAAAUAUUUUCUAAAAUGAUCAUAUGUAUCCCUUGAAAAAUCUUUAUUUUCAUUUUUUUUUCCAUUUUUCAUUAGGCGCACCAUUUAUCCUUCUAGUUACAUUAGAUCAAACCAAAAUUCCCGGUCCAAGGCUCGUAUCUUUCUCCCGCUUUCCUCCAUGGAGAACACGGUUGCCCAUGACGGCAACGAUGGCGAGUGGUCGUCAGAUGCAAAGGGUCCGCUCGGCUGCUUGAAUUGGAAGGAAAAGCUACGGUCGUCAUCCAUGAUACACGCCGGAGAGUUUGGUCCUUGUACAUCGGACUCAAUAUGGUAGCAAUUGACAUAGCACGAUAUGAUUCGAAGAGCAUGAGACAAGGAUCGAUCAUCUCGUAUAAACGCGGGGCUUGCAGAAACCAGAAUUUGAUAAUUCGACAUAUUAGAUUAAAAGAUUUUCACGACUGAUGAAGUGAAUAUUCUUUAGUGAAACAUGACCUGAUUCUGCUAGAAAUCGGCUCAUCUUGGACAAGAAACAUUGCCAAUCCAAAAUAGGAAACACAACAUUAAUAUGUUUCCUAAAGUCUUUUUAAUCAUUGAAGUGAAAUUUUAAGUCCUAAACUUUUUUUUCUUCUGGCUUUGGUUUGUCAAGAUUGGAGAGAAAAUCUGAUCAAAUCAUCAGCAAUUACGGAAGAUUAUGUGUUAGAAAUUAAUCUGAUUAUUAGAUAUAGAUUCUCAAGAUAUUUUGAAUAGUCAGUUCCCAAAAACUUUCCUUUUUCCAAACACAUGAUAUCUGAAUUAAAGAUGCUUUAAGUCACUUGUAUUUCUCUAAAGUUGCCCACUUUUAUUUUUUCAUCCAUUUCUUCCUUUUGGGCAACAUCCUCCUCUAGUAUCGAACCCAAGUAAUUGUUUUUUUUUUUUUCAAUAUACUAGCAAAAAAGUAUAUUUGGGGGAGGGGGGGGAUAAUGAAAUUUAAAAGAUUUAACAAAAAUUACCUUAUAACGUGAUAUUUGAUUUAUUAAUAGUGAAACUAGACAAAGAAAAGGGAAAAAAAAUCUUAAGAUUCAAAACUUUUUUUUGAUAAGGGUGUUGAUUUAAAUUUUAAAUUAAGGUAUGUGAGAGAUAAUAUAGAAUUACUAAUUUACACAUUUCUCCAAUGAUGAAAUAUCUAUGAAAUAACUUAUUGAUGAUAUUUUGGAAAAGAAAAUAUUUCCAUAAUUGGAAAAAUUAAAAUAAAACAUUUAAAGGAUCGGUAUUUAUUGUUUCUAUACCUCAAUUAAGUUAUAAAAAAUAAUAAAGUAGCUAUCCGACUAUAAAAAGGCCAUUGAAAAAAGUCAUGUAAUGCUAAAACUAAGGGACCAAAUUUCGAGUCUUUCAUGAAAGAACAAAACACAUAGAAGUGGAUUGUCAUUUCACUUGGGAUAGGAUCAAAGAUGGAGUCCUGGUGACAAAACAAUUUUUUUUCUAAGAAACUUCUAAAACUAUGUAAAAUAAUUAGACUAAAAGCUUUGAAUUGGCACAAGACUGCAUAAUUCUAUCCUUGACAUCUACAGGCCGGCCACCAGCUUGAGGGGGAGUGUUGGAAAUAUAUCUUGAAGAUUCCGAUUCCGUGGAUUAGUUUUGGUAAAUAAGAAAAUAGGAAAAUAGAGAUUCAUUUAUUAUUUUUUCCUGUUUUAUUCUUUUGUCUCUUACAUUAUAAAUGUACAAGUGUAAUCUAAAUAUACACAAUGAAUAUACAGAGAAAAAGAUUUUCUCAAAUCUCCAUUUCACAUUCUGUCAUAGCCUUACAAGGGACGUUUCAGAGAAGAAAGAGCAUACUCUUUGAAUUGCCAUCGUUCCUUUUUCUGGCCUCUUCUUGCAUAAUCUUUACCUGCGAAACAGCCCAGCAAAAAGCAGAAACUUCAUUUACAUCAAGUGGUCUCCUAGAAAAACCAGAAAAGACUGAGACUUCAAGACAUCUUGGCGGGCAACUCGCAGCGACACAAAGGGCAUGUUUGGUGUAUCUUCAGCCUAGCUUCGAUGCAACCAUGAUGAAAUUCAUGAGAGCAAUGCAUCCGAACCAGCUGGUCUCCCAUCACAAUUUCUUCCGCGCAAAUCACGCAGUGCCGUUCACGACUCUCGUGGAUCUCGCUCUCCGAGACGGUGACCACGUGCAUCAUACUCACCAUCACCUUCGUCCUCUUGCGCCCCUUGUCGUUCACCUCGCGGGACAACACCCUCGCGAUCUCAGACAUUAACUCGUCGGGGGUCAUGCAUGUCCUGCUCGCGUACUUCCCCGCGUUCAUGUCGAGCCACUGUAUCCGGUCCAAAGGGAAGGGCAGCAGCAUGCCCUCCAUCAUGGAGGACACGAUUGCCCACCACGGCAAUGACGGCGAGUGGUCACGGGACGCAAACGGCGUGCUCGGAUGCUCUGCUCGGUAUGAAAAGCUACGUUCACAGAUUCGGCCUCCUGUUCCUCCUUGUACUUUGGACAGACUACAGUAGCUUUGGACAUGGCAUGACAAGAUCACAUUGGGUUGGGGCAAAGAUUCAUCGUCAUCGUCUGGAACACGCGUUGGUAUUGCGAAGACUCGAGUGUAAUAAUUCGACAUCUUUACGAGAAUUGUGGAGAUGGCAAGUGAAAGCGUUCUUGGGUUGGGUAUGUAUAUAUAUGUACUCAGUCAUGGGACACCGCCAUUGACAGAAAUUUCAGGAAACAAGUCGUAUAGUUUCCUUUUUAAGCUUUGGUUCGUCCAGAUUAGACAGAGCCUAUGUCAAAGAUUUUGAGUCGUUUAUCCGAAAAACUUUCCUUUUCUCAAGAUAAGAUUUGAGUUACCCGUAUUUCUCAAUAAUUACCCGAUUUUAUCUCCUCAUUUGAUCUUGGCCAACUUCCUCUAGUAUCGGACCCAUGCGAAAAAACACCUUAUAACAUAAUAUUUCACUUAUGAACCAAAAAAAAAAAACAUAAUAUUUCACUAAUUAAAUAAUGACAUUACACACAAGUAAGGAAUACGUUUCAAAAUUUGAAAUCUUUUCAAUAAGGUUGUCCGUGAGAUAGAAGCUUCUAUGUUCAUCUUCUUAUACAACCCCAUUGAAAAAAAAAUUCUUAUUCAUAUUUUCACAUUACUUUUCACAUAUUUUCACAUUACUUUUCACAUUAUUUUAAAAAUAUUGCGAAAUUACUGAAGGCUUAUAUUCAAAGAAGGCAGAGUGAUCGCAACAAAUCUACCUUAAACUUAAUAGUAUUCUUGUCGCACUAAAUAAAGAGAAUCACCAUUUAGCAUACCGAGUAACAAGGCUGUAUUGGGCACUGCAAACACAAUCUUAAGCUAAGAUAUGACAUAUUUUCAAAUGCCAGAAAACUCAGCAGAAAAUGAUACAGAACAUUGUUUGCCAUUCUUUUCUGUGGCGCAUCGAUCGGGUUAAUAAGAAGGGCACAGCUCUCCCUUUGCCUUGACCACCGCCCCCAAUGAACAUCUAAUAUUCCUACUUCUUGGUGACACCAGCCACGAAGGAGUUCUUUUUUGCAUUCCUUACUUUGUUUCCUUCAGGAAAAAAUCCAUUUGACGAUUUUGGAAAGAGCUUAAAAGAGAAGGAUUAAAGAACAUAACGGCACCCAUUGAACGACCUCACAAGCCAAUCGAAGAGACUUUUUCAUCAGUCCGAAGAUAAUCGACCACAGCCUUCAGGUCAUCCUUCUAGAGGGGCCAAAAAGAAAGUGAACUGGAAAUUAUAAAGAAGAAUGAUUUUAAAACAACCUGCAUAGGGAUAAUAAGUUCCGAAGCACUGAAACUGAAGCUGACAAAAUUUAAUAAGACAAAUACAGAAACUAGCAAGCCCAAUGGCAAUAAAGGUCUCAACUUUGAGAAAAGUUACCAAAACAGUCCUAAACCUAUUACAUACAUGUGCUAAAUAUUAGCAAGUCUAGUGGUUACUUCAUUCUACAGCCUCUUUGAUGCUAAGAAGGGGUGCUCUCCCAUAAUUUUAUUCAUCCAAACAUUCAAUAAUAGAGAUCUAUUCUCUCCAGACUACUCUCUCUGGAAUUCUCUCUUCACGAUCCAUGUGAAUAGAUAUUACAAGACAAUCCAUCACACAAUCAUGAAAAUCACAUCUUGAUGUUUAAAAAAAAAAUACAAGGGAGAAAAUUUGUCCGUUGAAGACACUAUUGUACAACCAAAAACAACAUUCUUCCAUAUAUUACUGAUUGUUCCUAAAGGUCAUAAGCCUCUUUAUUGAACCAGAACCUUUCUUCAUCUAAUUUUAUAUGAGUCAAGAAGAUAUCAAACUUCAAGAAUGACAUAAAUUCAAUUAUGUCUCAUGAGUAAAAUAUAUUGAGAUCGACAUCGAUGCAAAUCUUUAAAUUUUCACCGAUUAUAGAUUCUAAUAGAUGAAAAUACAUGCGACAUUUACUACAACACAAUACACUUAAAUUUCCUCCACUUCUGCUGAGAAAGUAAACAUUCAAAUGGUACAUCAGACCAUCCAUAAUAUGGCUUGCCAAUCCUUAGCAACCAUCGUUGUGGCUGUCAUAUGGAUGGACAUAUUCGAACCGGCGUGUGAUGAGAGAUCCAUGGACAAAGUUUUAGAUGCCGAUAAUAUGCUUGUAUGUAGACGGAGAUGGAUGUUUAACUUUUAAUGUUGAACUACAAACUCUAGUGAAUGAAGGACAAGAUGAUUCUUUUUAUUGAUAGUGGGAUUUAUCACAUCAAGCAAUAGAAAACACAGUGAAGAGAUGCGGCCGCCUUUAAAGUACAAAAUAAAUGCCUCGGCCACGCAUUGUAUGACAUUGAAAUAAUUGUCAAGGCGCAAGAAAUCAUCAAGGAGCAAGCAAGUUGCUGUGGAAUCCCAAAAAUGUACUGCCACAUAAGAGAUUAUAAUAUCACUAGCAUGAUCAUGCCGAUAGGAUGCGACAUUAAUACAGUUGGCCAAUGACGAGAAGAACAAGGAAACUUCAAGGGUUCAACUUCAUGAGGAAUAUUCCUGUCAUUGAUGUUAAAGUCAAUGCCUCCAAGGAGCUGUGCAACUUCAUGAGGAAUAUUCCUGUCAUUGAUGUUCAAGUCAAUGCCUCCAAGGUCUAUUCAAGACGAGCCAAAGCAAAGUCGUAACCAAGCAGCAACGCGUCACUCCAAUUUGUAGGAAGAGAUGAAUCUUCCUUUCAUUCAUGAUGAAGUCAAUGCCUUCCAAGGGGCUGGGCACGGCAAUAUAGAACUCAGAACCUGAUCAUUCGUCACGACAUCAGAACCUUAGGCACAGGUUCCUCUGACAAAGUCAACAUUGUCUCAAAUUGUCCUCUCUUUUGUACAAGGUUUCUAAAAGACAAGCCAAAGCAAAGUCGUAACCAAGCAGCAAGAGAUUAAUGUUCGUUUCAUUGAUAUUGAAGUCAAUGCCUCGCAAGGAGCUGUGCAUGGUAAUAUAGAACUCAGAGCCAGGUCAUUCAUUACGGCAUCAGAACCUUAGGCACAUACUCCUCUGAGAGACUCAACAUUGUCUCAAUUCGUCCUCUCUUUUGUACAAGGUUUCUUCAAGGCAAGAUAAAGCAAAGUCGUAACCAAGCAGCAGCGCGUCACUUCAAUAUGCAGAAAGAGAGUACCAAACGCAUUUUGUUUCAAGAAUAUAAAUUUUGUAUAGUUUCUAAAUGUCUUAAAAUACUUAGAAACUGAUCUGAGAACAAAAAUAGAAAAAAAAAAUGUUUUCAAAUAAAAAUUGUUCUUGGUAAUAGAAACAUUAUCAUACGCACUCUAAGAAUCUGAUUCUCUCUUCACCCAAACAGGAGAAACUUACGUUAUAUUCUAUUAUCUAUACAUAACAAGUCAAAGAAAAGUGCGAAUUAAAGGAUAGAAAUUAAAUUUCUUCAUUCUUUGAUUUUCUCACGAAGGUAUGUUUUCAUUUAUCUCAUUGUGGAAUAUCACGAAGAUCAAAGAUUCCUGUUUUGAAUUAUUACCUUUUACCAAAAAAAAAAAAAAAAGAUUCCUGUUUUGAAUUUCUGCAUAAAAGAAUCACAUUAUUGCUUACAACUCCCACACAUUCUUUUAUUUCACAAUUUAACUCCUGAAAAUGGAAGCAUCCAAGAGUUCCAUAUACUGUGAUUCUGAGCUCACCACUUCCGCUACUAAAGGAUCAGAUUUUUCCAUCCACAUCUUGCUCCACUUAGCAGCGAAUCAAGGGUUAAGGACGAUAGAGUCCGAGGCAAUCAUCCCAUAAUUUUCAAAUGACUACACAAGGACGAGAAUUCCAAAAGGCAAUUCAUCGUGCUACCGAAGUUGAUGAAAAGAAAGAACUUAUCGCUUACUUUGUGACGACGGAAGGAAAUCGCACCAUCGCUUCUCUGAACCACGCCUGAACAGAACGAGAUAAGAACCAGAGAAAAAAAGGGGAACUUGCAGUUGAACACUUCACUAUAAAACGCAAGGAAAUGAACUAAGCUCAUAAACUAUGAAAAACGAGACGUUCUUGCGAUUGAAUUCCUCGGGAAACUUGUUACCCCUCAAGAUCAGGGAGUUUCAGAGCCGAGAUGAGUGAGGAUUGAGUGUCUUGAGGGCGAGCGAGCUCAGUCGCUGCGAAUUGCCAAAAUGAAGAACAAAUGUUGGAGGGAAAGGUGAGAAAUUGAAAGAACGAAAAUUAGUUAAAACUGUUAACCCCAAACAAGAAAUUGAAAAAGAAAUAUUACUCAAAACGAAAACGACACAAAUGAUCUCUACGGCUCUCAAACUUUUAAUUUGUUUAAUGUGAUAUUUGACGUUUGUACAUGUUCUGGGAUAAUAGUGAACAUUUUCAUAUUGUGUAAACACUAAAUUGAAUAUAUAUAAAAAAUUUAAAGAUCGCAUUGAAUAAAUUAAAAGUUCAUGAAUCAUACAGUUCAAGAACUAUAUCGAAUAAAUUAAAAGUUCAUAAAUAAUAUUACACAUCUAGCCAUAGUUUAAAAACUAUUUAUGUCAUUAUCUCUACUCUAAACAAUUUCAAGUCAUAAUCGCACGAAUUCACCAUAUAUUCAAAAAAAAAACACACACACACACAUUUUUGUCUUUUUUUUUUUUUAAAGUUAAAAUUACCCUUUGGUUCUUUCGUUCGUUUUCACCCUUUGUUUCUUUUGCUCGUCAACAUCCAUUUUGGAACGACUGAUCACUUUUUCUUCUUCUUUUUUUCUAACUAUUAAAUUUUCUGAAUUAUCCAAAGUUUCAUGCUUACCUACUAUACAUAAUUAUUCAAUUUCUUUCUAUGCGUAAUUACUUAAUUACGCACACACAAACGCCAGUUGCAACGCGUGCCACAGCUCUGAUUGAAUAUUAAGGAAUACAGGGCCAAUAAAAGUUGCGCCUUCUUUCUUCAUUUUGAUGACGCCACGCAUAAUAAUUCUUCUUCUCAGAUAAAUGGUUAAUGGGUCUCCGAACUUUGGCGAGCAAAUAGAAGUAAUUUCUCCUCAUGCAAUAGCCACCUGGCUAGACCUUCAACACAAAGCACUGACAGCAGGGGACCACUUCUGUGUCCUCUAGCUCGAGACGAAGACAUUUCCAGCUAGCCACAAACGAAAUGCCAAACUGCACUUAACACGACACGGAAAGAAUCGUCGAGGAGCAAGCAAGUGGCCGUGGAGAUCCGAGAAUGCGCCUCCCAUGAAAGAUAUCGUGAUACGAUUCCUUGCAUGAUCAUGCGGAUACGAAAGCGCAUUACUAGAUUUCGACAAAACGAACUGCCGUAAUAAGGAGGGAAGACCCAGUUGUUGUUCCAAGUGAUGUGGCGAUUUCCAAACUGGACCGAAUGACCAUGAAUUUCGACAGCACGCUUGACCAAAUGACUCUCAUGGAAAGGGACGCCCGAAGAAAAAGAAGACUUUGAAGGUUCAACUUCCCGACUAAUCUUCCUUUUUCUUUCAAUGAGGUUGACAUCGAUGAUGCCUUUCGAGGAGCUGUGCACGGCAAUAUAGCUCAAGAACCCUGAUCAUUCAUUAUAACAUCAGGACCUUAAGCAUAUGUUCCUCAGACAUAGUCGAUAUCGUCUUGCACUUGUCUUCUCUCCUGUACAAGUUCUGUUGACUACGAGCCAAAGCAGUGGCCAAGCAGCAAGCACAUCGCUCCGAUAUGCAGAAAGAGAGUUCCGCAUCUUCAUCAGGCAAACAAGAAAGAUCGUCAAUGGAGCUUUAGAAGUAAACAAUCCAACGAUACUGGAAUUUGGUCCAAGAGCAAGAGAACUUGCGGGAAAGUUGGCAAUAGAAGCUGCUUAACCUUCCUUUUCCUCUGCUAGAUCAUCUUAUUCCUCUCCCCACCCCAACCCUC
rnacentral:lncRNA from 1 species